ACAACACUCCAUAUGGGCUUGCGAACCAAGCAAGUACAGCCAUUUUACGAGACAUUUCCCAGAACCAACAUCACAUUGGCCUAACGCUAGCAGUCCUCUGUCGCAUAGUGAUAACCCCUUGGCGAAGCGCUUCUUGGAACAGGACUGGGUUUCAGGGACUUCGCCUCCGCAUGAGCCUGGAUGGCCCUGAACAUCACGGACGCCUUCUCUCUCAUGGCCCCGAUCAUCUCCUCCUCCGUGAUAUCCCCUUGGCCGACGGUGAAGCACCUGCCCGCGUACUUACAGACCGAGCCACCCUCCAGGGGCAACGCAACGAUCUUCACCUCAUGGCUGGUUUCCUUGGAGAUUCUGCCCUGCUCAUCACGAUCGACGGUCGAGUGGUUGUAGACGAAGGGCUCCUGGUCCGGCGCUUUAACCGUGUGCCUCACCGUCCUGCCCUGUCUGCCUAUAAAUGUAACCAAAGUGACAUUUGCGCUAAUCUGUUGUAUGAGUUUAUUCGUACCGAGGGUUCGGAUUCCUCUCUUUCCAUUUUUCCUUAAUGACUCGUUAUUUUAUUUAUAUUUAUUUUCAAAACUUUUCUUUGUUUUUUGUUUUUUGUUUUUUGUUUAUUAUUUAUUUCAUAUAGUAAAUAAGGAUGUACAAUAGAUAAAAUCCUAAGUAAGUUAAUUGAAAAAUUUUGCAAGAAAAAAGAAAAGCCUUUUUAUUUUUUGUGUCUAGGAUUACCUCCUGGAUCACUGGAUAGGAAUUCAAAAAUGAAAGAGUGUAAACAAAGAGCUUGAAAAUAAACAUUACACAAUCUCCACUCUCUCUUUUUUUUCAACAUCAUGAGCACCAAUCUUAGUGUUGUUGAUCAGGGCAUCUAGGGAACCACGCCCAAUUAUAAUCGUAAAGCAAUAUGAUUCAUAUGUGAUUUUAAUUGUAAGGAACAUUUCAAUUGACCCAGUACCUUCGACAGAGAUCGUCUCCUGGAUGUCGGCAUUUUUUAUGGCUGGUAGGAGGGUGUGGGGGAAGAAGCCCUUGGCUUCGAGAAAAGCCUCAACCAACCUAGCCUUAGGGAUCGGGUGCGUGAUCUCGGCCUUGAGAGUAACUUCUACCAUCGAUUGAAUCCGAAUAGAAUUUGCUGAACUGAAAAGGGUAUAAAAAUCUCAAAAGAAAGAAAGAAAGGAAUGAGUAGAAGGAACUUUGAAUUGAGGUGAAGUAAAAGGUCAAUAUAUAUAGUGAUAAGAAAAGGGAUAAUUAUACAAAUGAUCCCAAAACUUUGAUUCAAUGUGUAACGUGGUCCCUAAACUUUUAAUUUAUUCAAUGUGAUCCUUGGAGUUUUGAUAAAUAUUUAAAAUAGUCCAUGAACUGUUUGAAAAUGUUUAAUGUAGUCAUUCAUUAAUUCAAGAUCAGAGACACCGUUUAAUAUAUUCAUAUAAUUCAGGGACUAAUUGAACAUGUACCAAAAGUCCAAAAAUCUCAUUGCACAUUGGGUUAAAGUUCAUAAAUCAUUCAUGUCAUUUUUCAGUAUGGACAUCGACCUUCCAAAAAUUCGCCAUGGAGUAACUUCCGCUUAAUUGCAUGUAGUAGAAAAGCAAAUUAUUUGUUUUCCUUGAAAGCAUCUCUCCUCCCAUAAAAAGUUGAACCCCUCAAAACCCAAUAAAUUACCCAUACGACAGAUGAUUAACUUUAGGAUUGAAUUUAAUUUAAUUAUCUCCCUUCUUUUGCUAAAACAACAUAAAGCUUAUGCAACCCAUUUUUUUUUUUUUUAAAUUGAGGCAAGCUUUGGUCAUUUUCCUUGAAAGCAGCUCUCCUUUGUUCAGCCUCUAACCCUUUGCCAGAAAAUAUUGACUGGUCUGCACGUUAUUGUCAUGAUAUUAUCUUGCUCCUAGUUUUGUCUGGUCAUCAAAAGCAAAUUGACAACUAUGAUGGGUCUCUUGUUUCUGAUCGGGAAUUAUCCCAAGACAAAUCCCUUCUCCUCGGCCAAAAGAUUAAUUAACCAGUUGCAUGAAAUGAUUCCAUGAGUUUAUUGCAAUGUAAGCAUCUAUAUGUCAGCUUCCUGAGGUAAGCAAGAGCUUACUCCAUGCUUUUCUUGAUCAAAGGUUAGCCUAUCUCUUGUGUCUUAUUCAAGUGCUUUUCUUAGAAUAGGAGUUUUGUUUAUUCAAGUUUAGAAUCACUGUGGUUGAGUGUCUUUUCUAUUCGAAUUGUUGACCAUCUCAUCAGAAAGUUAUUCCACAAGUCUGAAUUUAGAACCACAAAAUUGGACCCCACAAGGCAAGUUAGGAUAAAUUUCUACAGUUUCAUGAAUACAUUAUUUUCUAUGUACUUCCGUUGAAUGCUAAAAUCAAUGUAAGUGACGAGGGUAAUUGGGUUUGUGUCAUAACAUAUACAUUUCUCGUAAAUGUCUAAUAUUGUUGUAAUAUUAAUGCGGAAACGAUAGGAUCUCGCAAAUGAAGUCAAUGCGAAAAAAUCAAGGAAAUAAGGGAGGAAUAAUAGAUCACCAGAGAUUUAUGUGAUUUGGUCCGAAUAUCGAUACUUACGUGUACGGAGAGAGCUAGUAGCAAAUAAUACACUACAAUCAAAAAAUCAAAUUUACAAUCGCUCACACGCUCCAGUAUUUCUCACACCUAGAUUUAAGUCCAAAUCUAAAAUAUUUGCAAAUAAAUACUUAAUUAGACGUAAACUCACGACAAUAAAUUACUGUAUAUUCACGUCCGUGCGGCGGAGAGACAACUCCUUCGUGCGUCCAAGAAGUCCUCUGAUCGGCUUCUUGAAUUUUCUCUGUGCAGCGUCUAUACCACCCACGAAAACCCCCUGGCGGCUAUUUCUUGCGCGGCUCUUUUUCGCUCAUGUAAAAUCCUUAAUUUUAUUUUAUUUUAUUUCAUUUUGUGCAGCUACAAGGAGUCCAAUGAAUUUCUCCUUUUUUGACCGACCAAUCACAGGAUCAGGAUUUGAAGAAGACGUCCACUGUACGGACCUAAAGCGGAUUUCCUUUCUUGUGCUAUUUUAAAAAGAUGUCUUCUCCAUUAAAUAUGAAUAACUUAUCCAAAUGGUUAAAAUAUGAAAAAACUUAUCCAAGCAGGUUGUGUUUAGCAAGCCCUUAAACUUGAGACAUAAUUUAACAAAUACGAUGAAAUUAUUUCCAAAUGCACACACUUCUAAGUUAGAGAUCUAAAAAAGAAAAAUGGAUGUUACUAAUGCAAACUAUGUUCAUAAAUAUAUUAUAUCGCUGUUAUACACGUCAAUUUCAUUGAAUUGUAAAGUAGUACGAGGGAAAUGGGUAAUUAUGGCUAGAGAUUUGAAGAGUUCUGUAAUCUUUGGUUCUAGGAAAAAUCCUAUCUAUCUUUUCUCUAGGUGUAGGUUGCAUGAACAAUGGCCUGGAAGAAUUGCAUUUGUUUCUUUUUUGCUUCAUCUAAAUUGUUUUACUUCUCAUACUCUCUAUAGAAACCACUGGGGUUUGCCCCUAUGGCCAUCCUUCCAACAUAGAAGGAGGAGCUGGGGGUUGGAGUGGGGACAAUUUAGUUUCAAGUAUGGGUUUUGACUCCCAUCCCUUGUAAGGAAGCAAUGCAAAAGUUUGAGAGUGAGAAUUAAUGUAGGAAUAAAGUAUGGCUGACAAAAAAAAAAACUUAUCUAUAGAGCUUCACCUUAUUUAUUGUUCUUGGGUUAUGGUUGCCUGAUGGUAUGAUUUAUAUAAUUAUUGUUUCAUUUGCAGACUGCAAAAGCUAGUGGGACGGCCAUUCAAUCGUUACUGCAGUUAGUUGGUCGGCUGCAGCUUGUUGUCACUCAGGUUUAGUCCCUUUAUAUCUUUGCUUCGGAUAAUCUUUUGGCUUGAGAGUCUCUAGUUUUGGUAAACGUCGUCUUACAACAGAUUGACAAGGCCACGCGUGAUCAAACUAGAGAUUCUCUUCACCAGUGUCGAGCUGAUGAAAGUGAUGAUGAGGAUGAAGACAUUGAUCAUGUCUUUUACGGGGAUGAGGUUGAAUUUGGACAAACUACCGAUGAUACAGAUGUUGAGUAGAAGCUCUAAAUCUUAAGAGGUAGUCAUUCUUGCUGGUGUUGAAUUUGACUUGCCGCGUUGAAUCUUCAUAAACUUAGGAUUGUUGGGAUAAUUAGUGGGUAAAGAACAGGUGAAGUGAAAGACUGUAAGACUUUUUCUUUGAUUACAUUUUCAGGUUAAAGUAUUAUGUUCCACCGCGAGAACUGAAUUCCAAAAAGCAUCUUAUAUAUGGACCAUCUUGCUGUUUCGAUUAAGAACCAGUUGAACAGGAACAGCUCUAGGUUAUAUACGCAAUUUACUGGAAGUUUUACUGCUGAUCAUGAUAAAGAGUUUCCAUGUGCUAAUUGUGGCUUUAAAUUUUCCAUACUCACUGCGGGUAGCAUUUUUCCUCUAAACAUUCAGUUUGAGUUGGAUUUGUUUUCACUGCUUUGUAGUGUGAAACUUGCUCAUGACGUAGAUGCUCGCUUGGGGCAACUCACUGGUCAAGUUGCAGCUGCCCCGGGAGAAAUUCAUACGUAUGCUGCCAAUUUCACGCCCUUCACAAAUUUUCUGAUCCCAACCGCGUGUGCUGGUCUCAGGCAAUCACCACGACGACAGAGACCACCACAGACUGGCCGUCGCAGUAGUGGUUAUUGCCUUAUAGUGGACUAUGGCAUCUCUAUUUAUACUUUCGUGAAAAUUAUUUCUUCAAUUAUUCAAUCAUAUCAUCCGUUUAUCAGACAAUCUAUUGACUGUUUAUCUGUAUCUGUCCUUGUAUCUGGUGCUUUCUCGUACAAGGAAUGUCACAUCCCGAGCCCCGAGCGCGUGCCCAUCCUUAUCUGGUCGAUAAUAAUUUGUGACUUCCCAGGACGAGUCGCCGACCCUUUCCAUUUAUUGCACAUGCGGAAGCGAAAAGAAAUCCUCUGACAUUAAUCAUCUCGGGAUAGAAAAGCAGGACAAUAGAUUCACAAACAAACAUGCUUUUAUAUUUACACUGAGUCAUGUACACAGGUCUAUGGCCAAAGACUACAAAAGACUAGCCUUCCAAAAAGAAGCGGUCCUAACUGACCUACGCUUCCAAUCACCUCCUCUCAGCUCCAGGUCCUCCACUCGACGACUCUGAAAAUGUUGUCCCACAACGGGUGAGAUAUCAUCUCAGCGAGUCUAAGCUCUAAACCCCAAUUAGGAGGGAAAUACGCCCAGAAGUGUCCUAAUCACACGAGCACACGAUCAAGGAGACUUACCUCGUCUCAGAUCCACCCUGCAGGUCAGUAUAAUUCAAAUACUCAAUUAAACAAUUCAAUUCAAAUUCACCAUCAAUCAGUCGAUUCAUUCGACUCCAUGCCAUCAAUGUCAACCAUAUAUUAUGUCGAUUCGAACACUGCUCGCCUAAGCUGAAAUAGAUAUACUCAUAUAUCAUUGCUCCCCAAAGCUGAUAUCUAAAAUUUGCUCACUGAAGCUGCUAGAUCAAAUAGUGCUCACUGAAGCUGCUAAAUAACAAGUGCUCGCCGAAGCUGAUGUCUAAAGUGCUCACCGAAGCUGCUAAAGCAUUAUUGCUUGCCAUUGCUCACCGAAGCUGCUAGAGAUCUAUAAUGACGUUAACGCUCACUGAAGCUGUUAUAGAUCUAUAUUGCUCACCUAAGCUAAUUUGAUACUCAAAGACCACUUUUGGUGUCAACACCCGACACCCGGCAUUUUCCAAUUAAAAUACCAAUAUAUCACAAUCAUCACUCAAUUCAACAAUACAUCAUUCAAUUGUAGAAACUAAACACAUCGCCACGAUCAGCUUGAAAUUCUAUCGAGCGGCUCUCCCGAUAUAAUUUCCAAAAAAAUAAUUAAUAAUUAAAUAAUUACUGAAAUUAAUUAAAUAAAUCAAUUUAAAUUCUAACAAUACUAACCUAGGCUGGAAUCAUUAAAUUAAUAACCAAUACGGACUCGGAGAAAUUCCCGAACCCUUCUAGAUAAAUAAUACAAUUUAUUUAGGCCUUAGCUAAACCAUGCUAACCACCUAACAUGCUCAAUUUAAAUAAUUAAUUUCUAAUUUAAUCUAACUAACCACCUAAUUCUUAAUAAAAUAAAUCUAAACACCCCUUAAAUGUCAUUAAUCUACUAAGCAGAGUUUAGAGUAUAAACUCACCGGUUAAUUGAGGAAGCCGGUUCACCGUGACGACGACGUGACGGUGGCUGAAAUCUUAAUUUUCGGCGGUGUCGGCGAACUUGGACCGGGCCUAGGACCGGCCCAACACAACUCAGCAAGGCUGAGUUUAGGUAUUGGGCCUCUGCAGGCUGCUGGUUGCAGGCUUGGGCCUUCUUCUCGGGCCCAAAAUGGCUGAACUUCAAAUGGGCUAGAACUAACUGAACUUGGGCCUAAGCUUGGGCUUCAAAAUCUGUUGGAGAUUGGCUGAAAAUCACUGGGCUGAAGACACUUGCUGGACUGGAAUCGAGUUGGACCAAAGGCUCAAAUUGUGGGCUGCAAUUGGGCUCGUGGGCUGAAGCUUGCAGAUUUGGGCCGCUGAAAAUCGAACUGGCUUGCUGGGCUGAUCCACGAGCGCAGGAAAUGGACGCUGGAGAAGACCACACGGACAGCUUGCUGGCGAAGAGGAAAGAAGCGGAGCAGCAGGCGUCGACGUGGGAGCUACUGCAGGGGUCUUCGAUGCUGGGGGUUUGACCGAGGUUUCGGUGGUUACAAACGGUGAAGGGUUCGGCUUUGAGGGCUGAAGGAUGAACGGCAAGUAGCAGUUGUAGGGGGGAAAGAUCGCUGAAGCAGGUUCGGCCUUCACUUCGGUCGUUGGUGCUGAGUCGCGGACGAAGGAAAAUGAGAGAUCUUCGAACGUGGCUGCUUCGAGCGGUUGGCAGACGUAGCGAGAGAGAUGGGACCAGCUGGCGUUGCGGAUGCGGGAGACGCGCGGCCAAGAGUCAACAGAACAACUUGGCUGAGGAACUUUGACACAUGGAGAUCAGGUGUUGGACGUGUGGCUCUGCAACAGGGGAAUUGGUGGCUUCAAUGGACGCAUGGGCUUGAGAGAAAUGCAUGGAGAGAGAGAGAACUCGGUGGAUGGUGAUAUUGAUGAUGAAAGAUGAUGAUGAUGGCAUGGGUUGAAGGAUAUGCGACCAAAAGCAAUUUCGGUGGGGGAUUGCCGUUGCAGAGAGGGAGACCGAAAUGAAGAAGCUCAAAAAUGAAAAUGAAAGUGAAGCGGAAGACCAGGUUGUCGCACAAAGGGAGGAGGAGGAGAGAGAAAACCAAGCUUAAUUAGCCAAGGCCAAAAUAUCUAAUAUCCAUCAUGAUUUUGGUCCAAAAAGUCUUCAUGAAUAUCCCUUUGUCCCCAUGUUUAUUAUUUGCUAUUUAAUCAUCAAAUAAUUCACUUUUGAUAUCCAAAAAUCCAACCUCUUCCCAAGCUCCGAAUUUAAUCAAAUUGAACUUUAAUUCAUCACUCAAUUUCCCAAAUUGAAGUCCAAUUUCGCGGUAGAAAAAAUCUCAAAUAAUUUUCUAUAAUUCCCCAAUAUCAUACAGCUCGGCUUGGAAGUCCAAAUUUCCUUUAAUUUGGCCGAUCCAAAUUUCCUCUAAUUUUCCACGGCAUUCGAUUCGAUUUUCCGUAAAAAUCUCGAAAUCUCUAAAAAUUUCUCAGAGGAUGAGUCAACGUUCCUAAAACAGCUUGUGACACCUCAGAACUUUCAAAUUAUGAAAUCGGGUUCAAAUUCGCGAUUAUUUUCAAUCCGGCGCACUUUUAGCGUGACCUAGUCUAUUGGAUAACUUUUAGGAAUUUUUGAUGCAAUUGACCCGUGAUCGAUUUAUAUCAAGUCACAAUGUACAUCUCCGACACAUUGGCGACUCUCGAUUGUCGUGAAAAUCUCGAGGUUUCAAUUACGGGCACUGGGUACCAAAACGACAGAAAAUCAAUUUAGUGCCAAUCGAUGAGAAUUUUUCAAUCAAGUGGAAUCAUCCACAAUUUGAUCACAUAUCUCAGUCAAAUCGACCUAUCUCUGAUGUCUGAUCGAUCUCUGACGAUGCUGUAAUGACCCUUGCAGAUCAACACGGUCGAGUAGUCGAUUCUUGAUCGAAUUCUCAAGUCCAAUUGCAUUUAGAUUUCCUAAUUGCUUGCCCAAAUAAUCCAGUUAUCUCGUGAGUGAUCAGCUCAGAGAAUAGCACUAUUAGCGUUUCGAUGAAAUGCCCGAUUUAUUUAAUCGAAAACAAAUUAUGAAAAUUCAGGCUGUCACAAGGAAUGUGAUAUGAAAAAUCGGCAGGACUUCUUGUUUGAUCUUAACGUAUGCUUUUUGACUUUUAUUUCUUGGUGACCGAAUGCCACAUAAGAGUAGAACAUGACAUUUUACCUUCAACGAGUUGACAGAAUACAUGUCGCAAUCUUUAGCUAUAAUUCCAAAAUAUGAGACCCGGAAACUUUAGGUGACCAUCUCACUGACGUGGGAUGCUUUAGAUGUCCUCAUUUGCAUUGCACUGGCAACCUGAAAACCGUUUUGGCAUUUUGACAUCAUCUGCUUUUUGCUGGAUGUAAUUAUCGAAGGUUGUAAAGCCAAUUAUUGUGCAAAGCGAAGUCAGCUAAAGCCAAGAGGUCGCUCUUGAGACAUCUGACAAUAUUAAAAUGAUACGGUAGUUUUACAGAGAAAACAUGGAAUAUGGCGAUGGAAUUCCGAGUUCGUUCUGGUAAGAGAAACAACGAAAGGCAAGAGGAGUUCAAAAGGAGAAGCGAAAAUGGUUGCUGUAUUUGGUUUUAAAUUAUUCAUUCGAUUUUGCAGGGUUUCGAUAUGUCCCGAUCCAAAUUCAGCUGUAUGUAUUAUGAAACUCGAAGGGGAGCACACGCAACUAUUGAGACCAAAAUAAAAAUAGAAAGAAAGAAAGAAAACCGGGCCGUACUCGAAAAUCACUCAAUCGAGGACCACAUCGGACGAUGGUUUAUUCCAACAACACUUCCUAUGAGCUUUGCAAACGAAGCAAGUACAGCAAUUUUACGAAACAUUUCCCGGAGCCAUCAUAUUCGCGGAAAAGACGAGACCAACACACUCCCUCGACGACAAGACAAGAUCAGCACUCGACUAGACCUUAUUCGAAGAGAACAUAUUUGACUAAGCUGCCGGAUCAACUUGGAUGGCCCUGAGCAUCAGGGACUUGGAUGGCCCUGAACAUCACGGACGCCUUCUCUCUCAUGGCCCUGAUCAUCUCCUCCUCCGUGAUAUCCCCUUGGCCGAUGGUGAAGUACCUGCCCGCGUACUUACAGACCGACCCACCCUCCAGGGGCAACGCAACGAUCUUCACCUCAUGGCUGAUUUCCUUGGAGAUUUUGCCCUGCUCAUCGCGAUGGAUGGUCGAGUGGUUGUAGAGGAAGGGCUCCUGGUCCGGCGCUUUAACCGUGUGCCUCACCAUCCUGCGCUGUCUGCCUAUAGAAGUAACCAAAGUUAUAUCCGCGCUAAUCCAUCGUACGAGUUUAUUGGUACUGAAGGUUUGAUAUCCCUCUUUUCUUUUCUUUUUCGUUUCCGUUAAUGACUAAUUAUUUUGUUUACAUUUAUUUUCAAUACCUUCCUUUGUUUUCGUUUUUCUUAUUUCAUAUAGUAAGUAAGGAUGUACAAUAGAUAAAAUUCUAAGUAAGAAUAUUGAAAAAUUACACAAGUACAAAGAAAAGGCCUUUUUAUUCUUCACGUCUAGGACUACGUGCUGGAUCAUUAGAUAGAAAUCCAAAGACGAAGAGAGUGUAAACAAAGAGCUUGAGAGUAAACAUUACACAAUUUUCAAUUUCUUUUUUUAUUUUUUUUCAACAUCAUGAGCAUUGAUCUUAGUGUUAUCAAUUGGGCCAUCAAGGGAUCAUGCCCAAUUAUAAUAUGAUUGAUAUGCGAUUUUAAUGGUAAGGAACAUUUCAAUUGAUCAAGUACCUCCGAUAGAGAUUGUCUCCUGGAUGUCAGCAUUCAUGACGGCUAGCAAGAGGAUGUGGGGGAAGAAACCCUUGGCUUCGAGGAAAGCCUCGGCCAACCUGGCCUUAGGGAUCGGUUGCGUGAUCUCGGCCUUGAGAGUAAUUGCUACCAUCGAUUGAAUCUGAAUAGAAUUUGAUGAAAUUGAAAAGGGAAUAAAAAUCUCGAAAGAAAGAAAGAAAGCGGUGAAGAGAAGGAGCUUUGAAUGGAGGCGAAGUAAAUGGUCGAUAUUUAUAGUGAUAAGAAAACAGAUAAUGAUACAAAUGAUCCCUGAACUUUGAUUUAAUGUGCAACGUGGUCUCUAAAUUUUUAAUUUGUUCAAUGUGGUACUUUGACUUUUAGUACAUGUUCAAUAUAGUCCAAGAACCGUUUGAAAAUGUUUAAUGUAGUCCUUCAUUAAUUCAAGAUUAGAGACACUGUUGAACAUUCUUCAUAUAAUUCAGGAAUUAAUUGAAUAUGUACCAAAAGUCCAAGGACCACAUUGCACAUUAAGUUAAAGUUCAGUAAUCAUUUGCAUCAUUUUCCCGUACGGUCCUUCCAUAAAUUUCACCAUAGAGUAACUUCCACUUAAUUGCAUGUAGUAGAAAAACAAAUUAUUUCAUUUUACUUGAAAGCAUCUCUCCUCCCAUGAAAAGCUAAACCCCCUCAAAACCCAAUAAAUUACCCAUACGACAUGUGAUUAACUUUAGGAUUGAAUUUGAUUUAAAUAUCUCCCUUCUUUAGCUAAAACAACAUAAAGAUUCUCCAACCCAAUUGUUUUUAAAAAUUUUGAGUUUUAACUGUCUUCAUGGACUCCAGAGAAGGAGGGAAGCUUUGGCCAUUUUCCUUAAAAACAUCUCUCCUUUGUUCAGCCUCUAAUCCUUUGCCAGGAAAUAUUGACUGGUCUGCAUGUUAUUGUUAUGAUAUUAUCUUGUUCCUAGUUUUAUCUGAUUAUCAAAAGCAAAUUGACAACUAUGAUGGGUCCCUUGUUUCUGAUCAGGAAUUAUCCCAAGACAAAUCCUUUUCUCCUAGGCCAAAAGGUCAAUUAAUCAGUUGCAUGAAAUGAUUCCAUGAGUAUAUUUCAAUGGAAGCAUCUUUAUGUCAGCUUCCUGAGGUAAGCAAGAGCUUACUCCAUGCUUUUCUUGAUCAAAGGUUAGCUUAUCUCUUGUUUCUUUUGUGACAUCCAGAUUUUCGGGUUUUAAUUUCGACUAGAUAAAUAGGGCCGUUUUCAUUCAGUUGAAGCUAGAGAUUAUGAAAUUAGGAUGCAAGUAUGCCACAGUGGUAAGGAAAAAUACCAAUUUGAUUGAUGAGGUGUUGAAUGAAUUAAUAUGGGUCAAUUUGAUUUAAUUCAAGUGGGAUUAAGAGUUAAUUGGAAGAGAAUUAAAUGAAAUUGAAGAAUUGGAUGUACAAGACUUUAUGCCCCGGCGGAAAACAAAAUUGAACCUAUUGGACUAAGGUUAUGGGAGAUUGGAGUUAGUGGAAGAUGACAUCACCUUAUGUCAUGGUGGUUGAAGCAAAGAGAUGAGAGCUUGACAAGUGGCAAGUGUUAAUUGGCUCUCAAAAAGUGGGGCUCUCCCAUCAAUCUUCUUCUUCUUCCUUGAGAACCGGAUGGGAGGGAAAGAGGGGGGAGGGAAAACCAGCGACCGACCGGCCUCCCCUUCGCUCGACGCACGCUUGCACGCCUCCGGAGCCGCCGCCGUUCGCCGCCGCCGUCGCAGCCGCGCCUAGCCGCUCGCUCCUCCGCCUCUCUCCCUCUACCCUUGCGUCAUUGAAGCCCUCUCUUCUCCAUCUUCGGUUGCUGCUCGUUCCCCAGCAGCAAGCCCAAGCAGCCAUGGCCGUCGCACGUCGCCAGCCGGAGCUCCUCGCCGUCGUAGCUCCCCGCCGUUCGACCGCUCGCCCGCUCGCCAGCUCGCGCCGCUGCCUCACCCGCGCCUGGCCAUCCCCGUCUGUCUCGGUUCGUGGGUUCCGGGAGCUGCCGAAGCUCGUCCUCGCCGCCGUGAGCCGCCGUGCGCCCCCGCCUCAGCUCGCCGGAAGUCCCUCGGCCCAUCUCGGCCCUUGUGCGCCUCAACCGGCGCCGAAUCCGCCCCCAACCAGCAGCCACCGGCGAGCAGGAAAAAUGGGUAUGACAGCCCCUUCAUGUCCCGUUUUGGCUGCCUUCCCGAGCCCGAAUGCUCAGCCCGCCUUGAGGAAAGUCGAUCCUCGCGUUGUCCUCGUCGUUUUGGUCCGCUCGGCUCGCUAAUCCGGUGAGUUUAACUCACUAAACCUUGAUUAGACGGUUAAUGAUGCCCUAAGUGAGCUUAGCCUAAGUUAAGUAAGCUUAGUGGGUUGAAUUAGUUUAAUUGGUUGAUGAUUAGAUUAUGGUGUUUAAUUAAGUUAAAGUGUGUUUAGUUUAAAGUUAAGUAUGUUUAUUGUUAAUAUAAAGCCUUGAUGUGACAUAAAAGGAUUUUAAUUUUGAAUUAGUUAAUUGCUUCGAAAUUCUGGAAAUUUAUAAUAUUAUAUUAUAUUCCGAAAUUAUUAAAAUAUUAUUAUAUAAAAAAAAACGGAAAAAUUAUUUUUGAUCCCGGUUGCUCAGAAUUUCGUGCCGAUCGCUGCUGUGUAGUUGGAUUUAGAAAUUGAUGAUUGGAUAUUAUAAAUCGAGUGUGGAUUGUGAAAGAUAUGGAUAUUAUUAUUUAAUUAAUUUUCGAAAUAAAUUUAAUUAUUAAAUAAAUUCCGAAAAUUAAGUUGAGACCCUAAAUUCUCAGAAUUUUGUGCCGAUCGCUGCUGUGUAUUCAGAUUAUGAAUUUGAUGGUUAGAUAUUACAAAUUGAGUGAUGAUUUGUGCAAUUGAUUAUUGAAUUGUUGUGUGCUGGUUGAAAGACUCGGGUCGCAGUAGUGGCUAGGCCGACUGGAUCCUUAUUCUGCUAGAAAUGCCGUCAAGAGAAUGACGUGGCUUGGUCGCAGUAGUGGCGAGACCGACUGGACCUUUAUUCUUCUAGAAAUGCUGUCGAUAGAACGACGUGGCAUGGUCGCAGUAGUGGCGAGACCGACUGGACCUUUAUUCUUCUAGAAAUGCUGUCGAUAGAACGACGUGGCAUGGUCGCAGUAGUGGCGAGACCGACUGGACCUUUAUUUUUCUAGAAAUGCUGUCGAUAGAACGACGUGGCAUGGUCGCAGUAGUGGCGAGACCGACUAGACCUUUAUUCUUCUAGAAAUGCUGUCGAUAGAACGACGUGGCAUGGUCACAGUAGUGGCGAGACCGACUGGACCUUUAUUUUUCUAGAAAUGCUGUCGAUAGAACGACGUGGCAUGGUCGCAGUAGUGGCGAGACCGACUGGACCUUUAUUCUUCUAGAAAUGCUGUCGAUAGAACGACGUGGCAUGGUCGCAGUAGUGGCGAGACCGACUGGACCUUUAUUCUUCUAGAAAUGAUGUCAAUAGAACGACGUGGCAUGGUCGCAGUAGUGGCGAGACCGACUGGGCCUUUAUUCUUCUAGAAAUGCUGUCGAUAGAACGACGUGGCAUGGUCGCAGUAGUGGCGAGACCGACUGGACCUUUAUUCUUCUAGAAAUGUUGUAAUAUUAGUAGAUAGCCGACCGGCGAAUAAGCUGUACUCUUGUGUGGCAGUGGAUAAUGAUGACAUGGAAUGCUUGCUGUGAUUGUGAAAUUAAGUGAAAUUGAUUGUGUUCCGAUGGCUUACAUUCUUAUCAUUACUGGUGCUUGAGUGAUAUGAAUUGUACUAACCUGCAGGAAGGCAAGAAGGCGAGGUAAGUCUUCUGUGCUGUGUGGCUAGACCACUCUGGGGCGUAUUUUCUUUCUAAUAAGGGUUUAGGGGGUUGAACUUGCUGAGACGUUGUCUCAGUGGUUAUUGAAUAACCAUUUCAGGUCCCUGGUGGACGGAGCGGCCAGAUAGCUUUGGUUGGCCUUGAGGAGUUGCAGAGGUGAAGCCAUAAGGAUUGGAGAGCGUGUCCGAUUUGUAGGUCGUAGGACAGUUCCUUUUUAAGAGCCGGUCUUUUGUAGACUUUUGGCUGUAGGCCUUCGUCUGUAACUCCGUUGGUUUGUGUAAGUGAUUGGUUGUGAAAUUGUUUCCUGCUUUUCUAUCCCGUAUUUUAUUGUCAGGGGUUUUAUAAUACGUUCCGCUUGCGUAAUAAUAAAUGAAUGGGGUCGGCGACAUUACCUGGGAAUGUCGCAUUUGCAUGACCAUAGUAGGAUGUUGGCGCGCUCGAGGUUCGGGGCGUGACAUCUUUUUCAAGUGCUUUUCUUAGAAUAGGAGUUUUGUUUAUUCCAGUUUAGAAUCAGUGUAGUCGAGUGUCUUUUCUAUUCGAAUUGGUGACUAUCUCAUCGUUAGCCCUAGUCUAGGAUAAUUAGUAGAGAGUGGUGAUUUUAACUGACCUCAGGGAUGUGAACGGUGGCAUGCAGUAAUAUAGGGCUUAAUCACAUUAGUUAGGCUGCACAAGACAUAUAAUGGGGGUCUAGAUUUGGGAUUGCUGUCUGGGACUUUCGAAGUAGAAGGGAGAAUUAGCAAAAUGUUCUGGUGCUGAAAUUUAUGGUGCCUAAUGUCGCUUAGGCGAUCCAUCCUCUUCCUUUUCUCCUGCAAUUACAUUUUCCCUCCUGCUCAACUUAAUUCUUCCAAAUAAGGUAAGUUCUUUUACUUGCUGCCCCAAUUUCGUUCUUUAUUACUUAAAUGAUUUAUUGUGCAUUUGGUUGUUCUAUUUCGUAGAUCUCUUCUUCUUUUCUCAUCCCUUUACCAUUUUGAUUUCUAACAAGGAAUGUUCUUUCCCCCAAUCUACCGUUCCUGCUGUUAAUAUCAAAUAUUGCAAAAUUGGACGGAUUUAUCUCUUGCUCCCUCUGCUAAUAUUUUCCUAUACAUUUGGCAGGUUUGCAGUUAUGGUGCCAGAUCCCAGGUUUGAUAGCUCUUUUCAUGAUGUAGCGGACCAAGUACUGAAAUCUCUGUUGGAUUUCGAUCCAUCGGAAUGGGGUUUGCCACCCUUUGACGAACAGAAAAGCUGAGAAUUCAUUGAAACCAGACGACAUGCAAUGGCAUCUCGUGUCAAAUUCAUUUGAAACCACUGCGUAUUUACGUUCAUGCGGCUGAGAGACAACUCCCUCAUGCAUCCAAGAAGUACUCCGUGCGGCUUCUUGAAUCUUCUCUGUGCAGCAUGGCGACUGUUUCUCGUGAGGCUCUUUUUUUUUUUUUUUUUGGUAAAAGGUAAUAGGUAUAUAGACUUUUGCACAAAAGGCUAUACAGAUGUAUAGCAAAGGGAGGGGACCCGGCACCAGCUCACACUCAGAAGGACAACAAAUCCAAACGAGUGGAAGGGGGCCGGGGCCAAGAGAAAAGAAAGGGGGAGGGAAGAGCUGCAAGAGAGAUACAAUGCAGAUAAAAGCAGCAGCAAAGAAGGCCAAACAACGGCCAAGGGCAAAGAGCACACAACACUGUGGCCCGCACAAGGAAAAGACAGAUAGAGGAGAAGAAAAUGAGAGACACCAAGAUGGGAACCCAGGACGCAACAGGGGGCCAAUAAGCAAAAUCAAUCAAAGAUGGAAGGGGGGAUGCCCCAACUAAGUUGAAGUCUUCUAUUACGGGGGUUGUCCGGGACCUUGGGGAAUGAUAAAGCCCUAUCAUUGACAGCUUUACGAAGGAGGUCCUUUAAAGCCGGGAGGUAUAAUCUUUCAUUGCGGAAGAUAAUGCUAUUUCUUACUUUCCAAAUGUGAUAGAAUAAGGCACCAAAGGCAAAGCGAGCCAAGGAUUGGUGGAAGGAUGCAUCGGAAAGGUGUUCAAUAACCCAUAAAAGAUUGUCAUUCCAAGCUUGAUUCCUCCAAGGUAAGUUACACUUAGCCGCCCAAAAGGAUGCAAGGUGAUUAGUGAUAGAACAUCCGAAGAAAAGGUGAUCAACCGAGUCUGGUGUAGAAGAGCAGAUUGCACAAGUAACAUUAGGGAUUCUCUCGCGAGCUAAUAACAAUACUUGGGUUGGCAGACGAUUGCGGGAGAUUAACCAUAGAUGUGUUUGAUAUCGAGGAGGUAAGGAGGGGUUCCAUAUAAAUCUCGACCAGGGGACCACAACAUCCCUCGGCCUUAGAAGGCACCAAGCUGAGGCAGUAGAAAACACUCCUGAGGAAUGACCAAGCCAUAGAAAACGGUCACUGGCUUCAUUGAGGGUUGGAAGGGGAUCAUCCCAAUUACUUAUAGAGGUGGCAACAGUAGAAGAUAGGGGAAAGGCAGUUAAAGCAGUAGCUACCGUAGCAAGCCUUGAUAUACCAGAGCAAUAGAUUUCACGGUCAGAGAACAACUUGUAGAGCGGACCAUGAGGAUGCCGGUGAUCAAACCAAAAAGAGACAGAUAGUCCAUUACCAACGCGCCAUUUAAUAUGAUGUUGGAUCAAGUCACGAAGGCCAAGCAACUUCUUCCAAGCCCAAGAGCAAUAGGUAGGUCUUGGGACAAUCCAGAAAUUUUUAUGUUUUCACUCAAGAAAAACCCUUAAUUUAAUUUUAUUUUAUUUCCUUUUGUGCAACCACAAGGAGUCCAAGGAAUUACUCCUUUGUUGACCGACCAAUCACAGGAUUAGGAUUUGAAGAAGACGUCCACUAUACGGACCUAAAGCGGAUUUCUUUCCUUGUGCUAUUUCCUUGGACAAAAAAUAUCUUCACGAUUAAAUAUGAAAAAGUUAUCCAAGUAGAUCAUAUUUUGAACGCUCAAACUUGAGUCAUAAUUCUAACAAAUACGAUAAAAUUAUUUUCAAAUUCACAUGCUUCUAAGUUAGAAAUCUUUGAACAAAAAAAAAAAAAAAAGCUGCUGCUAGUGCAAACUCUGUUUGUACUUAUCAUAAAUUGCCUUUAUAUACGUCGAUUUCAUUAAAUUGUAAAAGUAGUAUGAGGAAAAGGGGUAAUUCUGGCUAAAGCUCUGAAGAGUUCUGUAAUCUCUAGUUCUAGGAAAAAUCUUGUCAAUCUUUUCUCUAGGCGUAGGUGGCAUCAACAAUGAUAUCAAAGAAAUGCCUUGGUUUUCUUUUUUGCUUCAUCUAAAAUAUUUUACUUCUCAGACUCUCCGUAGAGUUUCACGUUAUUUACCGUUCUUGGGUCAUGGUUUCCUGAUGGUAUGAUAUAUAUAGUUAUGUUUCCCUCGUAGACUGCAAAAGCUAUAGGGGCGGCUAUCCAACCAUUACUGCAGUUAGUUGGUCGGCUGCAGCUUGUUGUCGAUCAGGUUUAGGCCCUUUUAUAUCUUUGCGUCAGAUAAAUUUUUGAGCUUGACAGUCUCUAAAUUUGGUAAACGUUGUCUUCCAACAGUUUGACGAGGCCGUGCAGGAUCAAACUAGAGAUUCUCUUCAUGAGCAUCGAGCUGAUGAAAGUGAUGAUAAGGACGAUGACAUCAAUCAUGUCCUAUACAGGGAUGAGGAUGAAUCUGGACAAACUAGCGAUGAUACAGAUGAUGAGUAGAAGCUCCAAAUUUUAAGAGGUAGUCAUCCUUGCUGGUGUUAAAUUUGAUCUGUCGUCUUGCAUUUUCAAAAAUUGGUUCGUUGGGGGAAUUAGUGGGUAAAGAAUAGGUGAAAUAAAGGCUGCAACAUCUUUUUCUCUGAUCUGCAUUUUCAGGAAAAAGUCUUUUAUUCCACGGCAAGAAGUGAGUUCCAUAAAGCAUCCUGUAUAUAGUCUAUUUUGCUGUUUUGAUUAAGAACCAGUUAAAUGCGAACAGCUCUACUUUAGAUACGCAAUUUACUGGACGUUCUGCUGAUCGUGAUCAAGAGUUUCCAUGUGCCAAUUAUGGCUUGUAAUUUUCCAUGCUCAUCGCAAGUAGCUUUUUUCCUCUAUACAUCAGUUUGAGUUGGAUUUGUUUUUGCUGCUUUGCAGUAAACUUGCUCAUGAUGGAGAUGCUCGCUUGGGGCAACUCACUGGUCAAGUUGCAGCUGCCCCUGGAGAAAUUCAUACGUAUGCUGCCAAUUUCGUGCCCUCCACAAAUUUUCUGAUCCCGACCGUGUGUGCUGGUCUCAAGCAAUCACCAUGACGAUAGAGACCGUCACAGACUGGCCGUCGUGGUAGUGGUUAUUGCCUUAUAGUGGAUUAUGGCCAGAAGAAGAGAUAGUGGAAUGGACCCUUUUCUCAUGCCAGAGGGGGAAAGAAAAGAGGCCCUCUACGAGAGGAGAGAGUGAUUUAGCUGCUAACAAGCGCAGGUUUUUCAUGAAAUGAAUGGUUAUUCAUUCGGGAAAGGUCUGUUGAUUAGGAGGUUAUACCUCUAUUAAUACUUUCCUGAAAAUUGUUUCUUCAAUUAUUCAAUCAUAUCAUCCGUCUAUUGGACACUUUAUUGACUGUUUAUCUGUAUCUGUCCUUGUAUCUGGUAUUUUCUCGUACAAGGAAUGUGAUAUAAAAAAUCUGCAAGACUUCUUGUUCGAUCUUAAAGAAUCUUUUUCGACUUUAUUUUUUAGUGCCCAAAUGAAGCAUAAGAGUAUAACAUGACAUUUUACCCUCUAUGAGUUGACAGAGUACAUGUCACAUUCUUAAGAUAUGAUUCCAAAAUCUGAGACUCGAAAACUUUAGAUGACCAUCUUACUGACCAGGGACGCUUUAGAUGUCCUCAAACCACGUGGCAACCUAAAAACCGUUUUGGCAAUUUAAUAUCAUCUGCUGUAUGCUGGAUAUAAUUAUCAAAGGUUCUAAACCCAGUCAUUAUGUAAAGUGAAGUCAGCUAAAGCCAAGGGGUUGCUUUUGAGACGUUUGAUAACGUUAAAAUGAUAUGCAGUUUUACAAAGAAAAAAUGGAAUAUGAUGGUUGAAUUCCGAGUUCGUUUGAGUAAGAGAACAAACAACGAAAGGCGAGGAAGUUCAAAAAGGAGAAGCGAAAAUGGUUGCUGUAUUCAGUUUUGCAGGGCUUCAAUGCGUCCCGAUCCAAAUUAGGCUGUAUGCGCAUCAAACUCAGAGGGGGCCACACGAAGCUCUCUAGACCAAAAGAAAAAAAAUUAAAAAGAAAGAGAAAACGGGGGCCGCACGCUACGUCCAUCAUUCAAUUGAGGACCACAUCGGACGAAAGGUUACUCCAAAAACACUUCAUCCGGGCUUGCGAACGAAGCAAGUACAGCAAUUUUGCAAAACAUUUACCAGAACCACCAUCAUAUUCGCGAAGAGACAAAGACGAACGCACUCCCUCGACGACAAAACAAGAACAGUACUCAACUAGCGCUGACUCGAACAGGACUAGCAGUCUUCUGUCUUAUGGCGCUGAUCAUCUCCUCCUCGGUGAUAUCCCCUUGGCCGAGAACUUACUCGAACAGGACAGCGUCUGAUGGCACCUCCAGAUAAGCCUCAAUGGCCCCGAACAUCACGGACGCCUUCCCUCUCAUGGCCCUCAUCAUCUCCUCCUCGGGGAUAUCCCCUGGGCCGACAGUGAAGUACCUGCCCGCGUACUUACAGACCGAGCCACCCUCCAGGGGCAACGCAGUGAUCUUCACCUCAUGGCUGAUCUCCCUGGAGAUUCCGCCCAGCUCAUCCCGAUCGACGGUCGAGUGGUUGUAGAGGAAGGGCUCCUGGUCCUGUGCUUUAACCCUGUGCCUCACCGUCCUGCGCUGUCUGCCUAUAGAAGUAGCAAAAAGUGACAUUCGCGCUGAUCCGUCCUAUGAGUUUUUCGUACCAAAGGUUCCAAUCCCUUUCUUCCGUUUCCGUUGAUGACUUAUUAGAUUAUUUUUUUUUUCAAAAUCUUCCUUUGUUUUUGUUUUUUUAAGUUCAUAUAAUAAAUAAGGAUGUACAAUAGAUAAAAUCCUAAGUAAGAACAUUAAAAAAUUAUGCAAGUAAAAAAAAAAAAACUGGCCUUUUUGUUCUUCAUAUCUAGGAUUAGGUUCUAGAUCAUUAGAUAGGAAUUCAAAGAUGAAGAAAGUGUAAACAGAGCUUGAGAGUAAACAUCACAUAAUCUCCAAUAUCUGUUUUUUUUUUGUUCUUUUUUUUUUUUCAACAUCAUGAGCACCAAUCUUAGUGUUGUUGAUCAAGCCAUCUAGGGAUCAUGCCCAUUUAUAACCGUAAUGCAAUACAAUGAAUAUGCAAUUUAAAUGGUGAGGAACAUUUCAAUUGACCAAGUACCUUCGAUCGAGAUUGCCUCCUGGAUCUCAGCAUUUGUGACGGCUGGCAAGAGGUUAUAGGGGAAGAAGCCACCCGCUCCUAGAAAAGCCUCGACCAACCUGGCCUUAGGGAUCGGGUGUGUGAUCUCGGCCUUGAGAGUAACUUCUACCAUCGAUUGAAUCUGAAUAGAAUUUGCUCAAACUGAAAAGGGGAUAAAAAUCUCGAAAGAAAGAAAGAAAGCAAUAAAAAGAAGGAGCUUCGAGGAGAGGCAAAGUACAAGGUUGAUAUUUAUAGCGAUAAGAAGAUGGAUAAUUGCACAAAUGAUCCCUGAACUUUGAUUUGAUGUGCAAUAUGAUCUAUAAAUUUUUAAUUUGCUCAAUAUGGUCCUUAGAAUUUUUGUAUAUGUUUAAUAUAACCCCUAAAUAGUAUGAAAAUGUUCAAUAUAGUCCUUCAUUAAUUUAAGAUCAUAGACAACAUUAAAUAUUUUUUAUAUAAUUCAUGGAUUAAUUGAACAUGUACUAAAAAUUUAGGAACUAUAUUAAACAAAUUAAAAUUUUAAGCACCACAUUGUAUAUUAGGUUAAAGUUUAUGGAUCAUUUGUAUCAUUCUCUUGUACAGACAUUGACCCUCCAUAAAUUUGGCCGUAAAGUAACUUCCGCUUAAUUGCAUGUGGUGGAAAAGCAAAUUAUUCCCUUUUGCUUGAAACCAUCUCUCCUCCCAUAAAAAGCUAAACCCCCAAGUUUUAGCCAAUAAAUAAAUAAAUAAAGCUAAACCCCUCAAAACCCAAUAAAUUACCCAUUCAACAAAUGAUUAACUUCAGGAUUGAAUUUAUUUUAAUUAUCCUCAUUCUUUUCCUAAAGCAACAUAAAGCUUUUGCAACUCAAUUUUUUUAAUUUUCUUUUUAAAAUUUUGAGUUUUAACUAUCUCCUCAUGGACUCUGGAGAGAGGGAGGGAAGCUUUGGCCAUUCUCCUUAAAAGCAUCUCUCCUUUGUUCUGUCUCUAAUCCUCUGCGGCCCUCUCCAUGCGUUGACUGGUCUGCAUGUUAUUGUUGUGAUAUUAUCUUGUUCCUAGUUUUGUCUGGCUAUCAAAAGCAAAUUGACAACUAAGAUGGGUCUCUUGUUUCUGAUCGGGAAUGAUCCCAAGACAAAUCCUUUCGACUCGGCCAAAAGGUUAAUUAACCAGUUGCAUGAAAUGAUUCCAUGAGUAUGUUGCAAUGUAAGCAUCUAUAUAAAUCAGCUUCCUGAGGUAAGCAAGAGCUUAUUCCAUCCUUUUCUUGAUCAAAGGUUAGUCUAUCUCUUGUUUCUUUUUCAAGUGCUUUUUUCAAAAUAGGAGUUUUGUUUAUUCAAGUUUAGAAUCAAUGUGGUUGAGUGUCUUUUCUAUUCGAAUUGGUGACUAUCUCAUCAUAAAGUUAUUCGAGACUUGAGCAAGACUUGAGCAAUUCUUUAAAUGGCUCGAUGGACUCUUUAUGGGGGAAGAACCCUUGAGGGUUUGGACUCUCCAUUGUAAUCCCUCGUCUUCCCUCCUAUCCAGGAAGAAAAAGAUAGGAUGGGAAUCAGGGGGCUUGUCGGUGGCAAAGCUAAACACCAUGUCAGUUCUUUGAAGCUGGCUACCGCCUAGGAAGCAUUGAUACUAUCUAAAAAUCUUUGUGUCGUGUUGGCCACUUCAACAUAUGUCUGAUACUCUCUGACACUUUUCGAUACUCUCCAAUACUCAGUUAACAGGUUUAAGAAAAUUUGAUGCUCAGUCAACUCUCUUGACACUCUCCAAUACUCGAGUUCGAAAUUCCAACACGCAACUUUAGAAUUCUGAUAGGUAAUUUUGACAUGCACUGAGUCAAUUUUAAUUUUUUUUAAUAAAUAAGGAGUCUAAAUGUAAAUAUGUAAAAAUAAUAAUAAAAAAAUAAAAAUAGGUGGAAGAGGAAAAACCUCAUCUUUCUUCUCUUCUGACUUUCACUUAUUGUGCUACAUAAUUCACCCCUCAAAAUUAUUUUUUUCUCUUUUCUUCUGACAUGCAAGACCAUAAUGUGGAUUCUUUUUUUUUUCCUUCCAAGUUAUAUGGAUUAUUGGAAUGGAGUUAAAUUUGUCAAAUUAAAACAAUAAAUAAUAUUAACAAAUGUUGAAUUAAUAUUUUUAGUGUAAAUUCAUGCUAGCCUCUUUUUUUUUUUUUAAUUAUUUUAUUUAUUUGUGAAUUUAAAUCAAAUUAAUUUGAUUAAAUAAUCAUAAAAAUGAUAAUUUAUUAUGUAUAUAUAAAAAUAUACUUUUAAUAUAUAACAUGUCUUAACGUGUUAGAGUUCUCUAUUUUUUUAAAAACAACGUGUCUGCGUAUCAUGUCGUGUCGUGUUGUAUCGCGUGUUAGUGCCAAUGCUACUUAGGCCACCGCAAGUUAUGAGAGUAUAGUAGUUCUCCGUGCCUAGGUGAGACAUGGUGGCUUCAAAACUAGUGCUGGGCAAGUAAAAGCUUACUCAAGUCUUUCAACCGACUACUUAGAAUAGGAGUUUGUUUAUUUGAGUUUAGAAUCAAAGUGGUCAAAUAUCUUUUCUAUUCAAAUUGGUGACUAUCUCAUCAUAAAGUUAUUUCACAAUUCUGAACUUAGAAACACAAAAUUGGACCCCACAAUCUGGAUUAGGAUAAAGUUCUACAGUUUCAUGUAUACAUUAUUUUCUAUAUACUUCUGUUGAAUGCUAAAACCAAUGUAAGUGACGAGGGUAAUUGGGGUUGGGUUGUUACAUACAUUUCUCAUAAAUGUCUAAUACGAUGAAACUAUUUCCGAAUUCACAGGCUUCUAAGUUAGAAAUCUAAAAAAAAAAAAAAUGGAAAAAAAGGCUGCUGCUAAUGCAAACUCUAUUCAUAAAUAUCUUAAACCGCCUUUAUAUCCAUCGAUUUCAUUGAAUUGUAAAAGUGGUAUGCGGGAAAGGGGUAAUUAUGGCUAGAGCUCUGAAGAGUUCUGUAAUCUCUGGUUCUAGGAAAAAUCCUGUCUAUCUUUUCUCUAGGUCUAGGUUGCAUCAACAAUGAUAUGAAAGAAUUGCAUUAGUUUCUUUUUUUGCUUCAUCUAAAUAAUCUUAGUUCUCGGACUCUCCAUAGAGCUUCACGUUAUUUACUGUUCUCAGGUUAUGGUUGAUGGUAUGAUUUAUAUAAUUAUUGUAUCCCUUGUAGACUGUAGAAGCUAGAGGGACGGCCAUCCAACCCCAUUACUACAUUUAGCUGGUCAGCUGUAGCUUGUUGUCGCUCAGGUUUAGGCCCUUUAUAUCUUUGCUUCAGAUAAUCUUUUGAGCUUGAGAGUCUAUAAUUUUGGCCAACGUUGUCUUCCAACAGAUUGACAAGGCCACACAUGAUCAAACUAGAGAUUCUCUUUACGAGCGUCAGGCUGAUGAAAGUGAUGAUGAGGACGAAGACAUCGAUCACGUCUUUUACAGGGAUGAGGAUGAAUCUGGACAAACUAACGAUGAUACAGAUGAUGAGUAGAAGCUCUAAAUCUUAGGAGGUAGCUAUUCUUGUUGGUGUGAGAUUUGAUUCAUCUUGUUGCAUCUUCAUAAAUUUCGGAUUGUUGGGGUAAUUAGGGGGUAAAGAAUUGGAGAAGUGAAGUUUUAUAUUCCACCGCGAGAAAGUGAGUUCCAUAAAGCAUCUUGUAUACGGACUAUUUUGCUGUUUCAAAUAAGAACCACUUGUUCUAGGUUAUAUACGCAAUUUACUGGAAAUUUUGCUGCUGAUCGUGAUCAAGAGUUUCCAUGGACUCAUUACAGGUAGCUUUGUUCCUCUAGACAUCAAUUUGAGUGGGGUGCUUUUGCUGCUUUGUAGCGUGAAAUUUGCUCAAGAUGGAGAUGCUCGCUUGGGGCAAGCCACUGGUCAAGUUGCAGCUGCCCCAGGAGAAAUUCAUACGCAUUCUUGCCAGUCUCGUGCCCUCCAAAAUUUUAUGAUCCCGACCACGUAUGCUGGUCUCAGGCAAUCACCAUGACGACAGAGACCACCCGGCCUCGCCGUUGCACUAGUGGUUGUCGCCCUAUGGUGGAUUACGGCUCUGUAUAUAUACUUCUCCGGAAAAUUGUUUCUUUAAUUAGACAAUCACAUCCUCCGUCUAUCAAACGUUCGACUGGACAGUAUAUCUGUAUCUGUCCUUGUAUACAGUGUUUACUCGACCAAAGAAUAUGAUAUAAAAAAUCUGCAGGACUUCUUGCCUAAUCUUAAUAUAUCCUUAUUGACUUUAUUUCUUAGCGACCAAAUGCAGCAUAAGAGAAGAACAUUACAUAUUACCCUCGAUAAAUUGGCUGAGUGCAUGUCACAUUCUUUAGCUAUAAUUCCAGAAAUCUGAGAUCUGGAAACUUUAGAUGACCAUCUUCCCUAAAAGCCAUUUUGGCAUUUCGACAUCAUCUGCUGUAUACUUAAUUAUAAUUAUCAAAGGUUCUAAACCUAGUUAUUAUGUGAAGUGAACUUAGCUAAAGCCAAGAGGUCUCUUUUAAGACAUUUGACAACAUUAAAAUGAUAUGGUUUUACGCAGAAAACAUGAGAUAUGACGAUCGAAUUCCAAGUUCCCAAAUGGUAACCCGUCUGUUCAGGUAAAACAAACAACGAAAGUUGAUAUGUUCAAAAGGGAGACACGAGAAUGGCCGCUGUAUUCAAUUUUCAAUUUUUGCAGUGUUCUCGGUUGAUCGUAUUUUCGAUUUUGCAGAGUUUCUAUACAUCUCGAUCCAAAUUGAGUACAAAUCACCGGAUACUAUAAGUUGUUGGUCUGCAUGUAGUGUCGAUAAGAUCGCAAAUAAUCAAGAGACGCAGUUGCUCAUUUCUGUUUAUCUCACGUUCCAAUUGUCCAAGCUCAAGAAUUUAAAUCCGAUUUCGAAGAACUUGGUUUUCAUGACUCUGGCGAGCUCUAAAUGCUGCAGAUCAAAAUUUGGUCGGUCGAAAUCACAAGACAAAAGUAAAGAAGAUAUGGUAGCUCUUCUUGAGAGCAAGAGCUUUUGUAUGACACUCAACAAAUUCUUAUGUGUAAACCUAAAUCAUGGCAAAGAAUUACAAACAAUAUUCUUAACGAGGAGGGCGUCGGAACAUGUCCUAGGCGUAGGCCUGUGGGUUCUCUAGGAGGUAAGACUCCACCACCUUGAAUAUGGCCAUGGCCUUCUCCUUCCCAGCCUUGAUCUCCUCUUCUUCAACUUGAAAUGCCUCCUUGGUGUUGUACUUGCUGGUCAUCUUGCACACUGACCCUCCGUCACUGGCGGCAUCAAACUUGACCUGAUAAUCAAUCGACUCGAGCUUGUCGCCCAGUGCAUCACCCUCAAUCAUCGUGUACCUACAAACGAAGUUGUCCUUGUCGAGCUCAUCGAUCCGGUGCCUCACAUACUUGAAAUGACUAGCUGCGUUUGUUACCGAAUGAGAAAUAAAUUCACUGAACUCAUCACUAGAGAGAGGAUCCAAAAGAAUGGUGUAUGCUGAGUCUACGUACCUUCGGUGAAGUUAACUUGCUCGAUGCUCCCGGCUCCUCCAUCGCCUUGCACUAGCUCCACGCUUUUUAUGAACUGAGGAAGGAGCUUCGGGAUCAGGGCAUUCGCCUCGAUGAUCAAGGCCUUGAACAUGCGAGCCGCAGCGAUCGGGCAUGUGAGCUCUUGUGUGAUGCUGGUUGCCCCCAUGGCUAUUAGCAAAGCGAUGAGAAAGAAAUAACCUCAAAGAAGUGAUAUGCUUCUGAGUCCUGUCGAUGCCUCCUAUUUAUGGUUAGAAUUAUGUGAAUAGGUAGGCUUAGUUUGGCAAGAGUCACGUUUGAGGAAAAUAGAAUGGUCAAGGAUUUGCAGCCUAAAGGAAUGUAAAAGAGUAAAUAAGUUGGUCUCUUUUGUUCUUUUGGUCAUGAAAAUGGUUUCGGUCCAUUUCAGAUUCAAGUUGAAAUGGCAAAGAUGAUGUUCCGAAAGAUGAACACAAGAGAGAGCACGUUCUCAUGUUCACAUGGGCGGCCAUCCCUUUGAAUUGAUUGUUGUGGAGUUUGAUCUAAUAACAAUUUGGUCGGACUACUACGUGACUUGCUGAAUAGAUAUUACAAGGAAAUACCCUUGUUUGGAGAAAAGUGAAUUAAUUGAAUGUCGUUUGAUAUGGAGUAAAUGAGAAUCCUUGAUUGAUUAGUGAUAUUACGUCAGCAUGUCAUACUAUAUCAACAUCAUAUAAUUUGUUUUUCUUCUUAAGCAACGCCCUAAUGUCACGGCAGAUCUGUUCAAAUGCAUCGAGCAAGGCCGUUCAAUUGGGUUAAGGUUGAUUCAAACUUCACUAACACCGGCGGUUUGACUGGGUCAAAAUCGGGUCGGCCAAGGGGCGUCUAAGGAUCAGCUUAUCGUCUACGUUGGGGGGAGGGGGGGCCGGCUGCUUUUCCGUUAUACUUUGCUUCUCUUCUUCUUCUUCUUCUUCUUCUUUUUGGUUUUCGAUUUUAUUAUCGUUGAAUCAUUUGAUCUCCAAUCCAAUGUCCCCAUCAAGAGAUAUGAUAGGAUUAUCUUAAAUAGAAUUUCAAAUAGCCCAAGUGUUGUAAUAAGAUAAGUCCAAACCCUAGACACAUUCAACUAUGUUUUUCAAUAGCUUUUUUGAUAUAUUAUAAGAAUGUACUUUUCCUUAACAUUCUUACAUAUUGUGGUUUAUGAAAGUUUGUGCCACAUUGAUAGCUUUAGAUGUUAGUUCAAAUUCGAAAUAUCGGGCCAAAGUGUGGUCUUUUAUUGGCCAUUUGGCAUUUCAUUUGUAACUCAUGAAUUCUCUCCUUGUAAAAAAAUUACUAAAAUUAGAGAAUUUCAUUCUACAAGCUUUGUAUAAACACGUAGCAUAGUUUACCAAAUUCCACAAAACCACUGAACCGGAGUCCUGUCACACCUUUUAUUCUCUUAUUCUCAGCAAAGACAAGAACAACAACACUCACCAGCCCAACAUGCUUAGCUCCAAACAGAGUGACUCAAACUCUUCUUGUCUCCUUUUCAGUUCAGCACAACCAGACAUGUUUAACACAUUACAUAAACAAUAAAAGAUAGCGAUGAGAUCGGCUCAAUAGGCAUCAGGGUUUGCCACGAGAUAAGCCUCGAUGGCCUUGACCAUUGCGGAUGCCUUCUCUUUCCCGGCGUUGAUCUCCUCCUCGGUAAUGUCCACCUCGCCAACGGUGAAAUAGUUGCUCGUGCUCUUCAACAACGAGCCUCCCUGGGGCAACGCAGUGAUCUGAUCUUCUCAAAGGUGGUGCCCAGCACUUCACCCUCGAUGAUUGAGUAGCAAUAGGUGAAGUUCUCCUUGUCCAGGGCCUCAACCUUGUGCUUCGCUGUUUUGUACUGACUGCCUUUCAGUGUAACAAAAAGUCACAUUCACAUUUAGAACUCGCAGGUUUCAAUAUCACGAGCACCAAUCUUCUUGGUGUUGAUCAGGCCAUUUAGGAAUUAACCCAAUUGUUCUGACCGCAAUCCAAUAUGAUUGACUUAGACAUAGCCUGAUCACUUGUGUAAAGUUAAAUGGUUAGAAACAUCAUAAGUAAUCGAGUCAUAUUUCUAUCAUUUUCAAUGUUCAUUAUAGUGUUCCAUAAGGUUGAAUCCACCUUGAUUCAGAGCAAUCAUAAGUUCCUAAUACGGAUGGACUAACCUUCACCAAAAGUCAUCAACUUGAUGGUCCCGGGACCUCCAUCGCCCUCGAGGACUUCAAUGCUCUUGACAGCUUGUGGGAGGACCUUGGGGAGGAGGUUAUCGGCGUCGAGGAUAGCGGCCUUGAACAUCUUGGCCAGGGGAAUGGGGGACGUGAGCUCUAAGUCGAAAGUGAUGACACCCAUGACUGGAUCCUAACAGAGUUGUUGAAACUGAGAAGGCAGCGAUGAUCUGGAAAGACUUGAGUAGUAGUGAUGAAGUUGGUCUCUGGGACUUGGGAGUGAAGAGAAGAGGCUGAAUUGAAGUUGACAUAUAUAGAGAGAGGGAGACUGAGUGUGAAGGGUUCUGAUCACUGCAUAUUUUCUUCUUACAAGAUGCAUUAUAUUUCGCAGGAAAUAAAUAAUUUAGAAAAUAUUUUCCUAAAAAUAAUAACUAAAUUUAGAUAGUGUUUCCAAGCAUAAGUUAUUUGGUGAGUGUGCUGCAUCUUCUAAAUUGAUCUAAAUUGCUAAAUUUAAUGGGCUCACUAGAAAUAAAAGUCUAGAUUCCCUUUAAUAUAAGUAUGACAUUACCUCAUUUUCAAGUUUUCGUCAAAAUUGUUUGUAUGUACUAAGUUAAUCUAAAUCACUAAAUUUGAUGGGUUCACGUGGGAUCCAUACAAAAUUCACUAGAAUUAAAAGUUCAGAUUUUGCUUACUAUAAAUACAGUGCUCUUUCCUCAAAUUGUGUAGCGUGUACUAAAUUGAUCUAAAUUGCAAAAUUCAAUGGGUUCAAGUGGGACUCAUAUGGAACUCACUAGAAUUAAAAGUCCAGAUUUUGCUUAAUAUAAAUAAGUCCCUAGCUCAUUUCCGAGUCUUCAUAAAAAGUGUGUUGUAUGUCCUAAAUUGAUCUAAAUCGCUAAAUCUAACAAGUUCACGUGGGAUCCAUGUGGAACUCACUCGAAUUAAAAGUCCAGAUUCUCCUUGAUGUAAAUACGAUGCUAUGUCAUUUCUAAGUUUUCGUCAAAAUUGUAUUGUAUAAACUAAGUUAAUCUAAAUUGCUAAAUUUGAUGGGUUCAUGUGGGAUCUAUAGGAAACUCACUAAAAUUAAAAGUUCACAUCAUCUUGAUUAAAAUAUAGUGCUCUUUCAUCAAAAUUACGCCGUAUGUACUAAAUUAACCCAAAUCGGUAAAUCUGAUGGGUUCAUAUGGGACCUAUAUGGAACUCGCUGGAAUUAAAAGUCUAGAUUUUGCUUAGUAAAAAUAAGACCCUAAUUCAUGUCCGAGUCUUUGUCAAAAGUGUGUUGUAUCUCCUAAAUUGAUCUAAAUCACCAAAUCUGAUGGGUUCACAUAGGAUCCAUAUUGAAUUCACUGGAAUUAAAAGUCCAAAUUCCACUUAAUAUAAAUAUGACGCUAGCUCAUUUCCAUUUAUUUAUCAAAAUUGUGCUAUAUGUACUAAGUUAAUUUAAAUCGCUAAAUUUGGUAGGUUUAUGUGGAACUCAUAUGAACCUCCCUUAGAUAAAACAUCCAAAAUCGAUUAAAUAUAUACCACGUCAACUCAUUUAUGAGUCUCCAUCAAGUGCCUUUUUCUCAUCUCUUUGAAGCUUCCGAUCGUGUGCCAUUCCGUCACAUGUGAGUCGCGAAUGAUUUUCCACACCAAAGUCUUUGUUAAAUCUCAAGACUUAAAAAUACGAAUGUGAAGUAACAAUUGCGUGUCAAAUGCAGAAAAUUCUUAUGUGAAAGAGUUGACCGUCCCUUCUUGAGUCAACUGUUCUCUUCCUUGAUAUGCUUUGCUGAUCUGGCCUCAGACACAGAUGUCAGAUGGUCAAAGGGGCGCAUUCAUGUUGACACAUAAAUUUUGAUUAGGUUAUUAAUUAAGCCUUAAUUUCUUUUAUAUUUCCUUUUUUCGGAUAUUAAACAAAACAAAUAACAAAAACAACAAAAAAAUAAAUAAAAACAAAGAAAAAAACCAAAGCAGCAGCCAUUGGAGUUGGGCCUCCAAGCCCAGCCCAUCCUUUUUCUUCGAGUGGGCUCACACGACCCAACCCACCCCCCUCUCUCCUUCUUCUUCCUUCUUCUUCUUCCUCACUCCUUCCUUCUCCGCCUCUGUAGUUCACACGCAGUGACGACGACACGCUCGAAGACAACCUACGGCCGAGGAGGGUAGGCCAACGUCGGCCGGAAGAGACAGAUUCUCAAGCGCCAUUAUUGGUUUCCUUCAAUGCCGAGCAUAGUUUGUUGGUGGAGCUCGGAUGGGACACCGAUUCAACCGCGGGGGUCCAGUCGGCGUGCGAGGGCCGAUGGUCGAACCUCCAUCGACCGGCCUCCUCGCUUAUAAAUAGGAAGGCACAACCUCCGUCAAAGAGGACACAAGCCGAUAAGCUCAGAGGGGUCCCUGAGAGACUUCAAGGAGCUCAAAGAGCAAGCAAGGCAGAAAUCGAGUCGCGAGCUCAAAGCGACCUCCCUCUGAGAGACUUCGGGGGAGGCCGGCGGCAAGCGAGCUUGAGGGGGAGAAAGGGGCUGAGCGAGAGAAGAAUCGGAGGAGAGAGGGUCAGAUAUGGGCAUGAAGGCUCGUUGCUGUCCCCUAGACGCCGUCGCCUUGACCAAGUUCCCGACGCUGUGCCCCAACGCCGUCCAGAUUUGAGUGAGUAGGCCAGAGAGAAGAGGAGAUCGGAGGAGAUCCUAUGCCCCGACGCCGCCGCUGCGUCAGAUCUCGCCGUGCCGCCAUCCUCACGCCUCGUCGCUGCCGCUUUCCUUGACGUCGUCCAAAUCUGAGUGGGCUUCGGGGAGCAGGGGUCCGUUGCCAUCGUUGUCGCUGUGUCUGGGUCCUCGCUGUGCUGCCCCCUACUGACGAGCCCCGGUUGAAGUCCCCAAAGCCAGUGAGCAUCUCUGACCCCCCCUCGUCUAUCACCUCAUUUCUAGGUCGGCCAUGUCGGGGCAUGCGAUUAUCGAGCUUGCAUAAGCUCCAACCGCCGGUCGCCCCUUUCUUCGCCGUUCUGCCUUCUCCGUUGUAGCCUUGCCAUAGUAGCCCAAAUGUCGCCCAAUCGCUUUCAUUCUUGCCAUCUUCGCCGUAGCCUACCGAAGCCACUUCGCCGCCGCUCGGAUGCCUUCCCCUCCCGUCGCUCGUCGCGGCCACUGGACCGCGAAGGUAGCUGCGGCUGCGAAAAUCGGGUCAGCCAAGUCAGAUCGUGUGACCCGGCGCCCUAGGGUUUCCAUCAAGUAGGUCGGGUCGUCAGGCCGGGUUUGGAGCUCGGGCUAGGCAUCCCCUUUUUAAUUCAAAUAGGCCCAAUUCCCGUGUGUGGGCUGAGGUUUUUUUAAGAAAAACAAAAACAAAAAUAUAGUCCGCAUUCUAAGCAGACGACCCGGGUCGGACCCAACCUUGGAUCCAACCUGGUUCGUUUUUAAAUUAUUUUAAUAAAUAAAAAAUAAAAAAAUAAUUUAUUUUCCAGAAAAAAAUAUCUAUACUUUCCCAAAAAUGUCUAAAAUGUCAAAAAAAAAAUAAUCCAAAAAUGAUUUAUAUUUUCAGAAAAAAGAUCAAAAAUCCAAAAAAUGCUUUUUAUGUCCAAAAAAAUAGAAAAAAGACCAAAAAAAAAGUUUUUCCUCCACAAAUGCAUGGAAAAUCCCUCAAACAUCCAAAAAGCCUCAGGGUUUAAACAAGAUUAGGUACCGAAAGGGCGUUAGUGAUUAACUAGUAUAAUCAAGUCUCCGAUUCUAAUUUCUCUCGUUGCGCAAGAGCGAAUAUUUCUCCUGAUACUUCGCUUGGGUUUCUAAUUGACCCACCCCAAACCGAUUAGUGGCGACUCCAUUUUAAAAUUAGCUUACAGGUUAAAACUUGGACUAUUAAGUCGUGAAUUGGUGGACUUGGGAGAGUCCAGGCUUAAAUAGACAUAGCUGAACCAUUAGCCUCCGCCGACGCCCGCCCCGAUCGGGCAUAAAAAAAGAAAAAGAAAAAAAAAGAGGUCGCGACAGGGGCACAUUCAUAUCCAUAAUCUCGCAGCAGUUUCAACUCUGUAAAAGAAUGCCGAGAUCUUUACAAGAUGUUUGACAAGCGUCUUUGAUGACAGCAUGCAGCAUAUCUACCGCUUCAGAACAUAGUUACGGUUCAGUCUCGAUUGUUAUUUUUCUUGAAAGAGACACGAGAAUGAAGACGUAAACCAUGGUGGGAGAUAGAUCGAGCCAACGUGCAGGAACAACUCAAUUGUAAGCAUCAGGGUUUUUGCAAGAGAUGGGCUUUCAAUGGCUUUCAACAUUCCCAUGGCCUUCUCUUUGCUGGCCUUGUUCUCCUCCCGUCAUGGCGAAGUACUUGCUCGUGCUCUUGCCCCCACCUUGGCCUUGAUCUCAUUCGAGAUCUUCUCUAGCGCAUCGCCCUCAACGAUGGCAUAUGUGUGCGUGAGCUUUCCUUGUCCAGCUUGUCGAUUGGUGCUUCACUGAGUUGAACUGUCUAGCUGCGAAACACAAAAAACUGCAGUCAGCUCCCACGUUAGCCUUAUCAAAGAAUGUCGGCAAACAUCUUCUUGACAUCACAUGUUAGUGCGAUGCGAUCAAAAUGAGUGAAAUUAGAAGACAGCGCAAGCACUUGCCUUUGCUGAAAACAACGUGAUGGUGCCGGGACUGCCAUCACCUUCAAGGGUGACAAAAUCCUCAAUGGCUUGCGGAAGGAGCUUGGGGAUGAGAUUGUCAUCGAGAACAAAGGCCUUGAACAUUCUUGCAAGUGGAAUUGAAUUCACUGUUGCCUAACAUGUUGUCGCGCGCGUGCAGAAUAUAGAUAGACCAAGCGAAUCGGAUAAAAUAGUCGGAAUGAAUGAAAGGAAAUCGGACACCGGAUUUACAUGGUUCGGUCCGAAUAUCGGAACCUACGUCCACGGGGAGAGCAGCACAGAAUUCCACUAUAGAAACAAGCGAUACACCGGAGAUUACAAUCACUCGAGUACUCAAACACACUCUUAGUGUUUUCCAGCCCCAAAUUACACCCAAAUAACUCACACAGUGUUUAGCCUCUCAUAAUUCCUAGUGAAACCUUACUCAAGGAAUUAAAUAAAUUUUACUCACAAGAAUUUAACUGGCUAAAACACUCGGAUGUAAUUUCAACGAGAAAAUCUCUCUCUGCUGAGAGCUUAUGAAGCAUCACGACUUCUCUCUUCAGCUCUCUCUCUCUCUCGGCCAUCGAAAUAACUCAGCACGGCGCCAUCUUCUCCUUCGCUCCUCUGCCUUUUAAGGGCGAAACAAGACAGAAAAUGUGAAGCCAUUCAGGCGCUCGCAAUUAGCACUGACGCCCACCAAAAUUCACAGGCACGCAUGCACACUUUGCAUUUAAUGAGGCAGAAAACGUGCGCCCAUAAUGUAAGAGCGAAAGAAGGAUGGCCGCCGUCUUCCAAGACCAUCUCCACGACGUUGAACUCCUUCAGGUAAUAUUUUAUCCUUUCUUUCCUUUGGUUGUCUGCAGCUGAAUAAACAAAUGGCAAAGGAAAGAAACAAGGAGAAAGAAGACAAAACAAGCCUACAAACUUUUACUUUUGUCUUGGUCUUCAACGUCCACUUCUUACCAUGCAUGCACGUCCAUGUGCAUGCAAUUAAAGAGGUAGAAUAAAAUAAUGGUCUUCCCCUCUCGCGGCUACACGCUCUCUUCAUUCUUCACGCUUGCGGCUCAUAGAUCCACAUGCGAUCUUCUUCUGACAAUUUCGGCCAAUUCACAUGCUCUACUGACUCGCACGUGGUUGAGUUCACAUACUCUCGUUCAACGGGCUCAAAUCGAGACAUAUUUUCAACAAUCUCCACCUUGCUCGACGUUUGAGCCAAAUCAUAAUCGCUUCAGUGGACACCUCACUGCUACUCUCCCACAGCCCCAACUGGCUCAACCGCCACAAAGUGCUUCCAAGUUCAAGCCGCGCUUGAACUUUCCCAUAACCGUGGACCUCAUCAAGACACCAACUCCACCUGCAUAAUUAACUACUCCACAAGGAUUUUCCGACAUAACCUCCUGUAUCAUAGAUAAAGCAAAAACAUCGUUGCUUCCAUAUUUGACAGAAGGUCGAACAUGCACCUUGUCAAAUUCAGCAGCUACAACAACUGUUGGCUCUAUCGGCUCCACCUCGCUACAAGCAUCAUCCGUGUCGAUUAUUAUGCUAGUACCCGCUACCUCAGGAGUUUCUGGUUGCAACUCCACCUUGAGCUGAACACCGUCCAGAUCCGUAUUAACACUGCCAAAAACACUCCUAUCCAGAAGUACUGGAGACUUGUUAAAGGUAACUUCUCUGCUGUCAACAGGUGAAUUUAUAUCCGGGCACCACAAUUGAUCGCCCCACUCACCUUGUGCAUAGCCAUGAUAUAUGCACCUUGCCCUCCCAUUGAGCUUACCAUCACUCACUCGAAAAUAACAUGGGCAACCAAACAUUCUAAAAAUAGAAUAAUCAGCAACGUUACCUGACCACACUUCUUCAGGAGUCUGCCAUUCAAUAGCAGUUGAUGGGGAUCUAUUCAUCAGGUAACUUACCGUACUAAGCACAUCAACUAGGAUUCUCUUAGCAACACCAGCACUAGAGAUCAUUUUACGGGCCGUCUCUAGUAAUGUUCUGCUCAUCAAUUCUGCAAAUUGUUGUGAUUUACUGGCACUAGUGCGGUGUUUCACUAUGCCCUCUUUCAUGCAGAAUUUAUUUGACAGCUCCAAGCAAAACUCCAUGCUAUUGUCAGUCCGCACAUGCUUGAUCUACUUACCAGUCUCCGUCUCGAUCAAAGCUCUCGACCGCGUGAUCCUGACACCAGCAUCAAACUUGUGCAUCGGGACAAACACCCAGGUCUUCCUCGAGCAGUCAAAAGACUCUCGAACAGAUGCAUCCAACGUCUCCAGGGCGGAACCUGUCACUGUCUCACCUUGAAGUUUAUACAGGCCUCCAUGCUUGAUUCCUUUCAUUAUCACCAGGGCACCUUGAACAACCUUCAAAACUCCACCUUUUGAAGAAUACCUGCAACCAACUGAAUCUAGGGCACCCAAGGAAAUUAAGUUCUUUUUCAAUUCUGGAACAUGUCUUACUCCAGUCAAUGUCCUCACAAUACCAUCAUGCAUUCUGAUUUUAACAUCACCAACACCCACAAACAUCGCACUCAGCGUUGUUCCCUAGCUGGGCUUUACCAUUACCCAUGCACUGAUAAGUGAUAAAACAGUUCCUAUUUGGUGUAACGUGAAAUGAACAACCAGAAUCCAUUAUCCAUCCGUCAAAUGACGAAUCCUCAGUGACAGACAAGACACAAUCGACACCAUCAGAAUCAUUCUUAGCUACAGCUGCAACAUUUUCUAUAGACUCAACUCUAAUUCCCUUACCCUUUUCAUUAUUCAGCUUAAAACAGUCUCUUCUACGAUGCCCACUAUUGCCACAAUUCCAACAGACAAUCCUACCAGUCCUAGAUUGACUUCGUCUGUUCAUGUUCCUGCUAACACGUGUGCUAGUUCUUCCUCUACCUUCACCUACUAAAGCAAUAGACACGGGUUCAUCAGAUUCUUUCCUACGAAUGUCUUCACUCAGAAUCAAAUCACGAACCUCAUCAAACGUCAAACUUCUUGACCCAGAGGAAUUACUAACAGCAGUAACGGUAGUAUUCCAACUAUCAAGCAAUGAGGAUAAUAAAAUCAAUGCACAUACCUCAUCUUCAAAGUUAAUCUCAACCGAACUCAAUAGGUUAACGACCUCAUUGAAUUCGUUGAUAUGUUCAGCUACUGACUUACCUUCGCCCAUCUUUAAGUGAAACAGACGUCGCAUCAAAUAGACCUUAUUGAUCGCAGAGGGUUUCUCGUACAUAUUCGACAGGGCUUUCAUCAGUCCCGCAGUCGUUUUCUCCUUCACGAUGUUAAAUGCGACGUUACGAGCCAACGUCAGCCGAAUAACACCCAUCGCUUGUCUAUCCAGCAAUUCCCACUCGUCAUCCUUCAUCGAGUUUGGUUUCUCCCCGGAUAAGGGCAAAUGCAAAUUUCUCUGGUACAGACAAUCUUCAAUCUGCAUUUUCCAGAAAGCAAAAUCCUUCCCAUCAAAUCGGUCGAUUCUCACCUUUCCAUCUUCCAUCGUUACCGAUUCGCUUCACGUCAGCCAAACCAGGCUCUGAUACCACUUGGUGUCGCGCGCGUGCGGAAUAUAGACGGACCGAGCGAAUCGGAUAAAAUAGUCGAAAUGAAGGAAAGGAAAUUGGACACCGGAUUUACAUGGUUCAGUCUGAAUAUCGGAACCUACGUCCACGGGAAGAGCAGCACUGAAUUCCACUAUAGAAACAAGCGAUACACCGGAGAUUACAAUCACUCGAGUACUCAAACACACUCUUAGUGUUUUCCAGCCCCAAAUUAUACCCAAAUAACUCACACAGUGUUUAGCCUCUCAUAAUUCCUAGUGAAACCUCACUUAAGGAAUUAAAUAAAUUCUACUCACAAGAAUUUAACUGGCUAAAACACUCGGAUGUAAUUUCAACGAGAAAAUCUCUCUCUGCCGAGAGCUUCUGAAGCCUCACGACUUCUCUCUUCAGCUCUCUCUCUCGGCCACCGAAAUAACUCAGUGCGGCACCAUCUUCUCCUUCGCUCCUCUGCCUUUUAAGGGCGAAACAAGACAAAAAAUGUGAAGCCAUUCAGGCGCUCGCAAUUAGCACUGACGCCCACCAAAAUUCACGGGCACGCAUGCAUACUUUGCAUUUAAUGAGGCAGAAAACGUGUGCCCAUAAUGUAAGAGCGAAAGAAGGAUGGCCGCCGUCUUCCAAGACCAUCUCCACGACGUUGAACUCCUUCAGGUAAUAUUUUAUCCUUUCUUUCCUUUGGUUGUCUGCAGUUGAAUAAACAAAUGGCAAAGGAAAGAAACAAGGAGAAAGAAGACAAAACAAGCCUACAAACUUUUACUUUUGUCUUGGUCUUCAACGUCCACUUCUUACCAUGCAUGCACGUCCAUGUGCAUGCAAUUAAAGAGGUAGAAUAAAAUAAUGGUCUUCCCCUCUCGCGGCUGCACGCUCUCUUCAUUCUUCACGCUUGCGGCUCAUAGAUCCGCAUGCGAUCUUCUUUUGACAAUUUCGGCCAAUUCACAUGGUUGAGUUCACAUACUCUCGUUCAACGGGCUCAAAUCGAGACAUAUUUUCAACAUAACAAUUCCAAGUCCCUUGGCAAGAGAUGUGUGAGAUUAUGUUAAAAUGCCCUCUAAAUGAUUCUUAAUUGCCUCGUUUAGUAAUCUAGGUCAACAUCACAAUGGUCUAAAUCAUAUAAUAAAGAAAGAGGACAAAAGGCAUGGAUCUCAAGCCCAAAUUAUACUUAUUAGCAUGCAAGAGAUCUUUGAAUGCAGAUACCCUUGAGGGUGGGAAGUCAUUAAGUUAUUAUUUAAAUAUUCUAACAGAGCCCAGUGGCUCGGACAAUCAAGCUUGAGUGCAUGUAGAUAAUUCUUGCUCGACAAACGCAUGGUGGGUCGUGAAUUGAGACUCAUCCGCGUGCACACUGGUGCCACCAUCACCAUAAAUACCACUUCCUUGACCAGUUGGACGGUCGAAAAAGGAAGACAUGGGUCGAGCACAUCCUUCAUUAACACAUUUGAGUCUUCCAAUAAUGUCGACGUUUGUGUCAUUCGUAGGGAAGAGGGAAGAUUUCCUGGAUGCUUCCCCGUCAUAAUCUAGCUUCAUUACUUUUACUGCUGACUCUGUUUCAUUAAAGAAGAAUGAGUCAAUGUUUUGAUCACACGGUUCCUUUCAGAUUCAUGUUGAAAUGUCAAAGUUUAUGUUCCAAAAGAUGAACAUUCUCAAGCUCACAUGGAUGGCCAUCACUUUGAAAUGAUUCUUGUGGAGUUCGAUCUAACAAUGAUUUGGUAGGACUACGUGACGAUGAUGUGCCGAUUAGAUAUUAUAACGAAAGGUCCUUAUUCGGAGAAAAGCGUAUUAAUCGAAUUUUGUCUGGUUUAAUAUGUAGCAAACGAAAAUGCUUAAUUAGUUGGUGAUAUCAUAUUAGCUUCUUGUGCGAUAUAAACAUCAUAUAAUAUAUUUCUUCAUUCAUAAUGCCCUAAUGUCACGGUAGAUCUGAUUCAAAUGUAUGAAGUAAGGCCUUUUAAAAUCAUUUUUAUAACUUAAGGUUGAUUCAAACUUCACUAGCACCGACAGUUUGACUCGGUCAAUAUUGGGUCGGCUGUCGGGGUGUCCCAAUAUCAGCUCAUCGUCUAAAUUUGGGGGAAGUGGAGGCUGCUGCUUUUCCGUUAUAUUUUGCUUCUCUUUUUCUUUUUUAUCAUUAUUAGUGUUGAAGCAUUUGUCUCUAACCCAAUGUCCCCAUCAAGAGAUAAGAUAGGAUUAGCUAAAUAGAACUUCAAAUAGCCCGAGUGUUACAAUAAGAUAAGUCCAAACCCUAAAAAAAUGAACUUUAUUUUGUCGGUAGCUUUCUUGACAUAUAAUAAGAAUGUACUUUUUGUUAAUGAUCAUAUGCAUAACGAUUUCUGAAAGAUUCUACCACAUUGAUAAUUUUAAAUAUUAAUCCAAAUUCGAGAUAUCAUGCCGAAGUUCGGAUUUAUUCAUUUGUUACUCACGAAUUAUCUUCUUGUAUGAAAUUUGCUGAAAAUUAGAGAAUCUCAUGAUACCAACAAAAUAUCGAGUUUAUUCAACUUUUUUUCAACUUUUUUUUUUGGUCUGAAAAAGAAGAUGUAUUAUAAUUUCAGUAACUUACAACCGGAUGCUAGGGCGUCAGCAUAUACAAGGUCUAGCAAAAUAGAAGGUGGGAAGAUGUUCCAAUUUUGGGCCGAAUUUGCAGAAAGGUGGGCCUUAGCAGCCUAGUCGGCCACAGUGUUGGCCUCUCGCUUGCAGAAACGAACCAAUAGGUUAGGGAAAAACAAAAGUAAAGCAGUCGCCUCCGCAAGAAGAGGUCGAGUCUCCCAUGGCGACGUCUCCACUCCUAUGACAGCCUCAACAACGAUACUACAGUCCGAUUCUAGGACAAUCGAAGCUUGAUGAAGCUCUUGUCUCUGCAGAUGGUGAAGCGCAAAGGUGACAGCUUGAAACUCCGCGAUUAGUGCAGAUGCAGCAUGAAAUCUCGUAGUAUAAACAUCAGUAAGUCUUCCAUAUUGAUCUCUACUUAUAUUAGCCAUCGAACCAUGUGUGCUUCCUGGUUGAAAAGAUGCAUCAACAUUGCAUUUCAAAAUACCUGGAUCCAGUGGUUUCCAAAUCCGAUGUGGGUGUUGUGGUGCUGUAGGUCUUGUCAAAAGGGCCGAGAUGCUGGCCUGAUAUAGUCGAGUCUGUGUUAAGGUGUUCUCUGCUGCAAAGGUUGAGUCCAGACGAUGGCCACGGAAGAUGAAUCCAUUCCUCAUUCUCCAAAUUUGCCACAGAAUGUUUGCAACAAGCUCUAGACCAGGUAAGUGAUUCAAUGAAAUAACCUAUUUUGCUAACCAAACUUCUAGUCUAGUGACCGUAUGGGGCUGCAUAGCAAUGUUAAUUUAUGGGUAAGCCUAAAUAGCUGUAGUCCACGGACAGAGGAGGAAUAAGUGCUCUAAAGUCUCUGGAAUGCUGUGUUGACAAAUCUAACAAAUUGGAUAAGUAAUAAUAUGUUUCUGAAAUAAGUUAUCUCGAGAUGCAAUGGCAUUUUGACAGACCGACCACAGAAAUAUAUGAAGUUUUGGAGCUAUCACAUAGCCCAGAUACGUUUCCAUAGAAUUUUAGGAUGUUGGUAUGAUAUUGAUGCUGUAUAGUUGUUGUUGCUGUUGAGAUUAGAAAGCACAUGAUAGUUGCUCUUUACCGAAUGUCAGCUCUUAGUGGCUGUCCAGACUAGCUUAUCUUCAGCAUAAGCAGGUCUAACUGGAAUGGUUUGAAUAUCUACUAUAAACUGGUCAUCAAAAAAUAUUUGUAGCAAAGAUGUGUUCCAGCUGUUGUGGAUAGGAUCAAUGAUAUCAACCACCAGUUUUGGUUCCUCUCUAGUGGUAGGGCCACCAAGAAUUCCUCUUGGUAACCAUCGAUCCUCGCAGAUUCUGAUUUGCCUGCUGUUACCCACUGACCUACUAACAUUAGGUAAUAUAGCAUCCCGGCCCACUAAAAUACUCAGCCAUCCCCAUGAGGGUCUAGCUCCUCUUAUCGCCCAUUGGAAAUUGGUGGAAUGAAAAUACAAACCCUUGAAAAUCUGACUCCAUAAAGCUUGAGGCUGUUGAAGUAGUUGCCACGCUUGCUUCCCAAGCAUGGCUCUGUUAAAUUCAAGAAGAUCUCGAAAUCCUAGACCUCCAUUGUCCUUACUCCUCUUUAGAAUAUCCCAUUUCUUCCAAUGUAUCCCUGCUCUGUUCUGAUCAUUUUUCCACCAGAAACAAGCUAUACUUUUUUCUAUAGAUCUGCAAAGAGACACAAGAAGUUUGAAAAUCGACAUAGCAUAGUGAGGAAUUAACUGGAUGACAUAUUUAAUGAGAACUUCCUUUCCUCCUUUUGAAAUGAACUUUUCUUUCCAUCCUUCCAACUUUGAUUGUAUUCUUCCCAAAAGCCAAGAAAACAUUUCCUUUUUAGAGCGGCCCCAGUCAAACGGAAUUUUUUUUUCAACUUGAUACACUACAUAUGUAGCACAAUUUACAAAAUUCCACAAAACCAUUGCACCAGAUUCCUGCCACACCUUUCAUUCUCUUAUCCUGAGCAAAGACAAGAACAAACAACACUCAUCGGCCCAACAUGCUUAACUCCAAGCAUAAAGCGACUCAAAACUCAUCUUCUCUCCUUUUGAAUUUAGCACAACCAGACAUAUUUAACACAGUACGAUGAACAGUCAAGAUAGCGAUGGGAUCUACUCAAUAGGCAUCAGGGUUUGCAAAGAGAUAAGCCUCGAUGGCCUUGAACAUCGCAGACGCCUUCUCUUUCCCGGCCUUGAUCUUCUCCUCGGUGGUGUCCACCUCACCAAUGGUGAAGUACUUGCUCGUGUUCUUGCACACUGAGCCUCCCUCGGGCGACGCGGUGAUCUUCGCCUCGUAGCUAAUCUUCUCGAAGGUGGUGCCCAGCACGUCGCCCUUAAUGAUCGAGUAGCUGUAUGUGAAGUUCUCCUUGUCCAAGGCCUCAACCUUGUGCUUCAUUGUCUUGUACUGACUGCCUAUCAAAGAAAAAAGUAAUAUUCAUCUUUAGAACUCGCCAGUUUCAACAUCGCAAGCAACGAUCUUGAUGGCAUCAAUUGGGCCAUUUAGGUUGUUCCGACCGCAAUCCAAUACGAUUGACUUAGACAUGGCCUGAUUUCGCUCGAUCGGAAUCAAGCACAUGAUCACUUGUGAAAAAUCAAUUAUUAAAAACAUCUUAAUUAACCAAGUUACAUAUCUAUCUUUUUAAACAUUCAUGAUGAUGUUCCAUAAGGUUGGAACCACCUUGAUCCUGGGCAAUCCUAACACAGACAACCUAACCUUCGCUGAAAGUGAUCAACUUGAUGGUCCUGGGACCUCCAUUGCCCUUGAAGACUUCGACACUCUUGAUGGCUUGCGGGAGCACCUUGGGAAUGAGGUUAUCAUUGUCGAGGACAACAGCCUUGAACAUCUUGGCCAAAGGGACCGGGGUCGUGAUCUCAAAGUCGUAACUGACGACACCCAUGAUUGGAUUCGAAUUGAGUUGCUGAAACUAAGAAGGGGGUGAUCGGGAAAGGCUGAGCAGCAGUGAUGAAGUUAGUCUCUAGGAGUCAGGACUUGCGAGUGAAGAGAAGAGGCUGAACCGAAGCUCACAUAAAUAGAGAGAGAUUAAGGCUCCAUUCGUUUUACGGAAAAUAAUUUCUGGGAAAAUAUUUUUCGGAUUUUCCGGCGUUCGUUUCACAAAAAAUGAAUUCCUUGGGGAAAAUGUUUUUCAUGAAAGGAAAAAAAAGUGUUCUAAAUUAAGGGAAAUUUUUUUCUACUUUUGAAAAGUGGAAAACAUUUUCCUCACUUGAUCUCUCUUAUCUCACACCUCUACAAAUCCUCACUUCCUCCCAUUUCUUUUUCUUCUUUUCUUUUUUUGUUCAAAUUAUUUUUUAAUUAUUUUUUUCUUUUUUUAAUUCAAAUUAUUUUUAAUUUCCUUUUUCUUUUCUAUUUCUUUUCUUUUUUUCUUUUUCUUUUUUUUUCUUUGUUUCCAAUCUUUUUCUUUCUUGACUAGUUGUUGGCCAUUGCUAGGCGAAUCUCGAGCUCAUCGAUCUCAAGCUCGCGCUCUACACUCUUGCUUAUCAUUUUCUUUAUUUAUUCUAUCCUACAGUUGUACAUUGCUCAAGUAAAGUGCUUUAUAUGCUUUGCUUCUUUUUUCUUUUGUUUAUUAGAACACAAAAGACGUAGGGGGAGAACAGGCCACUCAACUGGAAGAUUCUCAUGAGGGUUGUACAUGCUUUGCUUCGUUUCUCUUUUGCUUCUUUUUAAAAUUCAUACGAACAUUUUUUAGAGUAGAUGAGCGUUUGGUGAUAAUGAGGGAACAAAGAUAUGAAGUAAGUUUGUUUGAUUUAAAGACAAGUUCAUAUUUGAUGGAUUUAUAAGUCGGUAAGUGAUGCAUGCCUAAGUGGUGAUGUCUUAGAAAAUAUUUUCCUUACCGGACACUGGAAAAUAUUUUCCAAAACAUUUUUAGGUUUUAACCGAACACCAGAAAAUAUUGUCAUUUUUCUAAAAAAAUAACUUAUGCGAAAAUAUUUUCUGGAAAUGACCCAUUUUCUGUGAAAUGAAUGGACCCUAAAUGUAAAAAGGUUUUCUUAACUAGAUAUUCUCUUCUCACUUGAUUGUGCGAUUAUUUCACGGAAAGUAAAUGAUUUAAAAUAUAUAUAUAUUUUAAAUAAUCAUUUAUACCAUUUAAAAUAAUUAGUUAAUGGAAAAUAUUUUCACUUUUUCUUCUUUUUUUAAACUAUACAAGCAAUCAAUUUGAGGAAACAUUUUUCAAAUUAUCCGAUUUCUAUGGAACAAAUCAAGUUAAAAAAAAAAACUUUAAUUGGUUUGUGAUCAAGUUCAAUCAUGAUAUGGACUUUGUUUAUAAAAUAAAAAAAUGUCCAUAUGAUAACAGAAUAUUAGUCAAAGAAGGCAUCUUCCUAGAAAAAUACCAAUCAUGAUUCCAUUUCCUUUUCAUGUAUUGACUUUCUAUCCAGGGGCAUUUGCUCGGCCAAUUCUUGGAUUUUUUCUUUAGCUAGAAUUCUUGGUUCAGCUUUGCUGAUUUCUUACAGUCUUAUCAUAGUGGAAAAUCUCAAGCCCUUUUGACUACAAAUGUCGUAUGGAUUUUUAAUCGAGAUAGGACUAAAUAGGAUGUGACAUAAAAAAAAAUUGAUAUUGUUUGGUGAUUAUAGUAAUAUAGUCGUAGAAAUCCACAUCAUAUUAUAUAUAUUAUUUGGUAUAAAUGACACAUUAGUAAAAAUGAACCAAAAUUUUUAUAAAUGGAAAUGGUAAAAAUCUCUCGCGAUACUCUAGCUUACUUUUAUUUUAUUUGGUUUUUUUUUUUUUGUGGCAUCCUAAAACUUCAUGACAACCCUUAGAUAUGCUAUGAACCAUGAAUAGGUGAUGGAAACACCAUCAAAUUAUAUUGUAGCCAUUAGACUCAUGAUUUGCAAUAAUAUUAAGGCCGAGCUUUUCAAUUGACCAUUAUUUGAUAGGAAAAUUUUAUUCUUGGCCAUACGUUUUAUAAGUUGGAUUUUAUUGAUUUAUGUUACAUAAUAUUAUGGCCAUAUGAAUUGGUAAUUAGGUGUAUACUUAGGUGAAGAUUAAAUGGGAAAAAUUAGAGAAGAGUGGAUUGAUUUUCUUAAGCCCAAGACCAGCCCCACCAUUCGGCCACUAAGGCCUGGCUUGCGAAGCCCAAAGGACUGCUGUCGAUUGGAUGGAGGAGUUGGCCCAAAGGAUGGCCCAUCAACCUACAUGAAAAUUAACAGGUAGAUAAAAGGAUUAGCCAAGUGGCAUCUACAUGCAAUCAAAUGAUUGCUAAUCAUUGCCGAAGGGAAGAAAAGAGAGGGAGAUUGAGCGGAGUGAGCGAGGAGUACUGAGAGAGAGAGAGAGAGAGAGAGAGAGAGAGAGAGAGAGAGAGAGAGAGAGAGAGAGUUGUCAUGCGAGAGAAAGAGAGACAGAGAGAAAGAGAGAAAGUAGGUGUGUGAGAGAGAAAGAGGAGGAGGAAGAAAACUGUUGUUGCCGAGCGUCCGCCUAGUCCUGCUGUCGAGCCCGCCUUGUCCCGCCGUCGUGUUUGCUGCAAUUUUCUUUGGAUUAGAGGAAAGUAGAGUCCGUUAGCCUACACUUUGCUUGCUGUGAUUGUGCUGUUGAAUGCUGGAAAUGCUUGAGUUGUGAUGUUGAAUGCUGGAAAUUCAAGUGAAUGGUGGUGGUUUUCCAAGUGAGCUGUUGCAUGUAGGAACAGUUCGACUUUUGGUGAUUUCGUGAGCUGCAUACGAUUUUGUAAUUGGAAUCUCACUUCAACUUUUUGAUGAAAGUUGUAGAGGACUUCUUGGAGAUUAAUAUAUCAAAAUUUGAGAGAAAACAGACAAUUAUUCAUUAGUGAAACCAUUUUUCUUCAAAGAUACUAGAUCUGGAAACUGUUAUGUUGAUCUAUUGUGAUUAUGUGAAUUUUGUGCAAGUAUCCAUUCUGAAUUUGAUCUUGUGUCCUUGAUAAUAGUUGUAGAAGACAUCUUGAGAAAUAACAUACUAAAAUUUGAGAAGAAACGGACAAUUAUUGGUCGGUGAAAUGAUUUUUCUUUGAAAUGGUUAGAUCUGGAAAGCGUCACUGAGGGUUAGGAAGAGUAUGGUGACUGUAGCUUUUGAUCUAUCACGAAUCUGACUUCGAUUUAUUCACGAAAAUUUUACCAAUAUGUCUUAGUUAUAACAUGUUGAAAUCGCAGAAUUUUUGGAGUUCAUUUAAGGGCUUAAUCGAAAUUAUUUCCGAAACUGUGCAAAAAGGGGUGCUGGAAUUUCUUUUGCUGUGAUGUAUGGACCUAUGUGAUUGAUGUGAAACUUUCUUGACAUGGUGUUCUGCAUGAAAUAUUUUUCUCUAGGUCUUUUUUACAUCAUGUGAAAUUUUUAGAAUUUAUUGAGAUCGUUUAUUAAUUUUUCCAGAAUUUUUAUUAAAGAAGUGCAUUCUGCUUUAUUCGAAAAUUGUCCUAUUUUGAAAAACAAAUGAAUUGCUUUAUGAAAUAUGAAGUAUUGAGUGGUUAUUUAUGCUGCAUAUGUGGUGACAUUUGGCAUAUCAUAUGACAUCAAAAGGCAGGUUUAGACCUCGAAUAUUAUUGCGUCAAAUGCUUAUUUGAAAAUGAGAUAUAUAUAUAUAUAUAUAUAUAUAUAUAUAUAUAUAUUGUGGUGAUGAUGAUAUCGUCGGAGGUGUGAGCCGACGAUGCCCCGGGAGUGUCAGGAUGCCCAAAUGUUCGAAUGAGUCGAUGCCCUUUGGAUGCCUGAUUGUAUUAUGAAUACAUGCCCAAAGGGUCCUCGGGAGUUUCGAGAUGCCUGGUGGUAUACGGUAUGUAAUUCCAGGGGGAUACCUGGUGGUAUGUUGGUAUGUAAUUCCGGAAGCCCUGGAGGUGUGUGCCGGGGGGAUCCUCAUGAUGCUAGUUGGAGUGCGAGAUGCCCGGAGGUUUGUGCCAGAAGUUCCUCGCGAUGCCAGGUUGUAUGCGAGCGAUAAAUGAGGGAUGCAAGCAGUGGUCCCUAGGAGAAUGAUGGGAUCCUUUUGAAUAUCAAAAUGAGAAUUGAAUCAUGCAUGUGUGUGUGUGCAUAUGGCAUGUGAUAUAAUUGCCUGUGAAAUUGAGUUGAUACUAUUUGGCAUCGAAUGGAUCUCAUGAGGAUAUAUACAUGAUUAUGUGGAUGACAUGAAUUAUGCGUAUGGAUAUGUGCAUAUGGCAUGAGAUAUAAUUGUCCAUGAACUUGAAUUGGUAUUACUUGGCAUGGGAAAUAUGACUAGUAAGGUCGUGAAUGAAUCUCAUGGACAUAUAUGCAUGAUGGCAUGGAUGAUAUAUGCAUGUCGCAUGAAAUUGUGUUGUCUUGCCUAAUGCAUUGUGUAGUUUGAUGGAUAUUUACUACUGAGUGGUUGUACUCACCCCUUUGGGGACCAACAUUUCAGAUUGAGCGAUGCCUCUAGCAUCUGUCACAUGUGGUACAUUCGAUGGUAUACCAUCUGAUGUUGAGGUCGAGUGCAAGGAACACCCCUGCGUCGGUGUUCAUGGUCUGGUGUUUAUCCGCGUCCAUGUCUUGGUCAUGUAUGAUGUGAGCCUACCUGAUAUAGUAUAGGAGUUUCUAUCUGUCCAUGUUUGUCGAGAUAAGAGGAUGAUAGGGAUGCUGCCGCCGCCACUGGCCGAUGCAUCGAGAUGGGUGUGAUAGGAGUGUGUGAUUGGUGGAGGUUGAUACUUUUUGGGAUGGCUGACACUAGCUUAUGGAUAGAUGUACAUGUAUGAUGUAUAGUUGGGUUCUUUUGGGUUUAGCCGAGCUUAGUUAAAGUCUUGGCCUUUUGUUGUACCGACUUGUGAAAUCCAUCUUAGUUAUGUAAAUAAAAGUGAUUCGGCCCUAAUAUAUAUAUAUGAAAGGUUGUAUUGCAUUGUAUUAUUUAGUUUGUGUAUGGGUUAGGGAGAUGAUGAGUAUGCUUCCGUUAUAUGAACUGCGCUGGGACCGAUUAAGGUUAUACGAACCCCCAAGGAUUUAUGGACCCGCUACAAUUGAAAUGGUAUUAGAGUAGCAUGUUAUUAGGACAAGUGAAAGGUAAGCAAAUUGUGGCGACCCUAGCAAAUUGGGGGCUGUGUCGAGGGGCGCACAUUUUUAUUUUAUUUUCCCCUCUUUUAUUAAUUAAUCUUUUUUAUUUUUUCCCCUCCCAUCAUUCUCUAAUAAAUUUUUAUUAAAUAGUAGAUUGUACUAAUAUAAUCAAAAUACUAAUAUAUUGAAAUUAUUUUAUAAAAAAUAAUUAAAUUCGAAUAUAUGAAAAUAAAAAUAAGAUUAAAUUAUAAUAAUUAAUUCAUUAUUUUUUUGUUUUUUGAAUUUCUUAUAUUAGAAUUCAAAUAUUAUUUAUAUUGAGAUAUAAUUUUAAUUUUGUUAAUUUAAAAAAGUUGUCCUUUGGUUCAAUGUGCAAUGUAAUCCAUGAACUUUUAAUUUGUUCAAUAUGAUCAAUAUAUUUUUUAUACAUGUUUAAUGUUGUCUUUAAGUGGUAUGUAAAUGUUCAAUAUAGUCUUUUAUUAAUUCAAAAUCAGGGUGAACAUUUUCAUAUAAUCUAGUGACUAAAUUGAAUAUAUACAAAAAAAAAAUCAAAUAUUACAUUAAACAAAUUAAAAGUUCAAGAACUGCAUUGCACAUUGAGUUAACAUUGAUAGAUCAUAUUAAAUAAAUUAAAAAUUUAGAGAUCACAUUAUACAUUAAGUUAAAAUUCAUGAAUUAUUUGUAUCAUUUUUCCAUAUGAAAAAGCUUACACAAAAAGUCCCGACACAUGGAUAUCAACCCUCCAUAAAUUUCGCCCAUAAAGUAACUCUCGCUUAAUUGCAUGUGAUAGAAAAGUAAAUUGUUCCAUUUACCUUAGGAGCAUCUCUCCUCCCAUGGAGAGCUAAACCCCUCAAAACCCAAUAAAUUGCCCGUACAACAAAUGAUUCACUUUAGGAUUAACUUUUAUUUCAAUCACCCCAUUCUUUUGCUAAAGCAACAUAAAGCUUCUGCAAACCCUUUUUAUUUUUUUUAUUUUUUAUUUUUUUUCGAAUUUUAACUUUGUCUUCAUGGACUACGGGGAGAGGGAGGGAAGCUUUGGCCAUUUUCCUUAGAUGCAUCUCUCCCUUGUUCAGCCUCCAACCUUUUGCAACCCUCUCCAUGCAUUGACUGCUCUUUCAUGUUAUUGUUGUGAUAUUAUCUUGUUCCUAGUUUUGUCUGGUUAUCAAAAGCAAAUUGAAAACUAUGAUGGGUCUCUUGUUUCUGAUUGGGAAUUAUCCCCAGACAAAUCCAUUUUUCCUCGGCCAAAAGGUUAAUUAAUUGUUUGCAUGAAAUGAUUCCAGAAGGAUAUUGCAAUAUGAGCAUAUAUAUGUUACCUUUUCCCCAUUGUAAGCAAGAACUUAAUACAUGUUUUUCUUGAUCAAAGCUAGCCUAUCUCUAGUUUCUUUUUCAAAUGCUUUUCUUAGAAUAGGCCUUUUGUGUAAUAUUGGCCUUUAGUGGGACCAAAAAACACAAGGAAAAAAAAGGGGUUGAAAAGUGAAAAGAAAAAAAUUAAGUGGAUGCUUUAGCUUAUAAAGAAAAGCAAAGAGGAAAAGAAAAGAAAGAAAAAGAAAGAAAGGGGAAAAGAGAAAGAGCUUUGUGUGUACAUGCUAUGGGAGCCUCACUAGGCUGGAGUUACUUUGAUUUGCAAUGUAUGGUAAGUGCUUGCACCUCUUAUUCUUCUAAUCGGAGUAGUUUUUGGAGUUAUGUCGUAGUUUUGGGAAUUAUGUCAUAUAUUCAAAGUUUUGUGAAAAUCAAGUUGCGAAAUCCGAUUAUUGAGUUGUUGAGUUAUGAGAUUUUAUGAAAAUGGUGGGUUAUGGUUUCGUGAAGCCAUAGGGUUUGUCGAGAGUUGUUUUUGAGUGAUAGUUUAUUUGGAGUGAGAGUCUUAGGAUUUCACAUUCACAUUCCGUAUGGUGAACAUCUUAAAUAAUCACUUCAAUGAGCGAUUUAUUAGUGCGUAGAAGUUGUUUUGUUCGUGUUUAGAUGUAGUUUAGCCAUUUUGUAGUUGAGGUAGAGUAUUACUUAGUUUUAAUGUUGAUUCUCGUUUAAUUGAUAGAACUAUGAAAUCAUCAACCCGUUUAGCUACACGUUGGUUGAUUUGGGCAUUCAUACGUUAGUAAACUCAUUUCUUAAAAAUUAUAGAAAUUUGAUAUAUUAUAAGUUAUUACAAUUUGAUAUUUGUAAAUGGUUUGCCAAAUGUUUUUGGAAAGUUGUUGAGAAAGGUUAUAUGUAUAUGUAUGGGUUGAUUUGUAAAUAUGGCUUAUGAAGUGGAUUUUGAAAUGGUUUGUGAAACGUAUUAUGAUUUAUAAAAUGGAUUUCGAAAUGGUUUGAGAAAUGCCUCGUAAAAUGUAUUAUGUUUGAUGAAUGGAGUUGAGAGAAAGAUUAUAUGUUUGGUUUGUGAAACCGUUUUGUGAUAUUGAUUCCAAAUUAGCUUGUGAAUUGUGAAGGAUAUUGUUGUGAAUUUUUGUUGGUACUUAAUAUCGCUAUGAGCCCAAUAAGGGGUUUGUAGGUAUGCAUACUAGUUAGGAUAUUCUUGUGAGCUAGCUACCGUCAAUAUAAGUGGAAACCUUGCCAAAGGUGAGCUUGGUUACCUUGUCAUGGAGCAUUAUGCAUGUCGUGGUAGAAUUUAAGUAGGGGUUUGGCCAAUGGAUGGACUAUUGACAUGUGACUUGAUAUUAGUUGAUAUAAUGGACCAUUGACAUGGUUUUUUUUUUAGAUUGAUUAAUGGACUUAAACAUGGACUUAACCAUUGAUGUUUGUCAUAAUGAUAUUGAUUUAAGGAGUAUUUUUUUUUAUAUGUAUAUAGUUAUGUUAAAAUGAUAGAACUCAUCUUUAUCUUAUCUGUGUAUUAUGUUAUGAAAUUGAGAUAAAUGAGUUUUAAUAUUAUUUUGUAAAGUACAUAGUGGAUACUCUAUCUACUUAGAAGAUAUGAGUACUACUCAUUAGGCUAUGGUUACUCAUUCCAUUCAUCUUUCAUGCUUUUCAGGUCCUCAAUUAGUGGCUAUUAGAGUGAGAGUGUUAUUCAGGAGAUUUUUGAAGUUGACUUUUGACACGCCCUAAACCUCCGAGCAUGUGCACAUCCCACUUCGGUCGAUAGAAAUGCGACUUCCUAAGACACAUCGCCAACCCAUUUAUGUUAUUACGCAUGCGGAAGCAAAACAAAUCCCUUGACAACAUUUAACUUGGGAUAGAAAAUCAGGAAAUCAAUCACAACCAAUCAAGCUUUCUUAUAAACACAUAGGUUUAUAUACAACACUGGAUUGUCUACAAAAUAGACUGGCUCAACAAAAAGGGGACUGUCUUAACAUCCACUAGUCAAACCCAUUUGCCGAUUCUUUAGCCUCCACUUUCCGAACUCCAGGACUUCCGGUCCUCCACGAUCAUCAUCUAGGGACCUGAAAUAUUGUCCCACAACCGGAAUGAGAUGAUAUCUCAGCUAGUCCUACCCUCUAAGACCCGAUUAGGAAAAAAAUACGCCUCACGGCACUCUAGCCACACAAAUAGGAUGGAGUACUUACCUCGCCUUAGUCAUUUUCUGCACUUCAGUACAAUUCAAUUCUCAAUCACACAAUUGAGCCAACUAUUCAAUUCAAUCAUACUAUCUAUCUUUCCAUUUCAAUUCGUACUAUCUAUCUUUCGAUUUCAAUCUGUACUAUCUAUCAACCAUUAUUAUCUAUCAUUCAAUACUGUCUAUCAAACCAGUUGUUAAUACGACACAUGCUCUCCAAAGCUGUAAUAUAUAGACGGUAACUCGCUCAAGCUGUAUAGAUAGAUAAUAGCUCGCCCAAGCUGUAUAGAUAGAUAAUAGUUCGCCCAAGCUGUAGAUAGAUAAUAGCUCGCUCAAGCUAUAGAUAGAUAAAUCGUGCUUGCACAAGCUGAUAAAAUGAUCUUAGCUCACACAAGCUUAUAUAUAUGUAUAUAAUAUUUGCUCGCCCAAGCUGAUACAUAUAUAUAAACUAAUGCUCGCCAAAGCUAUUCAUUCAAUAAUAAGCCAAUCCAUACUUCAAUUAAAUCAAUCAUCAAUCCAAUCAAUUCAAACUGGUCAUACAAACCAAUUACGGUGCUAAAAGCCAACACCGAGUAUUUUCAAGUUAAAUACCAAAACUUCUCCAAUUUCACACAAUCCCACACUUUUGGAAUUAUUAACCAUAAUUAUCAAUCACUCAAAUUUUCAAUUUAAACAUACAAUUAGCACAAACUGACCACACCAAUGCGAUUAGCGUGAAAUUCUAAUGAUCGGCCGUUCUGGCAAAAUUUUCGAAAUUAUUAAAUAAUUAAAUAUUAAAUUAUAAUAAUAUAAUUUAAUAAAUUAAUAUUUAUAAAUUCGAAAUAAUUAAUUAAUUAAAAAUAAUUAAUUUGGGCUUAAACAAGAUUACAUUAAUUUAAUCAUACAAUUAGCCAUAAUUAAACAUCCAUUAAACUAAUCAUAUAACUAAUCUAAUUUACAUUAAAAUAAUCUAAUCUAACCACCUAAACCUAAUUAGACUAAUUUAAACACCUCUUAAGCAUAAUUAACUUACUAAGCAGGGAUUAGAGGAUAAACUCACCGGUUUUGCGCGCCAGUGAGUUCACGGCGACCACGACGCCAAGGCGGUCGAUAAACCCCGAAGCGACGAUACCAACGUAGGCCGGGAAGGGCUUGAAAACGGGCCACGAAGUCUCCAAAACCUUGCUGUCUUCUGCUUCUGAUCUGGGCUGAACUGCAGAGAAGAAAACAGCAACUUCAACGGCGAAAACAGGCUGAUCUGAGCUCCGGCGAGCAGGUGGUUGGCAACCGGCGGCUCCUGGAGGUCAAGGGAAUCUUAUUGGAGGUUUGGAUGGGCAGAGGAAGGACUGGAAUGGGAGAAAAAUGGCCGAAAACGCGAAACAGUGCAGGCUGCAGGCAGGCUGACGGACUGGCGACCGGUUCCUUCCCGGCAGCGCCCAUGCCGUCCGGCGGCUCCGUUCGGGACGAAAUUGGGCUCGUUGGAACGGUCUGUCUCUCCUGGUCACAGUAAUAGGUGGCUCAUUGACUGAUUCAUCUGGGAAGACGACUUUUAACUCGAUUCUUCACUGAAGGGUCAGCUGGAGCAGAAACUGAAGGAGAGGGAAAACGAGGAGAGAGAGAGCUUCGUUCGAGGGAGGCCGAAUGGGGGAGAGAGAGAGUGAAGUGAGGGCUGUCAAGACCCCCAUCAAUGCUUGCUUCAAGUCCCCAUGCCAAGCCAUCAUCAUUUUCUCUCUCUUCUCUAGCCUUUUCUCCCUACAACUAGGGGUAUUUUGGUCAUUUCACCUUGCAAAAAUUACAAAUCUGACAUUGGGCUGAAGUUGGUGGGUGGACCUAAGGAUUGGGCUUGGCCAUGAAUAGGAAUGGGCUUGGGAAUUUGUUGGGCUUGAAAUGGAUAAGAAUUGGCCCAUGGGCUUAGAAGAUAAAUAGUAGGUUUUGCCCAAUGGGCUUAUUUGCUUGACUUAGGCCCAUUAAGGUGGCUGUCCAACUUUGGGCCUAGGGCCCACACUGGCUUGGCCCGGCCCACGACCUCACGAGCUCGCUUCCUCGAUUCAAAAAUCCAUUUUCCAAUUGCUCGGCUUAACUGGCUCUGUCAACUGUUUGAUGUAGCUUCAUCCAAAGUCUGUCCCGGACAUUCCCAAUAAUUCGAAGUCCAAUCCUAAGUUCUUUUGCCAUGUCAAUUUCGCCAAAUGCCAUUUCGAUUACAACUCAAACUAACGGGUGGCUGUGAGGAUUUACGCGUGACCGACUCGUGCCAAACCACGUUCAAGACAUCUCGACGCAUGGACGUCCUUGACUGUAUAAAAUUAUGGAGGAUAUAUUCUUAUUUCAAAAUACACGAUUACUAAGGAUCAACAUAAGGUCGUUCAUGGAUUCGAUAACAGUAAAUGGAAUCACUCGUCGUUCCAUUAUGUUCUGCCUGCGAAUCGACUUUUAGUUGUCCUUAGAACCGGCAUGGCUAUCUAUAGGAUCGUCCUCACGUAAAUUUCACGGUCAAGUCGUUUUCCUAGGUCGAGUCCUUUAGUCGUACGAGUUCUGUCCUCAUUAGUCUUUCCCCUCAAGGUCAGUAUCUCAUGAGUGAUCAAUUCCGAGCGAGAUCAACCAACAAUGCAUUGACGAAAUUCACCUUCACUCAUCCCUCAGAGAGCUUGAAUUUCAGGAUGUCACAACUUUUGGGUAGAUAGAGGCUACAUCGUUCAGGUGGAAAGAUAGCCGUCCUAUUCCCUUUUUUGCUAGAAUUUGAGGUGUGGUAUUUUGUUUCUUCAAGUUUAGAAUCAGUUUGAUCGAGUGUCCUUUCCAUUUGAAUUGGUGGCCAUCUUAUCAAAAAGUUAUUCUACAAGUGUGAACUCAACCACAAAUUUGGGCCCCAAAAUCUGGGUUAGGAUAAAUUUCUAUGGUUUCAUGUAUACAAUGUUUUCCAUGUACUUCUCUUGAAUGCUAAAACUGACAUAAGCAACGAGUGUAAUUGGGGUAGGAUCGUUACAUACAUUGUUUGUGAUGUCUAACAUGAUGAAAUCAUUUAUGAAUUCACACACUUUUAAGUAUGAUAUCUUUAAAAAAAAAAGGACCGCUGCUAAUGCAAAGUCGGUCUAUAAAUAUCUUGAAUUGCCUUUAUAUAUGUCGAUUUCAAUGAAUUGUAAAAGAGGUACAAGGGAAAGGGGUAACUAUGUGUGGCACCCCCGACACGGCCCCUGAACCGUUAGGGUCACCACAGUUCAAUUACCAUCCUCUUGCUUGGCCUUCAAUCUUAGGGGUUUACAUCAUUUAGAUCGGUCCCUGCGCAAUUUAUAUGGCGGAAGCGUAUCCAAUAACUCCCUUCCCUAUAUUUAGAAAACGAUGCACACCUACUAAACAUUUAUAGGUAAAAGUUGAACACUUUUAUUUACUUAAACCAGAUGGACAUUAUUCAAUGAUACAUCAAAAUGCUGUAGUCUUCUAUACUCGGCUAUACUUCAAAAGAUGACCGACAUCUCAUCCAACAGUCGUAUACUUAAAGUCCAUCGAUCAGUAUCGACGUCCAAAAGUUCCUUCAUUUGCUAUCCUCCUCCUCACGGUCAUAUCCAACCACUCGAUCCAUCUACCUUUGGCAGUGGCCGCAGAGGUACUUAUCUAGUUUGAAAUGUUAGUACCAAAACGGGGUGAGUACAACCACUCAGUAGUAAAGAUCUAUCAAACUACACAAUGCAACAAGCAAGACAACCACAAUUCAUGCAAAAUGCACAUAUCAUUCAUGCCAUUAUACAUAUAUGUCCAUGAGAUUCAUUCACGACCUUACUAAUCAUAUUUCCCAUGCCAAGCAAUACCAAUUCAAGUUCAUGGACAAUUAUAUCUCAUGCCAUAUGCACAUACCCAUACACAUGAUUCAUAUCAUCCACACAAUCAUGUAUAUAUCCUCAUGAGAUCCAUUCAAUGCCAUCAUGAUCGCAUUCUCAAUGCCAAAUAGUAUCAACUCAAUUUAACAGAUAAUUAUAUCACAUGCCAUAUGCACACACACACAUGCAUGAUUCAAUUCCCAUUUUGAUAUUCAAAAGGAUCUCAUCAUUCUCCCAAGGACCAGUGUUUGCAUCCCUCAUAUAUCGUUCGCAUCCAACCUGGCAUUGCAAGGAACCUUCGGCACAAACCUCCAGGCAUCCGGCAUAAACCUCCAAACAUUUUGCAUCCCACCUGGCAUCACGAGGAAUCCCCCCGGCACACACCAGGGCUUUCGGAAUUACGUACCGACAUACCACCAGGCACCCCCUAGAAUUACGUACCAUAUACCACCGGGCAUCUCGAAACUCCCGAGGAUCCUUUGGGCAUGUAUUCAUAAUACAACUAGGCACUCACAGGGCAUCGACUCAUUCGAACCUUUGGGCAUCCCGACACUCUCGGGGCAUCUUCGGCUCACACCUCCGACGGUAUCAUCAUCACCACAAUGUAUAUUCACACACACAUCUCAUUUUCAAAUAAGCAUUUGAUGCAAUAAUAUUUGAGGUCCAAACCAGCCUUUUGAUGUCAUAUGAUAUGCCAAAUGUCACCACAUAUGCAGCAUAAAUAACCACUCAAUACAUCAUAUUUCAUAGAGCAAUUCAUUUGUUUUUCAAAAUAGGACAAUUUUCGGAUAAAGCAGAAUGCACUUCUUUAAUAAAAAAAUCUGGAAAAAUUAGUAAACGAUGUCAAUAAAUUAUGAAAAUUUAAAAUGAUAUAAAAAAGACCUAGAGAAAGAGAUUUCAUGAAGAACACCCUGUCAAGAAAGUUUCACAUCAAUCACAUAGGUCCAUACAUCACAGCAAAAGAAAUUUCAGCACCUCUUUUUGCACAGUUUCAGAAAUAAUUUUGAUUAAGCCAUUAAAUGAACUCCAAAAAUUCUGAGAUUUUAACAUGUUAUAAUUGAGACAUAGAGGUAAAAUUUUUGUGAAAAAAUAAAAGUCAGAUUCGUGAUAGAUCAAAAUCUACAGUCACUCUUCCUAACCCUUAGUGACGCUUUCCAAAUCUAACCAUUUCAAAGAAAAGUCAUUUCACCGACCAAUAUUUGUCCAUUUAUUCUCAAAUUUUAGUAUGUUAUUCCUCAAGAUGUCGUCUACAACUCUUAUCAAGAACACAAGAUCAAAUUCGGACUGGAUACUUACACAAAAUUCACAUAAUCACAACAGAUCAACAUAACAGUUUCCAGAUCUAGUAUCUUUGAAGAAAAAUGGUGUCCGUUUUCUCUCAAUUUUGAUAUGUUAAUCUCCAAAAAGUCCUCUAUAAAUUUCAUCAAGAAAUCGAAGUGAGAUUCCAAUUAUAAAAUCGCAUGCAGCUCACGAAAUCACCAAAAGUCGGACUGUUCCUACAUGCAACAGCUCACUUGGAAAAACCACCACCAUUCACUCGAAUUUCCAGCAUUUAACAUCACAACUCAAGCAUUUCCAGCAUUCAACAUCACAAUAAUAGCAAGCAAAGUGUAGGCUAACGGACUCUACUUGCCUUAAAUCCAACGCAACCACAGCAAGCAAAAUGGAGGACUCGGGAUCUCGGAUGCUGCUCGGUGACGGCGGACUCGAGCGGUGUCGACGGUGGUAGCUCGGACACGGCACGAGCGAAGGGUGGCCUUCCUUCUCUGCCCUCACACGCACGGACCGCUCGCUGCUCACCCUCUCUCUCUAACUCUCACUCGAAUUCUCUCUCUCCCUCACACUUGCUCGCCCCCCCCCCCCCCCCCCCCCCCCCCCCUCACUCUCUCGGCCUCACUCUCCUUUUACCGAUAGUUUUUGCUUUUCUUUGAUUAACUAAUUCACUAAUUUUGUAUGCAGGUGACAAGUGUUCUCAUGGAAAGGACAAGUAGAAGAUGCAUGGACAAGUGGCUUCAAAUAAUGAACAAGUGGAGGCAAUUCAAGGACAAGUGUUAGAAUGGCAUCCCCUUCUCACGAGCCCUCUCUCUCUGUCCGAAUUCUUUUCUCUCUGGUUAGUACAAGUGAGCUGAUUAGUCGCUGGUUUUUCACCAAAACCAGUCAACUAAGAGAUAAUUUUUCCAUGGUUUGGCUGCAUGAAGGGCAGCUGGAUCCGUACGCGUCCAGCAUGCUUCUCUUCCUUCGACACUUGCUCCUCUCUUGCAACGUUUCUUCAGCCAUUUAACUAAUUCUUUUCUUAAUCCCAAUUUGCUGGCCGACCGCGAGAAAGCAACGUGGCAUCAAUGGUCAGAAAUUUUCCUCUCAUAGUUGGCUAGGGUGUCGACCAAAUGGAGAGAGGUUGGGGCAGCCUUGGGCGCGGACGAUUCCUCCUUUUCCGCAUGGGUGUGCAUGUCCCUCAUGCACGGCUGAAUUCUAUUUCCUCGGCUCAGAAUUUUAAUUAAUAGAAGUCCAGAAUUUCCCUCUCAUUUCGUAUACAUUUUAGUGGUACAAUUGUGUAGCGUCAUCAAAGCAAUUUGCACAACUCAAUAAGGUUGAAUGUAGUACUAACGAUGAUGAAUUCCAAUAGUAGUUUCGUCAAUCCAUGACGUUUCAAAUAUGGGUGAGAUUGGUCUCACUAAUAACCUUAUGUAAAGAGGCUUUUGACAAUACUCUAGUCUAUCCCACAAUCGGACUAUUUUCUAAACAUGAGGUACGGUCCAUUAAAUUGCUCGGCCUUAAUUAAAUUAAAAUCUAUUAGCCAAAGACCAUAACAUAGUCCGAUGACGCUUCCAUCACCUAUUCAUGGUUCAUGGUAUGUCUAGGGGUUGCUAUGAAAUUCUAGGAUGCCACACUAUGGUUAGAGUUCUGUAGUCUCUGGUUCUAAGAAAAAUCCUGUCAAAUCUCUUCUCUAGGUGUAGGUGUCGUCGACAAUGAAAUGGAAGAAUUGCAUUGGUUUCUUUUUUGCUUCUUCUAAAAUAUUUUACUUCUCAAACUCUCCAUAGAGCUUCAUGCUUUUUACUAUUCUUAGGUUAUGGUUGCCUGAUGGUAUGAUUUAUGUAAUUAUGCUUCCCUUGUAGACUGCAAAAGUUAUAGGGGCGGCCAUCCAACCAUUACUAUAGUCAGUUGGUCGGCUGCAGCUUGUUGUCGCUCGGGUUCAGGCCCUUUAUAUCUCUGCUUCAGAUAUUUUUGAGCUUGACAGUCUCUAAAAUUGGUAAACGUUGUCUUCCAACAGAUUGACAAGGCCACGCAUGAUCAAACUAGAGAUUCUCUUCACGAGCGUCAAGCUGAUGAAAGUGAUGAUGAGGACGAAGACAUCGAUCAUGUCUUUUACAGGGAUGAGGAUGAAUCUGGACAAACUAGCGAUGAUACAAAUGAUGACGAGAAGCUCUAAAUUUUAAGAGUUAGUCAACCUUGCUGGUGUUAAAUUUGAUUUGUCGUGUUGCAUCUUCAUAAACUAUGGAUUGUUGGGGUAAUUACUAAUUAGUGGGUAAAAAAGUAGGUGAAGGCUAUAAGACUAUUUUCGAGGUGAGGACACCUGGAGUGCCAUAACUUGGCACGUCGGGACACUUAAGUGCCAUAACUUUAAAAUGGUACACUUAAGUGCCAUCAUCGGAGUAAAAUGGGACACUUAAGUGCCACUCCGGCGAAAAUCCGGCCAAAUGGCUGACGUGGCGACUUUCUGGCGAGCUCGGUCCAAAACGGCGUCGUUUUGCAUGCUGACGUGGCGGAGAAAAUGCAAAAACGACGCCGUUUCGCGUCUAUGUGUAAAUAAUAGUAUAUAAAUUAAUUAAAUUAGAUUUAAAAUAUUCAAAAAUUUUAAAAAAAAUAAGAAAAAUUUUAAAAAUUUUAAAAAUUUUAAAAAAUUUUAAAAAUUAGAAAAUUUAAAAAAAUUUAAAAAAUAAGAAAAUUUAAAAAAAAUUUAAAAAAUUAAGAAAAUUUUAAAAAUUUUAAAAAUUAAGAAAAUUUUAAAAAUUUUAAAAAAUAAGAAAAUUUUAAAAAUUUAAGAAAAAUUUAAAAAAAAUUUAAAAAAUUAAGAAAAUUUUAAAAUUUUUUUAAAUUAAGAAAAUUUUACAUUUUUUAAAAAUUAAGAAAAAUUAUAAAAAAAAUUAAAAUUAUAAAAAAGUUAUAAAAAGGGGGGGGGGGGGGGAGGCCGAACGGGGCGGCUCCCUUGCCGCUGCCGGCGGCUCCCUCACCGCCGCCACCUCCCCCCCCCUUUUUCUAAAUUUUUUAAUUUUUAAAUUUUUUUUAAUUUUUUUUAAAUUUUUAAAAUCUUUUAAAAUUAAAAUUUUUAAAAUUUUCUUAUUUUUUAAAAUUUUUAAAAUUUUCUUAUUUUUUAUUUUUUUAAAAUUAAUUUUUUUUAAUUUACUUUUUUUUUUAAAAAAAAUUUAAAAAAAAAAUUUUUUAAAAUUUUUUUUUAAAAUUUUUUUAAAAUUAAAAAUUUUAAAAUUUUCUUAUUUUUUUUAAAUUUUUAAAUUUUUUUAAAUUUUUUAAAAUUUUUUAUUUUUAAAUUUUUUUAAAAUUAAAAUUUUUAAAAUUUUCUUUUUUUUUUAAUUUUUAAAAUUUUUUAAAAUUAAAAUUUUUUAAAAUUUCUUUUUUUUUAAUUUUUAAAAUUUUUAAAAUUUUCUUAUUUUUUAAAAUUUUUUUUAAUUUUUUGAAAUUGAAAUUUUUAAAAUUAAAACUUUUAAAUUUUUAAAUUUUUUUAAAAUUUUUAUGCUGAUUUGGAGCUCCGGCGAGCCACGUAGGCAAAAAAUAAUAAUAAAAUAUUGCCACGUAGGAUUUCCGGCAAGGGUCGCCGGAGGUGGCACUUAAGUGUCCCACUCUAGAAAAAAAGUGGCACUUAAGUGUACCGUUUUGAAGUUAUGGCACUUGAGUGUCCCGGCGUGCCAAGUUAUGGCACUUGUGGUGUACUUCUGCCGACUUUUUUCUCUGAUUCCAUUUUCAGGUAAAGUCUUAUAUUCCACUGCGAGAAGUGAGUUCCAUACAGCUUCUUGUAGAUAGACUAUUUUGAUAUUUCGACUAAGAACCAGUUAAACAUGAUCCCCUCGGAGAAAUUCAUACAUAUGCUGCCAAUUUCGCGCCCUCCACAAAUUUUAUGAUUCCGAUUGCAUGUGCUGGUCUCAAGCAAUCACCCCGACGACAGAGACCACCAUAGACUAGCCGUUGUGGUAGCGGUGGUUGCCCUGCAGCGGAUUAUGGCAUCUCUAUGUAUACUUUUCCUGAAAAUUGUUUAUUCAAUUAUACAAUCAUAUCCUCCGUUUAUCAAACACUCUGUAGGACCGUUUAUCUGCACCUGCCCUUGUAUCCGGUGUGUUUGCAUACAAGGAAUUUGAUACCAAAAAUCCGCAGGACUUCUUGUUCGAUCUUAAUGUAUCCCUUUCGACUUUAUUUCUUAGCGACCGAAUGCGGCGUAAGAGUAGAACAUGACAAUUUACCCUCGACGAGUUGACAGAGUACAUGUCGCAUUCUUUAGAUAUAAUUCCAAAAUCUGAGACCCAGAAACUUUAGAUGACCAUCUCACUGACCUGGGAUGCUUUAGAUGUCCUCACUUGGAUUGCACCGCACGGCAACCUAAAAACCGUUCUGGCAUUUUAACAUCAUAUGCUGUAUGCUGGAUAUAAUUAUCAAAGGUUCUAAAUCCAAUAAUUAUGUAAAGCGAAGUCAGCUAAAAGCCAAGAGAUCGCUAUUGAGACAUUUGACAACAUUAAAAUGAUACCAUAGUUUCACACAUAAAACAUGGAAUAUGACACAUAGAAUUCCAAGUUCGUUCGGGUAAGAGAAACGACAAAAAGCAAAGCGAGUUCAAAAGGAAAAGCGAAAAUGGUUGCUGUAUUUGGUUUUAAAUGAUUCGUUCGAUUUUGCAGGGUUUCAAUACGUCCCGAUCCAAAUUAAGCUGCAUAUUUAUCAUGAAACUCAAAGUGGGGCACACGCAACUAUCGAGACCGAAAGAAAAGAAAGAAAACGGGGGGCCGCACGCUACGAUAAUCACUCAAUUGAGGACCACAUCGGACCAAAGUUUAUUCGGACAACACUUCAUAUGGGCUUGCGAACGAAGCAAGUACAGCCAAUUUACGAGACAUUUCCCAGAACCACCAUCAUAUUGGCCUAAGACACGAGCAGUCCUCUCUCACAGGGUGACAUCCCCUUGGCGGACACAUACAGGAUGGAAGAGAACUGAGUCUCACGGACUCCGCCUCCGCAUGAGCCUGGAUGGCCCUGAACAUCACGGACGCCUUCUCUCUCAUGGGCCUGAUCAUCUCCUCCUCCGUGAUAUCCCCUUGGCCGACGGUGAAGCACCUGCCCGCGUACUUACAGACCGAGCCACCCUCCAGGGGCAACGCAACGAUCUUCACCUCAUGGCUGGUUUCCUUGGAGAUUCUGCUCUGCUCAUCACGAUCGACGGUCGAGUGGUUGUAGACGAAGGGCUCCUGGUCCGGCGCUUUAACUGUGUGCCUCACCGUCCUGCGCUGUCUGCCUAUAAAAGUAACCAAAUCGACAUUUGCGCUAAUCCGUUGUAUGAGUUUAUUCGUACCGAGGGUUCAAAUCCCUCUCUUUCCAUUUCCCUUAAUGACUCGUUAUUUUAUUUAUAUUUAUUUUCAAAACUUUUCUUUGUUUUUUUUUUUUAUAUUUUAAUUUCAUAUAGUAAAUAAGGAUGUGCAAUAGAUAAAAUCCUAAGUAAGUUAAUUGAAAAAUUAUGCAAGAAAAAAGAAAAGCCUUUUUAUUUUUCGUGUCUAGGAUUACCUCCUGGAUCAUUGGAUAGGAAUCCAAAAAUGAAAGAGAGUGUAAACAAAGAGCUUGAAAAUAAACAUUACACAAUCUCCACUUUAUUUCUUUUUUCAACAUUAUGAGCACCAAUCUUAGUGUUGUUGAUCAGGGCAUCUAGGGGACCACGCCCAAUUAUAAUCGUAAAGCAAUAUGAUUGAUAUGUGAUUUUAAUUGUAAGGAACAUUUCAAUUGACCCAGUACCUUCGACAGAGAUCGUCUCCUGGAUGUCGGCAUUUUUGAUGGCUGGUAGGAGGGUGUGGGGGAAGAAGCCCUUGGCUUCGAGAAAAGCCUCGACCAACCUAGCCUUAGGGAUCGGGUGCGUGAUCUCGGCCUUGAGAGUAACUUCUACCAUCGAUUGAAUCCGAAUAGAAUUUGCUGAACUGAAAAGGGUAUAAAAAAUCUCAAAAGAAAGAAAGAAAGGAAGGAAUGAGGAGAAGGAGCUUUGAAUUGAGGUGAAGUAAAAGGUCGAUAUAUAUAGUGAUAAGAAAAGGGAUAAUUAUACAAAUGAUCCCACAACUUUGAUCCAAUGUGUAAUAUGGUCUCUAAACUUUUAAUUUAUUUAAUGUGAUCCUUGAACUUUUGGUAAAUAUUCAAUAUAGUCCAUGAACUAUUUGAAAAUGUUUAAUUUAGUCCUUCAUUAAUUCAAGAUCAGAGACACCGUUGAAUAUAUUCAUAUAAUUCAGGGACUAAUUGAACAUGUACCAAAAAUCCAAAAAUCUCAUUGCACAUUGGGUUAAAGUUCAUAAAUCAUUCAUGUCAUUUUUCAGUAUGGACAUCGACCUUCCAAAAAUUUUGCUAUAGAGUAACUUCUGCUUAAUUGCAUGUAGUAGAAAAGCAAAUUAUUUCAUUUUCCUAGAAAGCAUCUCUCCUCCCAUAAAAAGUUGAACCCCUCAAAACCCAAUAAUAUUACCCAUACGACAAAUGAUUAACUUUAGGUUGAAUUUAAUUUAAUUAUCUCCCUUCCUUUGCUAAAACAACAUAAACCUUCCGCAAACCUUUUUUUUUUAUUUAUUUAUUUGAGUUUUAACUUUGUCUCCACGGACUCUGGAGAGGGGGGGGGGGGGGGGGGGAGAAAGAAAACUUUGGGCCUUCCCCUUAAAAGCAUCUCUCCUUUGUUCAGCCUUUAACCCUUUGCCAGAAAAUUUUGACUUGUCUGCAUGUUAUUGUUAUGAUAUUAUCUUGUUUCUAGUUUUGUCUAGUUAUCGAAAGCAAAUUGACAACUAUGAUGGGUCCCUUGUUUCUGAUCGGGAAUUAUCCCGAGACAAAUCCUGUUCUCCUCGGCCAAAAGGAUAAUUAAUCAGUUGCAUGAAUGAUUCCAUGAGUAUAUCGCAAUGGAAGCAUCUUUAUGUCAGCUUCUUGAGGUAAGCAAGAGUUUACUCCAUGCUUUUCUUGAUCAAAGGUUAGCCUAUCUCUUGUUUCUUAUUCAAGUGCUUUUCUUAGAAUAGCAGUUUUGUUUAUUCAAGUUUAGAAUCACUGUGGUUGAGUGUCUUUUCUAUUCGAAUCGCUAACCAUAUCAUCAGAAAGUUAUUCCACAAGUCUGAGCUCAGAACCAUAAAAUUGGACCCCACAAUCUGGGUUAGAAUAAAUUUCUAUAGUUUAAUGAAUACAUUAUUUUCUAUGUACUUUUGUUGAAUGCUAAAACCAAUGUAAGCGACGAGGGUAAUUGGGGUUGUGUCAUAAUAUAUGCAUUUCUCGUAAAUGUCUAAUACUGUUGUGAUAUUAAUGUGGAAAUGAUAGGAUUUUACAAAUUAAGUCAAUGCGAAAAAAUUAGAGAAAUAAGCGAGGAAUAAUAGAACAUCCGAGAUUUACGUGAUUUGAUCCGAGUAUCGGUACAUACAUAAACAGAGAGAGCCAGUAACAAAUAAUCUAUUAUAAUUGAACAAUCAGAUUUAUAAUUGCUCAUAUGCUCGAGUAUUUCUCACACCUAAUUUAAGUUCAAACCCAAAAUAUUUACAAAUAAAUAUUUAAUUAGACGAAAACUUACGGCACGAAAUCGCCACGUAUUCAUGUCGGUGCGGCCAAGAGACAUCUCCUUCGUGCGUCCAAGAAGUCCUCCGAUCGGCUUCUUGAAUCUUCUCUUGGCAGCGUCUAUACCACCCGCAAAGAACCCCCUGGCGGCUAUUUCUCGUGCGGCUCUUUUUCACUCAAGAAAAAUCCUUGAUUUUAUUUUAUUUUAUUUCCUUUUGUGCAGCUAAAGGAGUCCCAUGAAAUACUCCUUUGUUGACCGACCAGUCACAGGAUUAGGAUUCGAAGCAGACGUCCACUGUACGGACCUAAAGCGGAUUUCCUUUCCUGUGCUAUUUUCUCCGACAGAAAAGAAAUCUUCACGAGUCACUAUGAAAAACUUAUCCAAACGGUUCAAAUAUGGAAAAACUUAUCCAAGCAAAUUGCAUUUAGUAAAUACUCAAACUCGAGAUAUAAUUUAACAAAUACGAUGAAAUUAUUUCCGAGUUCACAUGCUUCUAAGUUAGAAAUCUAAAAAGAAAAAUAGCUACUGCUGAUGCAAACUUUGCUCAUAAAUAUCUUAUGUCACCCUUAUACACGUUUAAUUCAUUGAAUCCUAAAAGUGGUAUGAGGGAAAGGGGUAACUAUGGCUAGAGAUCUGAAGAGUUUUGUAAUCUCUGGUUCUAGGAAAAAUCCUGUCCAUCUUUUCUCUAGGUGGAGGUUGCAUGAACAAUGGCUUGUAAGAAUUGCAUUGGUUUCUUUUUUGCUUCAUCUAAAUUAUUUUACUUCUCAGACUCUCCAUAGAGCUUCACGUUAUUUAUUGUUCUUGGGUUAUGGUUGCCUGAGGGUAUGAUUUAUAUAAUUAUUGUUUCCUUUGCAGACUGCAAAAGCUAGAGGAACGGCAAUUCAAUCGUUACUGCAGUUAGUUGGUGGGCUGCAACUUCUUGUUGCUCAGCUUUAGGCUCUUUAUGUCUUUGCUUCAGAUAAUCUUUUGAGUUUGACAGUCUCUAGUUUUGGUAAACGUUGCCUUACAACAGAUUGACAAGGCCAUGCGUGAUCAAACUAGAGAUUCUCUUCACAAGUGUCAAGCUGAUGAAAGUGAUGAUGAGGACGAAGACAUCGAUCCCGUCUUUUACAGGGAUGAGGAUGAAUAUGGAUAAACUAGCGAUGAUACUGAUGUUGAGUAGAAGCUCUAAAUCUUAAGAGGUAGUCAUUCUUGCUGGUGUUAAAUUUGAUUUGCCGCGUUGCACCUUCGUAAACUGUGGAUUGUUGGGGUAAUUAGUGGGUAAAGAACAGGUGAAAGACUGAAAGACUUUUUCUCUGAUUACAUUUUCAGGUUAAAGUCUCAUAUUUCACCGCGAGAACUGAGUUCGAUAAAGCAUCUUGGAUAUGGUCUAUUUUGCAGUUUCGAUUAAGAACCAGUUAAACGUGAACAGCUCUAGUUUAUAUACGCAAUUUACUGGAAGUUCUACUGCUGAUCAUGAUCAAGAGUUCCCAUGUGUUAAUUCUGGCUUUUAAUUUUCCAUGCUCAUGGCAAGUAGCCUUUAUCCUCUAAACGUCAGUUUGAGUUGGAUUUGUUUUUGCUGCUUUGUAGUGUGAAACUUGCUCAUGAUGGAGAUGCUCGCUUGGGGCAACUCACUGGUCAAGUUGCAGCUGCCCCAGGAGAAAUUCAGACAUAUGCUGCCGAUUUCGUGCCCUCCAAAAAUUUCUUAUCCCGACCACAUGUGCUGGUCCCAGGCAAUCACCAUGACGACAGAGACCACCAUAGACUAGCCGUCGUGGUAGUGUUUAUUGCCUUACUGUGGAUUAUGGCAUCUCUAUUUGUGACAUCCCGAUUUUCCAAUUCUAUUUUCAAUAAAUUGAGACGGGCAUUUCGUUGGCACGCAUGUAGUUCAUUUUCUUGAGUCGGCCACUCAUGUGAAAACUAGUCUAUCAGGUGAAGUCGUUAAGAAAUUCAAAUGCAUUAGACUCGAGAAUUUGACCAGGAAGCGAUCUUUCGACCGAGCUAAUCUGCAAGGGUCAUUGCGGCACAAUUGAAAAUCGAUUAGAGAUCGGAGAUAGGUCAACUCGACAGAGGCAUGUGAUCAGGUGUGGGUGAUUCCACCAGAUCGCACAAUUCUUGUCGAUCGGCACUGGAUCGACUUUUCUAUCGAUUGGGUACCCUGUGCUCGUAUUUGAAACCUUGAGAUUACCCCCGACAACUGAAAGUCGUCAAUGUUUCAGAUGCAUGAAAAUGCAUGAAAAUUUCUAAAGGCUACCCAAUAGGUUGGAUAGCGCUGGUAUCGUGCCAAAGUGAAAUUAACUGUGAAAUUGAGAUCGAAUUCAGAAAUUGGAAGUCGAGGUGUGUCACAAAUCAUUUCAGGAUCAUUGAAUCAUCUUUGGAAGAUUUUUCAUGUAAUCAGAAUUUUUCAGCAAGUAAAUCAGAAAAUGGCUAAUUUUGCUCGAGAAAUUAGUAGGCCCGCUUUUGAUCAUACUUCUGGGACUUAAGUUGGUUCUACGAACAAGUGAAGAUGUGAAUUGAAGUGUGGUGACGUUGGAUUAAUUUUAUAGGCUUUAAUUUAAUUCAAUUGAAAGAGAAUUAAUGGGAAUUGAAGAAAUUGGAUGUACAAGAUUUGGACCCCAGCGGAAAAUGAAAGUGCAACCAUUGGAGAAGUUAUGGGAGGGGGUUUGAGUGAGUGGAAGAUGACAUAGGAUGAUGUCAUGGUGGUUGAAGCCAAGGGUUGAGAUCUUGACAAAAGGAGGGUGGAGAUUGGCUCUUGAAAAGGUGGGCUUUCACUUCAUCUUCAACCUUGGGAAGAAAGAGAGAGAGAGAGAGAGGGGGGAAGGAAGGGAGCAGCUCGUGCGUGCAGUAGCCCGACGGAAGCCAAUCGAGCUCGCGCCAGCACGCCCGUUGCCGGAGCUUGCCGUCGUCGCCGCCGCCGCCGUGCCGCCCGUGUGCCUCGCCGCUCGCCCUACCUACUCGCAUCUCCAUCUUCAUCUUCUUCUUCUUCUUCGAAAGCCCAGCAAACCAGCGAACUAGAGAAGCUUCGUCUGAAGUCACCGCCGCUCAUCGCCGUCGUCGGAGUCGUCGCCGUCCACGCCCGCUCGCCCGCACGACCAACCAGCUUACCGCUCUGCCUCUGCCCAACCGCUGUUCGUGCGACCCCCGACCCUCCAUCAUCUUCGUUAGCCGCUGUUUUUGGUCGUCCAGCUCGUCGGAGAGCUGCCGUGAGCUGAGCUAGCUGAAGCCAGCUUGCCGCUCGUGCCGCUUCUCCUCCGCUCGCACGACCGGCCGGCUCGUGCUCAGCUCAGCCGCUGCUCGCGCGACAAGGACCCUCCAACGUUGUCGUCCGACCGUCCAGCCGCCCGUUCGUCAUCGCCAAGGCCGCCGGAGGCCCCGCCUAGCCGCCGUGAGCCACUACCCGAGCUACCACCUCCUUCCUCCGCCGUUCCUCCGCCCGAUUAAGCUCGGAUCUGCCCUCCUUCGGCCCCAAGUAGCAGCCAAGAAAAUGGGUAUGGCAGCCCAUGUUUGGCCCGUUUUGGCCGCCUUCCCGAGCCCGGACGCUCGGCCCGCCUUGAGGAAAGUCGAUCCUCGCGUCGUCCUCGUCGUUUUGGUCCGCUCGGCUCGCUAAUCCGGUGAGUUUAGCUCACUAAACCUCGCUUAGAUGAUUAAUUAUGCUUAGGGAGGUUUAGUUUAUGUUAAGUAUUAUUAGGUUGUUAGUUUAGGAUAUUUAAGAGUAGAUUAGAUUAAGGUGGUGUUUUAAUUUAAAGUGUGCUUAAUUAAGGAUAAGUAGGUUUAUUUAAAAUAAGCCUUGAUUUGGCAUAAAUGAAUUUACUUUUGAGUUAUUUAAAUGUCCCGAAAUUAUUAAAUAAUUUAAUAAUAUAUUAUUAUUCGAAAUUAUUAAAAUAUUAUUAUUUAAUUAUUUGCGGAAUAAAUUUAAUUAUUUAUUAAAUUCCGAAAAUUUUGUCAGGACCCUAAAUUCUCAGAAUUUUGUGCCGGUCGCUGCUGUGUAGUCAGAUUUUGAAAUUGACGAUUGGAUAUUAUAAAUUGAGCGUGUAUUGUGAAAUAUAUGGAUAUUAUUAUUUAAUUAAUUUUCGGAAUAAAUUUAAUUAUUUGUUAAAUUCUGAAAAUUAUUUUGGAACCUUACUCUGUUAGAAUUUUAUGCUGAUCGCUGCUGUGUAUUUAGAAUUUGAAUUUGAUGAUUGAUUGUGGCAAAUGGAGUGUGAUUGUGAUAAAUAGGGAUUCCUUAUAAAAUCCUAAGUGUAGAAAUUGAUGGGAGAUUAGCCAUAAUUGAUCACCUAUUAGAGGUCGUGCCCAGUGAGGCCGUGAUAGACCACCUAUGAGAGGUCGUGCCUAAUAGGGCCGUGAUGAACCACCUAUGAGAGGUCGUGCCCAGUGAGGCCGUGAUGUACCACCUAGGAGAGGUCGUGCCCAGUGAGGCCAUGAUGAACCACCUAGGAGAGGUCGUGCCCAGUGGGGCCGUGAUAGACCACCUAUGAGAGGUCGUGCCUAAUAGGGCCGUGAUGAACCACCUAUGAGAGGUCGUGCCCAGUGAGGCCGAGAUGUACCACCUAGGAGAGGUCGUGCCCAGUGAGGCCGUGAUUGACCACCUAUUAGAGGUCGUGCCUAGUGAGGCCGUGAUGGACCACCUAAUUAAAGGUCGUGCCGAGUGGGGCUGUGAUUGCCACUGUUUGUUAAACCUUCCUAUAGGGCCGGGAUUGAGAGCAAUGAUUGAUUUGCUAGAAUAACAUGUAAUCGGCCGAGUCGAUUGAUCGAUGAGACGAUCCAAGUGGUUGAAUUGUUUUGAUAAUGUGAUUGUGCCAUGGUUGUUUGGUUAUCAUAAUUGUACGUGGUUGAAUUAUGUAAAUUGUGCUAACCUGCAGAUGAAGGCUGAGGCGAGGUAAGUCUUCUGUAUGAUGUGGCUAGGCCACUCGGGGCGUAUUUUCUUUUUAAUAGGGGUUUAGGGGGUUGAACUUGCUGAGACAUCGUCUCAUCUUGGUUGUGGGAUUAAAAUUUCAGGUCCCCGGUGGACGGAGCGGGCAUAUAGCUUCGGUUGGCCUUGAGGAGUCGCAGAUGUGAAGUUAUAAGGAUUGGAGAGCGUGUCCGACUUGUAGGUCGUAGGACAAUUCCUUUUUAAGGGCCGGUCUUUUGUAGACUGUUGGCCGUAGACCUCUGUUUGUAAUUAUGUUGAAUUGUGAAAGUGUUAUGUGGUGAUUUUGCUUCCUGCUUUUCUAUCCCAUAUUUUAUUGUCAGGGGUUUUAUAAUAUGCUUCCGCAUGUGCAUUAAAGAUUGGAUUGGGUCGGCGACUUAACCUGGGAACGUCGCAUUUGAUCGACCACAGUGGGAUGUGUUCGCGCUCGAGGUUCGGGGCGUGACACUAUUUAUACUUUCCUGAAAAUUAUUUCUUCCAUUAUUCGACCAUAUCAUCCGUCUAUCAGACACUCGAUUGAUUGUUUAUCUCUAUCUGUCCUUGUCUCCGGUGUUUUCUCAUACAAGGAAUAUGAUAUAAAAAAUCUGCAGGACUUCUUGUUCGAUCUUAAGACUUCAUUUCUUAGUGCCCAAAUGCAGCAUAAGAGUAGAACAUGACAUUUUACCCUCCACGAGUUGACAGAGUACAUGUGACAUUCUUUAGAUAUAAUUCCAAAAUCUGAGACUCGGAAACUUUAGAUGACCAUCUUACUGAACUGGGAUGCUUUAGAUGUCCUCACACCGCGUGGCAACCUAAAAACCAUUUUAGCAUUUUGAUAUCAUCUGCUGUAUGCUGGAUAUGAUUAUCAAAGGUUCUAAACCCAGUCAUUAUGUGAAGUGAAGUCAGCUAAAGCCAAGAGGCUGCUUUUGAGACAUCUGAUAACGUUAAAAUGAUGCGGCAGUUUUGCACAGAAAAAGUGGAAUAUGAUGAUUGAAUUCCGAGUUCGUUUGUGUAAGAGAACAAACAACGAAAGGCAAAGGGAGUUCAAAAGGAGAAGCGAAAAUGGUUGCUGUAUUCGGUUUUAAAUUAUUCGUUCGAUUUUGCAGGGCUUCUAUACGUCCCGAUCCAAAUUAAGCUGUAUGUAUCGUGAAACUCAAAGUGGGGCACACGCAACUAUCGAGACCAAAAGGAAAAAAAGAAAAGAAAGAAAACAGGGGCCGCACGCUACGAUAAUCACUCGAUCGAAGACCACAUCGGACCAAAGUUUAUUCGGACAACACUUCAUACGGGCUUGCGAAGGAAGCAAGUAGAGCAAUUUUACGAGACAUUUCCCAGAACCACCAUCAUAUUCACAAAUAUCGCCUUGGCGGAGCGCUUACAGGAUCAGGACUACUGGGUGAUUAGGGCCAAUACGGUAAUUUCGCAGUGGGAUAAUCCAGACUGGGUUUCAUGGAUUUCGCCUCCGGAUAAUCCAGGAUGGCCUUGAACAUCACAGACGCCUUCUCUCUCAUGGCCCCGAUCAUCUCCUCCUCCGUGAUAUCCCCUUGGCCGACGGUGAAGUACCUGCCCGCGUACUUACAGACCGAGCCACCUUCCAGGGGCAACGCAACGAUCUUCACCUCAUGGCCGGUUUCCUUGGAGAUUCUGCCCUUCUCAUCACGAUCGACGGUCGAGUGGCUGUAGACGAAGGGCUCCUGGUCCGGCGCUUUAACCGUGUGCCUCACCGUCCUGCGCUGUCUGCCUAUAAAAGUAACCAAAGUGACAUUUGCGCUAAUCCGUUGUAUGAGUUUAUUCGUACCGAGGGUUCGAAUCCCUCUCUUUACAUUUCCCUUAAUGACUUGUUAUUUUGUUUAUAUUUAUUUUCAAAACUUUUCUUUGUUUUUGUUUUUUUUUUUCAUAUAGUAAAAAAGGAUGUACAAUAGAUAAAAUUCUAAGUGCAUUGAAAAAUUAUGCAAGAAAAAAGAAAAGCCUUUUUAUUUUUCGUGUCUAGGAUUACCUCCCGGAUCAUUGGAUAGGAAUCCAAAAAUGAAGAGUGUAAACAAAGAGCUUGAAAAUAAACAUUACACAAUCUCCACUCUUUUUUUUUCUCAACAUCAUGAGCACCAAUCUUAGUGUUGUUGAUCAGGGCAUCUGGGGAUCACGCCCAAUUAUAAUCGUAAUGCAAUAUGAUUGAUAUGUGAUUUAAAUGGUAAGGAACAUUUCAAUUUACCCAGUACCUUCGACAGAAAUCGUCUCUUGGAUGUCGGCAUUUUUUAUGGCUGGUAGGAGGGUGUGGGGGAAGAAGCCCUUGGCUUCGAGAAAAGCCUUGACCAACUUGGCCUUAGGGAUCGGGUGCAUGAUCUCAGCCUUGAAAGUAACUUCUACCAUCAAUUGAAUCCGAAUAGAAUUUGCUGAAUUGAAAAGGGUAUAAAAAUCUCAAAAGAAAGAAAGAAAGGAAUGAAGAGAAGGAGCUUUGAAUUGAGGUGAAGUAAAAGGUCGAUAUUUAUAGUGAUAAGAAAAGGGAUAAUUAUACAAAUGAUCCCACAACUUUGAUCCAAUGUGUAAUGUGGUCCCUAAACUUUUAAUUUGUUUAAUGUGAUCCUUGAAUUUUUGGUAAAUGUUCAAUAUAGUCCAAAAACUAUUUGAAAAUGUUUAAUUUAGUCCUUCAUUAAUUCAAGAUCAGAGAGACCGUUGAAUAUUUUCAUAUAAUUUAGGGACUAAUUGAACAUGUACCAAAAGUCCAAAAAUCACAUUGCACAUUUAGUUAAAGUUUAUAAAUCAUUUAUGUCAUUUUUUAGUAUGGACAUCAAUCUUCCAAAAAUUUCACUAUAGAGUAAUUUCUGCUUAAUUGCAUGUAGUAGAAAAGCAAAUUAUUUCAUUUUCCUAGAAAGCAUCUCUCCUCCCAUAAAAAGUUGAACCCCUCAAAACCCAAUAAAUUACCCAUACGACAAAUGACUAACUUUAGGAUUGAAUUUAAUUUAAUUAUCUCCCUUCUUUUGCUAAAACAACAUAAAGCUUCUGCGACCCAAUUUAUUUAUUUAUUUAUUUAUUUUGAUAUUUAACUUGGUCUCCAUGGACUUUGGAGAGAGGGAGGGAAGCUUUGGCCAUUCUCCUUAAAAGCAUCUCUCCUUUGUUCAACCCCUAACCCUUUGCUAGAAAAUUUUGACUUGUCUGCAUGUUAUUGUUAUGAUAUUAUCUUGUUUCUAGUUUUGUCUGGUUAUCGAAAGCAAAUUGACAAUUAUGAUGGGUCCCCUUGUUUCUGACCGGGAAUUAUCCCAAGACAAAUCCUUUCUCCUCGGCCAAAAGGAUAAUUAAUCAGAUGCAUGAAAUGAUUCCAUGAGUAUGUUGCAAUGUAAGCAUCUAUAUGUCAGCUUCCUGAGGUAAGCAAGAGCUUACUCCAUGCUUUUCUUGAUCAAAGGUUAGCCUAUCUCUUGUUUCUUAUUCAAGUGCCUUUCUUAGAAUAGGAGUUUUGUUUAUUCGAGCUUAGAAUCACUGUGGUUGAGUGUCUUUUCUAUUUGAAUCGUUGACAAUCUCAUCAGAAAGUUACUCCACAAGUUUGAACUCAUAACCACAAAAUUGGACCCCACAAUCCGGGUUAGGAUAAAUUUCUACAGUUUCAUGAAUGCAUUAUUUUAUACGUACUUUUGUUGAAUGCUCAAACCAAUGUAAGCAAUGAGGGUAAUUGGGAUUGUCAUAAUAUAUACAUUUCUCAUAAAUGUCUAAUACUGUUGUGAUAUUAACGUGGAAACAACCGGAUCUCGCAAAUUAAGUCAAUGCGAAAAAAAUAAGAGAAAUAAACGAGAAAUAAUAGAACACCAAAGAUUUACGUGAUUUUGAUCCGAGUAUUGAUACCUAUAUGCAUAAAGAGAGCCAAUAGCAAAUAAUUCGGUACAAUCGGAGAAUUAAAUUUAUAAUCACUCACACGUUCAAGUAUUUUUCACAUCUAAAUUUAAGCUCAAAAUCAAAGUGUUUAUAAAUAAGUACUCAAUUAAAUGUAAACUCACAGCAUGAUAUCACUGUAUAGUCACAUCGCUGCGGCCGAUAGAGACAACUCCGUCGUGCGUCCAAGAAGUCCUCUGAUCGUCUUCUUGAAUCUUCUCUGUGCAGCGUCCAUACCACCCACGAAGAACCCUCUGGCGGCUAUUUCUUGUGCGGCUCUUUUUCACUCAAGAAAAAUCCUUGAUUUUAUUUUAUUUUAUUUCCUUUUGUGCAGCUACAAGGAGUCCAAUGAAUCGCUCCUUUGUUGACCGACCAAUCACACACUGUACGGACCUAAAGCGGAUUUUCUUUCUUGUGCUAUUUUCUUCAACAGAAAAAGAUAUCUUCACCAUUAAAUAUGAAUAACUUAUCCAAAUGGUUAAAAUAUGAAAAAACUUAUCCAAGCAAGUAGAAAACCCUUAAACUCGAGACAUAAUUUAACAAAUACGAUGAAAUUAUUUCCGAAUUCACACACUUCUAAGUUAGAAAUCUAAAAAAGAAAAAUGGUUGUUAUUGAUGCAAACUGUGUUCAUAAAUAUAUUAUAUCGCCGUUAUACAAGUAGAUUUCAUUGCUAGAGAUCUGAAGAGUUAUGUAAUCUCUGGUUCUAGGAAAAAUCCUGUCCAUCUUUUCUCUAGGUGUAGAUUGCAUGAACAAUGGCCUGAAAGAAUUGCAUUGGUUUCUUUUCUGCUUCAUCUAAAUUAUUUUACUUCUUAGACUCUCUAUAGAGCUUCACGUUAUUUAUUGUUCUUUCUAUCUUUGGUUAAGAUAAUUUUUCGAGCUUGACAGGCUCUAAAUUUGGUAAAUGUUGUCUUCCAACAGAUUGACAAGGCCACGCAUGAUCAAACUAGAGAUUCUCUUCACGAGCGUCAAGCUGAUGAAAGUGAUGAUGAGGAUGAAGACAUCGAUAACGUCUUUUACAGGGAUGAGGAUGAAUCUGGACAAACUAGUGAUGAUACAGAUGAUGAGUAGAAGCUCUGAAUUUUAAGAGGUAGUCAUUCUUGCUGGUGUUAAAUUUGAUUUGUUGUGUUGCAUCUUCAUAAACUUUGGAUUUUUGGGGUGAUUAGCGGGUAAAGAUUAGGUGAAGGCUGUAAGACUUUAUUCUCUGAUUACAAUUUCAGGUCAAAGUCUUAUGUUCCACCGCGAGAAAUGAGUUCCAUAAAGCAUCUUGUUUAUAGACUAUUUUGCUGUUCUGUUUAAGAACCAGUUAAACACAAACAGCUCUAGGUUAUAUGCACAAUUUACUGGAAGUUUUACUGCUAAUCGUGAUCAAGAAUAUCCAUGUGCUAGUUAUGGCUUUUAAUUUUCCAUGCUCAUAGCAAGUAGCUUUGUUCCUCUAAACAUCAAUUUGAGUGGGGUGGUUUUGCUGCUUUGUAGUGUGAAACUUGCUCAUGAUGGAGAUGCUCGCUUGGGGCAAGUCACUGGUCAAGUUGCAGCUGCUUCAGGAGAAAUUCAUACAUAUGCUGCCAAUUUCGUGCCCUCCACAAAUUUUAUGAUCCCAACCGCGUGUGCUGGUCUCAGGCAAUUACCAUGACGGCAGAGACCACCAGACUGGUGGUUGCAGUUCGCCCUACAGCUGAUUAUGGCAUCUCUAUUUGUACUUUACUGAAAAUUGUUUCUUUAAUUACACAAUCACAUCCUCUAUCUAUCAAAACUCUAAAGGACUGUUUAUUUGUAUAUGUCCUUGUAUCUGGUGUUUUCUCGUACAAGGAAUAUGAUAUAAAAAAGCCGCAGGAAUUCUUGUUCCAUCUUAACGUAUUCUUUUCGACUUUAUUUCUUAGGGACCGAAUGCAGCAUAAGAGUGAAAAAUGGCAUUUUACCCUCGAAGAGUUGACAAGAGUACAUGUCGCAUUCUUUAGAUAUAAUUCCGAAAUCCGAGACCUGGAAACUUUAAAUGACCAUCUUACUGACCUAGGAUGCUUUAGAUGUCCUCAUUUGCAUUGCACUGCACGGCAACCUAAAGGCCAUUUUGGCAUUGUGACGUCAUCUGCUGUGUGUUGGAUAUAAUUAUUGAAGGUUCUAAACCCAGUCAUCAUGUAGAGUGAAGUCAGCUAAAGCCAACAGGUUGCUGUUGAGACAUUUGAUACCGUUAAAAUGAUACGGUAAUUUUACACGGAAAACAUGGAAUAGGACGGUCGAAUUCCAAAUUCAUUUGGGUGAGAGAAACAACGAAAGGCGAGGGAGUUCCAAAGGUGAAGCGAAAAUGGUUGCCGUAUUCGGUUUUAAAUUAUCGUUCGUGUUCUCGGUCGAUCAUUGGUUCGAUUUUGUAGGGUUUCAAUACGUCCCAAUCGCCUGAUCUGUGGACUUUCCAGAUGAUACGGCUGGAAGCUGUAUGUAUCAUGAAACUCAGAGGGGGGCACACGCAUCUAUUGAGACCAAAAGAACAAAAGAAAAGAGAGAGAAAAAAGAAAAGAAAAAAAAAACAGGGGCCGCACGCUAAGAGUCACUCAGCCGAGGGCACAUCGGACGAAGUUUUACUCCGACAACACUUCAUACGGGCCUGCGAACGAACGAAGUAGAGCAAUUUUACAAAACAUUUCCCAGAACCAUCAUACUCGCGGAAAGGACAAGAACCACAGAGUCCCUCGACGACAAGACAAGAACAGUACUCAAAUGGGUUUUGGGGUUUCGCGGCCGAAUAAGCCUGGAUGGCCCCGAACAUCACGGACGCCUUCUCUCUCAUGGCCUUGAUAAUUUGCUCCUCGGUGAUGUCCACUUGGCCGACGGUGAAAUACCUGCCCGCAUACUUACAGACCGAGCCAACCCCAAGAUAGGGCCACGCUUCGAUCGUCACCUCAUGGCUGAUUUCCUUGGAGAUGUUUCCCUGCUCAUCGCGUUCGACGGUCGAGUGGUUGUAGAGGAAGGACCCCGGGUUCGCGUUAACUGUGGCCCUCACCGUCCUGUGCAGUCUGCCUAUAGAAGUAACAAAAGUGAUAUUCACAUUUAGAACUCACCGGUUUCAACAUCACGAGCACUGAUCUCAGUGUCGUCGAUCAGGUCCAAAUUCAACCGUAAUGCAAAUACGGUUGACAUGCAAUGUCGAGGGUAAGGAACAUUUCGAUUGACCAAGUACCUUCGACAGAGAUCUUCUCCUGGCUGUCAGCACGCAGGACGCCUGGCGAGAGGACGUGGGGGAAAAAGCCAUUGGCUUUGAGAAGAGCCUCGAUCAACUUGGCCUUAGGGAUCGGGUGCGAGAUCUCGGUGUUGUGAGUAACUUCUACCAUUGAUUGAAUCCGAAAUAGAAUUUGCUGAAACUGAAAAAGGGGAUAGAAAAGCUCAAAAGAAAGAAAGAGAGCAGUGAGGAGAAGGAGCUUCGAGUAGAAGGUAAAGUAGAAGGUGGAUAUCCUUAGAGAUAAGGAAAGAGAUAAUAUGACACAAAUGAUUCAUGAACUUUAGUUCAAUGUGUAAUAUGAUCUAUGAACUUUUAAUUUGUUCAAUGUGAUCCAUAUGUUUUUUUAUAUAUGUUUAAUGUAGUCUCUAAGUGACGUGUAAAUGUUCAAUAUAGUCUUUUUUUAAUUUAAAAUCAGGGAUGAUAUUGGACAUUUUCAUAUAAUCCAAUGACUAAAUUGAAUAUAUACAAAAAAUUAAAAUAUUAUAUUAAACAAAUUAAAAGUUUAAGAACCGCAUUGCACAUUGGGUUAAAAUUGAUGGAUCAUAUUGAACAAAUUAAAAAUUUAAAUAUCACAUUAUACAUUAAAUUAAAAUUUAUGGAUUAUUUGUAUCAUUUUUCCAUAUGAAAAAGUUUACAUGAAAAGUCCCGACACACGGACAUCAACCCUCCAUAAAUUUCGCCAUAAAGUAACUCCUGCUUAAUUGCAUGUGGUACAAAAGCAAAUUAUUCCAUUUACCUCAAGACCAUCUCUCCUCCCAUGGAGAGCUAAACCCGUCAAAACCCAAUAAAUUGCCCGUAUGACAAAUGAUUAACUUUAGGAUUAAAUUUUAUUUUAAUCACCCCCUUCUUUUGCUAAAGCAACAUAAAGUUCCGCAUCCCUUUUUAUUUAUUUAUUUAUUUAUUAUAAUUUUUUUUUUUUUGAGUUUUAACUUUGUCUUCAUGGACAAUGGAGAGAGGGAGGGAAGCUUUGGCCAUUUUCCUUAGAUGCAUCUCUCCCUUGUUCAGCCUCCAACCUUUUGCGACCCUCUCCAUGCAUUGACUGCUCUUUCAUGUUAUUGCUGUGAUAUUAUCUUGUUCCUAGUUUUGUCUAGUUAUCAAAAGCAAAUUGACAACUAUGAUGGGUCUCUUGUUUCUGAUUGGGAAUUAUCCCUGGACAAAUCCUUUUUUCCUCGGCCAAAAGGUUAAUUAAUCGUUUGCGUGAAAUGAUUCCAUAAGGAUGUUGCAAUAUAAGCAUAUAUAUGUUACCUUUUCCCCAUAGUAAGCAAGAGCUUAAUACAUGUUUUUCUUGAUCAAAGCUAGCCUAUCUCUAGUUUCUUUUUCAAAUGCUUUUCCCCAUAUAUAUGCUGCCAAUUUCGCGCCCUCCACAAAUUUUAUGAUCCCGAUUGCAUGUGCUGGUCUCAAGCAAUCACCCUGACGACAGAGACCACCAUAGACUAGCCAUUGUGGAAGUGGUGGUUGCCCUGCAGCGGACUAUGGCAUCUCUAUAUAUACUUUUCCUGAAAUUUGUUUAGUCAAUUAUACAAUCAUAUCCUCCAUUUAUCAAACACUCUGUAGGACCGUUUAUCUGUAUCUGCCCUUGUAUCCGGUGUGUUUGCAUACAAGGAAUUUGAUACCAAAAAUCCGCAGGACUUCUUGUUCGAUCUUAAUGUAUCCCUUUCGACUUUAUUUCUUAGCGAUCAAAUGCGGCGUAAGAGUAGAACAUGACAUUUUACCCUCGACGAGUUGACAGAGUACAUGUUGCAUUCUUUAGAUAUAAUUCCAAAAUCUGAAACCCAGAAACUUUAGAUGACCAUCUCAUUGACUUGGGAUGCUUUAGAGUUUAGAUGUCCUCACUUGGAUUGCACCGCACGGCAACCUAAAAACCGUUCUGGCAUUUUAACAUCAUAUGCUGUAUACUGGAUAUAAUUAUCAAAGGUUCUAAAUCCAAUUAUUAUGUAAAGCGAAGUCAGCUAAAAGCCAAGAGAUCGCUGUUGAGACAUCUGACAACAUUAAAAUGAUACGAUAGUUUCACACAGAAAACAUGGAAUAUGACACAUGGAAUUCCAAGUUCGUUCCGGUAAGAGAAACAACGAAAAGCAAAGCGAGUUCAAAAGGAGAAGCGAAAAUGGUUGCUGUAUUUGGUUCUAAAUGAUUCGUUCGAUUUUGCAGGGUUUCAAUACGUCCCGAUCCAAAUUAAGCUGCAUAUGUAUCAUGAAACUCAAAGGGGGGCACACGCAACUAUCGAGACCGAAAGAAAAGAAAGAAAACGGGGGGCCGCACGCUACAAUAAUCACUCAAUUGAGGACCACAUUGGACCAAAGUUUAUUCGGACAACACUUCAUAUGGGCUUGCGAACAAAGCAAGUACAGCCAUUUUACGAGACAUUUCCCAGAACCACCAUCAUAUUGGCCUAAGACACGAGCAGUCCUCUCUCACAUGGGAUAUCCCCUAGGUGCACACAUACAGGAUGGAAGAGAACUAAGUCUCACGGACUCCGCCUCCGCAUGAGCCUGGAUGGCCCUGAACAUCACGGACGCCUUCUCUCUCAUGGGCCUGAUCAUCUCCUCCUCCGUGAUAUCCCCUUGGCCGACGGCGAAGCACCUGCCCGCGUACUUACAGACCGAGCCACCCUCCAGGGGCAACGCAACGAUCUUCACCUCAUGGCUGGUUUCCUUGGAGAUUCUGCCCUGCUCAUCACGAUCGACGGUCGAGUGGUUGUAGACGAAGGGCUCCUGGUCCGGCGCUUUAACCGUGUGCCUCAACGUCCUGCGCUGUCUGCCUAUAAAAGUAACCAAAGUGACAUUUGCGCUUAUCCGUUGUAUGAGUUUAUUGGUACCGAGGGUUCCAAUCCCUCUCUUUCCAUUUCCCUUAAUGACUCGUUAUUUUAUUUAUAUUUAUUUUCAAAACUUUUCUUUGUUUUUUUGUUUUUUUGUUUUUUUGUUUUUGUUUUUAUUUCAUAUAGUAAAUAAGGAUGUACAAUAGAUAAAAUCCUAAGUAAGUUAAUUGAAAAAUUAUGCAAGAAAAAAGAAAAGCCUUUUUAUUUUUCGUGUCUAGGAUUACCUCCUGGAUCAUUGGAUAGGAAUCCGAAAAUGAAAGAGUGUAAACAAAGAGCUUGAAAAUAAACAUUACACAAUCUCCACUCUCUCUUUUUUUUUUUUUUUUCAACAUCAUGAGCACCAAUCUUAGUGUUGUUGAUCAGCGCAUCUAGGGGACCACGCCCAAUUAUAAUCGUAAAGCAAUAUGAUUGAUAUGUGAUUUUAAUUGUAAGGAACAUUUCAAUUGACCCAGUACCUUCGACAGAGAUCGUCUCCUGGAUGUCGGCAUUUUUGAUGGCUGGUAGGAGGGUGUGGGGGAAGAAGCCCUUGGCUUCGAGAAAAGCCUCGACCAACCUAGCCUUAGGGAUCGGGUGCGUGAUCUCGGCCUUGAAAGUAACUUCUACCAUCGAUUGAAAAGGGUAUAAAAAUCUCAAAAGAAAGAAAGAAAGAAAUGAAGAGAAUGAACUUUGAAUUGAGGUGAAGUAAAAGGUCGAUAUUUAUAGUGAUAAGAAAUGAGAUAAUGAUACAAAUGAUCCCAAAACUUUGAUUCAAUGUAUAACGUGGUCCCUAAACUUUUAAUUUAUUCAAUGUAGUCCUUGGAGUUUUGAUAAAUAUUUAAAAUAGUCCAUGAACUGUUUGAAAAUGUUUAAUGUAGUCAUUCAUUAAUUUAAUAUCAGAGACACCGUUGAAUAUUUUCAUAUAAUUCAGUGGCUAAUUUAACAUGUAUCAAAAGUCCAAAAACCAUAUUACACAUUGGGUUACAGUUUAUUGAUCAUUCGUGUCAUUUUCUAAUACGAACAUCAACAUUCCAAAAAUUCUCCAUGGAGUAACUUCCGCUUAAUUGCAUGUAGUAGAAAAGCAAAUUAUUUGUUUUCCUUGAAAGCAUCUCUCCUCCCAUAAAAAGUUGAACCCCUCAAAACCCAAUAAAUUACCCAUACGACAGAUGAUUAACUUUAGGAUUGAAUUUAAUUUAAUUAUCUCCCUUCUUUUGCUAAAACAACAUAAAGCUUAUGCAACCCAUUUUUUUUUUUUAAAUUGAGGCAAGCUUUGGUCAUUUUCCUUGAAAGCAUCUCUCCUUUGUUCAGCCUCUAACCCUUUGCCAGAAAAUAUUGACUGGUCUGCACGUUAUUGUCAUGAUAUUAUCUUGCUCCUAGUUUUGUCUGGUCAUCAAAAGCAAAUUGACAACUAUGAUGGGUCUCUUGUUUCUGAUCGGGAAUUAUCCCAAGACAAAUCCCUUCUCCUCGGCCAAAAGAUUAAUUAACCAGUUGCAUGAAAUGAUUCCAUGAGUUUAUUGCAAUGUAAGCAUCUAUAUGUCAGCUUCCUGAGGUAAGCAAGAGCUUACUCCAUGCUUUUCUUGAUCAAAGGUUAGCCUAUCUCUUGUUUCUUAUUCAAGUGCUUUUCUUAGAAUAGGAGUUUUGGUUAUUCAAGUUUAGAAUCAUUGUGGUUGAGUGUCUUUUCUAUUCGAAUUGUUGACCAUCUCAUCAGAAAGUUAUUCCACAGGUCUGAAUUUAGAACCACAAAAUUGGACCCCACAAUGCAAGUGAGGAUAAAUUUCUACAGUUUCAUGAAUACAUUAUUUUCUAUGUACUUCUGUUGAAUGCUAAAAUCAUUGUAAGCGACGAGGGUAAUUGGGGUUGUGUCAUAACAUAUACAUUUCUCAUAAAUGUCUAAUAUUGUUGUGAUAUUAAUGCGGAAACGAUAGGAUCUCGCAAAUGAAGUCAAUGCGAAAAAAUCAAAGAAAUAAGGGAGGAAUAAUAGAUCACUAGAGAUUUAUGUGAUUUGGUCCGAGUAUCAAUAUCUACAUGCAUGAAGAGAGCUAGUAGCAAAUAAUCUACUACAAUCGAAAAAUCAAAUUUACAAUCGCUCACAUGCUCCAGUGUUUUUCACAUUUAGAUUUAAGCCAAAAUAUAAAAUGUUUGCAAAUAAAUACUCAAUUAGACGUAAACUCACGGCAAUAAAUUACUGUAUAUUCACGUCCGUGCGGCCGAGAGACAACUCCUUCGUGCGUCCAAGAAGUCCUCUGAUCGGCUUCUUGAAUCUUCUCUGUGCAGCGUCUAUACCACCCACGAAAACCCCCUGGCGGCUCUUUCUUGCGCGGCUCUUUUUUGCUCAUGUAGAAUCCUUAAUAUUCUUUUCUUUUAUUUCAUUUUGUGCAGCUACAAGGAGUCCAAUGAAUUACUCCUUUUUUGACCGACCAAUCACAGGAUUAGGAUUUGAAGAAGACGUCCACUGUACGGACCUAAAGCGGAUUUCCUUUCUUGUGCUAUUUUCUUCAACAGAAAAAGAUGUCUUCUCCAUUAAAUAUGAAUAACUUAUCCAAAUGGUUAAAAUAUGAAAAAACUUAUCCAAGCAGGUCGUGUUUGGCAAGCCCUUAAACUCGAGAUGUAAUUUAAUAAAUACGAUGAAAUUAUUUCCAAAUGCACACACUUCUAAGUUAGAAAUCUAAAAAAGAAAAAUGAAUAUUACUUAUGCAAACUAUGUUCAUAAAUAUGUUAUAUUGCCGUUAUACACGUCGAUUUCAUUGAAUUGUAAAGUAGUAUGAGGGAACAGGGUAAUUAUGGCUAGAGUCUGAAGAGUUCUGUAAUCUCUGGUUCUAGGAAAAAUCCUGUCCAUCUUUUUUCUAGGUGUAGGUUGCAUGAACAAUGGCCUGAAAGAAUUGCAUUGGUUUCUUUUCUGCUUCAUCUAAAUUAUUUUACUUCUUUGACUCUCCAUAGAGCUUCACGUUAUUUAUUGUUCUUGGGUUAUGGUUGCCUGAUGUUAUGAUUUAUAUAAUUAUUGUUUCAUUUGCAGACUGCAAAAGCUAGAGGGAUGGCCAUUCAAUCGAUGCUGCGGUUAGUUGGUCGGCCGCAGCUUGUUGUCGCUCAGGUUUAGUCCCUUUAUAUCUUUGCUUCAGAUAAUCUGUUGGCUUGAGAGUCUCUAGUUUUGGUAAACGUUGUCUUACAACAGAUUGACAAGGCCACGCGUGAUCAAACUAGAGAUUCUCUUCACCAGUGUCGAGCUGAUGAAAGUGAUGAUGAGGACAAAGACAUCGGUCACGUCUUUUAUGGGGAUGAGGUUGAAUCUGGACAAACUAGCGAUGAUACAGAUGUUGAGUAGAAGCUCUAAAUCUUAAGAGGUAGUCAUUCUUGCUGGUGUUGAAUUUGACUUAUCGCGUUGCAUCUUCAUAAACUUUGGAUCGUUGGGGUAAUUAGUGGGUGAAGAACAGGUGAAAUGAAAGACCGUAAGACUUUUUCUCUGAUUACAUUUUCAGGUUAAGGUAUUAUAUUCCACCUCGAGAACUGAGUUCCAAAAGGCAUCUUAUAUAUAGACUAUUUUGCUGUUUCGAUUAAGAACCAGUUGAACAGGAACAGCUCGAGGUUAUAUACGCAAUUUACUGGAAGUUCUACAGCCGAUCAUGAUCAAGAGUUUCCAUGUGCUAAUUGUGGCUUUUAAUUUUCCGUACUCACUGCAGGUAGCAUUGUUCCUCUAAACAUUCAGUUUGAGUUGGAUUUGUUUUUGCUGCUUUGUAGUGUGAAACUUGCUCAUGACGGAGAUGCUCGCUUGGGGCAACUCACUGGUCAAGUUGCAGCAGCCCCAGGAGAAAUUCAUACGUAUGCUACCAAUUUCGUGCCCUCCACAAUUUUUUUCUGAUCCUAACCAUGAGUGCUGGUCUCAGGCAAUCACCAUGACGACGGAAACCACCACAGACUGGCCGUCGCAGUAGUGGUUAUCACCUUAUAGUGGAUUAUUGAAUCUCUAUUUAUACUUUCCUGAAAAUUAUUUCUUCAAUUAUUCAAUCAUAUCAUCCGUCUAUCAGGCACUUUAUUGACUGUUAUCUGUAUCUGUCCUUGUAUCUGGUGUUUUCUCAUACAAGGAAUGUGUUCGAUCUUAACGAAUGAUUUUCGACUUUUAUUUCUUAGUGACCAAAUGCCACAUAAGAGUAGAACGUGACAUUUUAGCCUCAACGAGUAGACAGAAUACAUGUCGCAUUCUUUAGCGAUAAUUCCAAAAUAUGAGACCCGGAAACUUUAGGUGACCAUCUCAGUGACGUGGGAUGCUUUAGAUGUCCUCAUUUGCAUUGCACUGCACGGCAGCCUGAAAACCGUUUUGGCAUUAUGACAUCAUCUCCUGUCUGCUGGAUGCAAUUAUCAAAGGUUGUAAAGCCAGUUAUUGUGCAAAGCGAAGUCAGCUAAAGCCAAGAGGUCGCUCUUGAGACAUCUCACAACAUUAAAAUGAUAGGGUAGUUUUACAGAGAAAACAUGAAAUAUGGUGAUCGAAUUCCGAGUUCGUUUCAGUAAGAGAAACAAUGAAAGGAAAGAGGAGUUCAAAAGGAGAAGAUUGUUGCAUUUGAUUUUAAAUUAUUCAUUCGAUUUUGCGGGGUUAGGAGCACACGCAAUUGAGACCAAAAGAAAGAAAGAAAGAAAACAGGGCCGUACGCAAAAAUCACUCAAUCGAGGACCACAUCGGACGAAGGUUUAUUCCAACAACACUUCAUAUGGGCUUUGCAAACGAAGCAAGUACAGCAAUUUUACAGAACAUUUCCCGGAACCAUCAUAUUCGCGGAAAAGACGAGACCAACACACUCCCUCGACGACAAGACAAGAACAGCACUCGACUGGACCUUAUUCGAAGAGAACAUAUGAGACUAAGCUGCCGGAUCAGCUUGGAUGGCCGGGGCCCUGAACAUCACGGACGCCUUCUCUCUCAUGGGCCUGAUCAUCUCCUCCUCCGUGAUAUCCCCUUGGCCGAUGGUGAAGCACCUGCCCGCGUACUUACAGACCGACCCACCCUCCAGGGGCAACGCAACGAUCUUCACCUCAUGGCUGAUUUCCUUGGAGAUUUUGGGAUUGCUGUCUGGGACUUUCGAAGUAGAAGGGAGAAUUAGCAAAAUGUUCUGGUGCUGAAAUUUAUGGUGCCUAAUGUGGCUUAGACGAUCCAUCCUCUUCCUUUUCUCCUGCAAUUACAUUUUCCCUCCUGCUCAACUUAAUUCUUCCAAAUAAGGUAAGUUCUUUUACUUGCUGCCCCCAUUUCGUUCUUUGUUACUUAAAUGAUUUAUUGUGCAUUUGGUUGUUCUAUUUCGUAGAUCUCUUCUUCUUUUUUCAUCCCUUGACCAUUUUGAUUUCUAACAAGGAAUUUUCUUUCACCCAAUCUACCGUUCCUGCUGUUAAUAUCAAAUAUUGCAGCAUUGGACGGAUUUAUCUCUUGUUCCCUCUGCUAAUAUUUUCCUAUACAUUCGGCAGGUUUACGGUUAUGGUGCCACAUCCCAGGCUUGAUAGCUCUUUUCAUGAUGUAGCGGCCAAGUACUGAAAUCUCUGUUGGAUAUCGAUCCAUCGGAAUGGGGUUUGCCACCCUUUGACGAACAGAAAAGCUGAGAAUUCAUUUGAAAAUCAGACGAUGUGCAAUGGCAUCUCGUGUCAAAUUCAUUUGAAAUUCACUGCGUAUUUACGUUCAUGCGGCCGAGAGACAACUCUCUCAUGCGUCCAAGAAGUACUCCGUGCGGCUUCUUGAAUCUUCUCUGUGCAGCGUCUACACCACCCACGAAGAACCCCGUGGCGGCUGUUUCUCGCGCGGCUCUUUUUCACUCAAGAAAAACCCUUGAUUUUAUUUUAUUUUAUUUCCUUUUGUGCAACCACAAGGAGUCCAACGAAUUACUCCUUUGUUGACCGACCAAUCACAGGAUUAGGAUUUGAAGAAGACGUCCACCCACUAUACGGACCUAAAGCGGAUUUCUUUCCUUGUGCUAUUUCCUUGGACAAAAAAUAUCUUCACGAUUAAAUAUGAAAAAGUUGUCCAAGCAAUUAAAAUAUGGAAAAACUUAUCCAAGCAGAUCGUAUUUCGCAAACGCUCAAACUUGAGACAUAAUUCUGACAAAUACGAUAAAAUUAUUUUCGAAUUCACAUGCUUCUAAAUUAGAAAUCUUUGAACAAUAAUAAUAAAAAAAAAGGCUGCUGCUAAUGCAAACUCCAUUCAUAGUUAUCUUAAAUUGCGUUUAUAUACGUCAAUUUCAUUGAAUUGUAAAAGUAGUAUGAGGGAAAGGGGUAAUUCUGGCUAGAGCUCUGAAGAGUUAUGUAAUCUCUAGUUCUAGAAAAAUCCUAUCAAUCUUUUCUCUAGGCGUAGGUGGCAUCAACAAUGAUAUCAAAGAAAUGCCUUGGUUUUCUUUUUUGCUUCACCUAAACUAUUUUACUUCUGAGACUCUCCGUAGAGUUUCACGUUAUUUAUUGUUCUUGGGUCAUGGUUUCCUGAUGGUAUGAUUUAUAUAGUUAUGUUUCCCUCGUAGACUGCAAAAGCUAUAGGGGCGGCCAUCCAACCAUUACUGCAGUUAGUUGGUCGGCUGCACCUUGUUGUCGAUCAGGUUAAGGCCCUUUAUAUCUUUGCGUCAGAUAAAUUUUUGAGCUUGACAGUCUCUAAAUUUGGUAAACGUUGUCUUCCAACAGUUUGACGAGGCCGUGCAGGAUCAAACUAGAGAUUCUCUUCAUGAGCAUCGAGCUGAUGAAAGUGAUGAUAAGGACGAUGACAUCAAUCAUGUCCUGUACAGGGAUGAGGAUGAAUCUGGACAAACUAGCGAUGAUACAGAUGAUGAGUAGAAGCUCCAAAUUUUAAGAGGUAGUCAUCCUUGCUGGUGUUAAAUUUGAUCUGUCGUCUUGCAUUUUCAAAAAAUUGGUUCGUUGGGGGAAUUAGUGGGUAAAGAAUAGGUGAAAUAAAGGCUGCAACAUCUUUUUCUCUGAUCUGCAUUUUCAGGAAAAAGUCUUUUAUUCCACGGCAAGAAGUGAGUUCCAUAAAGCAUCCUGUAUAUAGUCUAUUUUGCUGUUUUGAUUAAGAACCAGUUAAAUGCGAACAGCUCUAUUUUAUAUACGCAAUUUACUGGACGUUCUGCUGAUCGUGAUCAAGAGUUUCCAUGUGCCAAUUAUGGCUUGUAAUUUUCCAUGCUCAUCGCAAGUAGCUUUUUUCCUCUAUACAUCAGUUUGAGUUGGAUUUGUUUUUGCUGCUUUGCAGUAAACUUGCUCAUGAUGGAGAUGCUCGCUUGGGGCAACUCACUGGUCAAGUUGCAGCUGCCCCUGGAGAAAUUCAUACGUAUGCUGCCAAUUUCGUGCCCUCCACAAAUUUUCUGAUCCCGACCGCGUGUGCUGGUCUCAAGCAAUCACCAUGACGAUAGAGACCGUCACAGACUGGCCGUUGCGGUAGUGGUUAUUGCCUUAUAGUGGAUUAUGGCCAGAAGAAGAGAUAGUGGAAUGGACCCUUUUCUCAUGCCAGAGGGGGAAAGAAAAGAGGCCCACUACGAGAGGAGAGAGUGAUUUAGCUGCUAACAAGCGCAGGUUUUUCAUGAAAUGAAUGGUUAUUCAUUCGGGAAGGUCUGUUGAUUAGGAGGUUAUACCUCUAUUUUUACUUUCCUGAAAAUUGUUUUUUCAAUUAUUCAAUCAUAUCAUCCGUCUAAUGGACACUUGAUUGACUGUUUAUCUGUAUCUGUCCUUGUCUCUGGUAUUUUCUCGUACAAGGAAUGUGAUAUAAAAAAUCUGCAAGACUUCUUGUUCGAUCUUAACGAAUCUUUUUUCGACUUUAUUUCUGAGUGCCCAAAUGCAGCAUAAGAGUAGAACAUGACAUUUUACCCUCUAUGAGUUGACAGAGUACAUAUCACAUUCUUCAGAUAUGAUUCCAAAAUCUGAGACUCGAAAACUUUAGAUGACCAUCUUACUGACCAGGGACGCUUUAGAUGUCCUCAAACCACGUGGCAACCUAAAAACCGUUUUGGCAAUUUAAUAUCAUCUGCUGUAUGCUGGAUAUAAUUAUCAAAGGUUCUAAACCCAGUCAUUAUGUAAAGUGAAGUCAGCUAAAGCCAAGGGGUUGCUUUUGAGACGUUUGAUAACGUUAAAAUGAUAUGCAGUUUUACAAAGAAAAAAUGGAAUAUGAUGGUUGAAUUCCGAGUUCGUUUGAGUAAGAGAACAAACAACGAAAGGCGAGGAAGUUCAAAAAGGAGAAGCGAAAAUGGUUGCAGUAUUCAGUUUUGCAGGGCUUCAAUGCGUCCCGAUCCAAAUUAGGCUGUAUGCGCAUCAAACUCAGAGGGGGCCACACGAAGCUCUCUAGACCAAAAGAAAAAAAAUUAAAAAGAAAGAGAAAACGGGGGCCGCACGCUACGUCCAUCAUUCAAUUGAGGACCACAUCGGACGAAAGGUUACUCCAAAAACACUUCAUCCGGGCUUGCGAACGAAGCAAGUACAGCAAUUUUGCAAAACAUUUACCAGAACCACCAUCAUAUUCGCGAAGAGACAAAGACGAACGCACUCCCUCGACGACAAAACAAGAACAGUACUCAACUAGCGCUGACUCGAACAGGACUAGCAGUCUUCUGUCUUAUGGCCCUGAUCAUCUCCUCCUCGGUGACAUCCCCUUGGCGGAGAACUUACUCGAACAGGACUGCGUCUGAUGGCACCUCCAGAUAAGCCUCAAUGGCCCCGAACAUCACGGACGCCUUCCCUCUCAUGGCCCUCAUCAUCUCCUCCUCGGGGAUAUCCCCUGGGCCGACAGUGAAGUACCUGCCCGCGUACUUACAGACCGAGCCACCCUCCAGGGGCAACGCAGUGAUCUUCACCUCAUGGCUGAUCUCCCUGGAGAUUCCGCCCAGCUCAUCCCGAUCGACGGUCGAGUGGUUGUAGAGGAAGGGCUCCUGGUCCUGUGCUUUAACCGUGUGCCUCACCGUCCUGCGCUGUCUGCCUAUAGAAGUAACAAAAAGUGACAUUCGCGCUGAUCCGUCCUAUGAGUUUUUCCAAUCCCCUUCUUCCGUUUCCGUUGAUGACUUAUUAGAUUAUUUAUUUAUUUUUUCAAAAUCUUCCUUUAUUUUUGUUUUUUUAAGUUCAUAUAAUAAAUAAAGAUUUACAAUAGAUAAAAUCCUAAGUAAGAACAUUGAAAAAUUAUGCAAGUAAAAAAAAAAAAAAAACUGGCCUUUUUGUUCUUCAUAUCUAGGAUUAGGUUCUAGAUCAUUAGAUAGGAAUUCAAAGAUGAAGAAAGUGUAAACAGAGCUUGAGAGUAAACAUCACAUAAUCUCCAAUAUCUGUUUUUUUUUUUUUUGUUCUUUUUAUUUUUCAACAUCAUGAGCACCAAUCUAAGUGUUGUUGAUCAGGCCAUCUAGGGAUCAUGCCCAUUUAUAACCGUAAUGCAAUACAAUGAAUAUACCAUUUUAAUGGUGAGGAACAUUUCAAUUGACCAAGUACCUUCGAUCGAGAUUGCCUCCUGGAUCUCAGCAUUUGUGAUGGUUGGCAAGAGGUUAUAGGGGAAGAAGCCACCCGCUCCUAGAAAAGCCUCGACCAACCUGGCCUUAGGGAUCGGGUGCGUGAUCUCGGCCUUGAGAGUAACUUCUACCAUCGAUUGAAUCUGAAUAGAAUUUGCUGAAACUUAAAAGGGGAUAAAAAUCUCGAAAGAAAGAAAGAAAGCAAUAAAAAGAAGGAGCUUCGAGGAGAGGCAAAGUACAAGGUUGAUAUUUAUAGCGAUAAGAAGAUGGAUAAUUGCACAAAUGAUCCCUGAACUUUGAUUUAAUGUGUAAUAUGAUCUAUAAAUUUUUAAUUUGCUCAAUAUGGUCCUUAGAAUUUUUGUAUAUGUUUAAUAUAGUCCCUAAACUGUAUGAAAAUAUUCAAUAUAGUCCUUCAUUAAUUUAAGAUCAUAGACAACAUUAAAUAUUGUUAUAUAAUUCAUGGACUAAUUGAGCAUGUACUAAAAAUUUAGGAACUAUAUUAAACAAAUUAAAAUUUUAAGCACCACAUUGUAUAUUAGGUUAAAGUUUAUAGAUCAUUUGUAUCAUUUUCCUGUACAGACAUCGACCCUCCAUAAAUUUGGACGUAAAGUAACUUCCGCUUAAUUGCAUGUGGUGGAAAAGGAAAUUAUUCCCUUUUCCUUGAAACCAUCUCUCCUCCCAUAAAAAGCUAAUCCCCGCAAGUUUCAGCCAAAAAAAAUAAAAAAAGCUAAACCCCUCAAGACCCAAUAAAUUACCCAUACAACAUAUGAUUAACUUUAGGAUUGAAUUUAAUUUAAUUAUCCCCCUUCUUUUCCUAAAGCAACAUAAAACUUUUGCAACUCAAUUUUUUUAAUUUUUCUUUUUAAAAUUUUGAGUUUUAACUAUCUCCUCAUGGACUCUGGAGAGAGGGAGGGAAGCUUUGGCCAUUCUCCUUAAAAGCAUCUCUCCUUUGUUCUGCCUCUAAUCCUCUGCGGCCCUCUCCAUGCGUUGACUGGUCUGCAUGUUAUUGUUGUGAUAUUAUCUUGUUCCUUGUUUUGUUUGGUUAUCAAAAGCAAAUUGACAACUAAGAUGGGUCUCUUGUUUUUGAUCGGGAAUGAUCCCAAGACAAAUCCUUUCGACUCGGCCAAAAGGUUAAUUAACCAGUUGCAUGAAAUGAUUCCAUGAGUAUGUUGCAAUGUAAGCAUCUAUAUAAAUCAGCUUCCUGAGGUAAGCAAGAGCUUACUCCAUGCUUUUCUUGAUCAAAGGUUAGCCUAUCUCUUGUUUCUUUUUCAAGUGCUUUUUUCAAAAUAGGAGUUUUGUUUAUUUAAGUUUAGAAUCAGUGUGGUUGAGUGUCUUUUCUAUUCGAAUUGGUGACUAUCUCAUCAUAAAGUUAUUCGAGACUUGAGCAAGACUUGAGCAAUUCUUUAAAUGGCUCAAUGGACUCUUUAUGGGGGAAGAACCCUUGAGGGUUUGUACUCCAUUGUAAUCCCUCCUCUUCCCUCCUAUCCAGGAAGAAAAAGAUAGGAUGGGAAUCAGGGGGCUCGUCGGUGGCGAAGCUAAACACCACGUCAAUUGUCACGCCCCGAACCUCGAGCGCGCGCACAUCCCACUACGGUCGAUAAAAAAUGCGACAUCCCAGGAUAUGUUGCCGACCCAUUAAUUUCUUUACGCAUGCGGAAGCGAAACAAAUCCCCUGACAACAUUUAACUUGAGAUAGAAAAGCAGGCAAUCAAUCACAAUACCAAACACUCAUUUACAAACACAAAGGGUUUAAAUACAACACUAGACUUUCUACAAAAUAGAUCAGCUCGACAAAAGGGGAACUAUCCUACAACCAACUAGCAGGACACGCUCUCCAACCCUUAUGACUUCACCUCUGCAACUCAUCAAGGCCAACCAAAGCUAUCUGGCCGCUCCGUCCACCAGGGACCUGAAAUUUUAAUCCCACAACCGGGAUGAGACGAUGUCUCAGCAAGUUCAACCCCCUAAACCCCUAUUAGAAAGAAAAUACACCCCGGAUGGCCUAGCCACAUCACACAGAAGACUUACCUCGCAUCAGCCUUCAUCUACAGGUUAGCGCAAUUUAUAUAAUUCAACCACGUACAAUUAUGAUAACCAAACAACCAUGGCUCAAUCACAUUAUCAAAACAAUUCAACCACUUGGAUCGUCUCAGCGAUCAAUCGAUUCGGCCGAUUACAUGUCAUUCUAGCAAAUCAAUCAUUGCUCUCAAUCCUGACCCUAUAGGAAGGUUUAACAAUUAGUGGCAAUCACGGCCCCACUCGGCAAGACCUGUAAUCAGGUGGUAAGUCACGGCCUCAUCAGGCACGACCUCUAAUAGGUGGUAUUUCACGGCAUCAUCAGGCACGACCUCUAAUAGGUGGUCUAUCACGGCCUCACUGGGCACGACCUCUCAUAGGUGGUUUAUCACGGCCUCAUUGGGCACGACCUCUCAUAGGUGGUUUAUCACGGCCUCACUGGGCACGACCUCUCAUAGGUGGUUCAUCACGGCCUUAUUAGGCACGACCUCUAAUAGGUGGUAUUUCACGGUCUCAUCGGGCAUGACCUUUCCUAGGUGGUACAUCACGGCCUCACUGGGCACGACCUCUAAUAGGUGGUCAAUCACAGCCAAUCUCCCAUCAAUUUCUACACUUAGGAUUUCAUAAAGAAUCCCUAUAUAUCGCAAUCACACUCAAUUUGCCAUAACCAAUCAUCAAUAUCAAAUUCUAAAUGCAAAGCAGCGAUCGACACGAAAUUCUAAGAGUUUAGGGUCCUGACAAAAUUUUCGGAAUUUAUUAAAUAAUUAAAUUUAUUCCGAAAAUAAUUAAAUAAUAAUAUUCAUACUUUUCAUGAUCCACGCUCAAUUUAUAAUAUCUAAUCAUCAAUUUCAAAAUCCGAAUGUACCGUAGCGACCGGCACGAAAUUCUGAGCAACCGGGGUCAAACAUAAUUUUUCUGAUUUUUUUUUUAAAAUAAUAAUAUUUUAAUAAUUUCGGAUUAUAAUAUAAUAUAAUAUUUUCCAGAAUUUUGAAGCACUUAAAUAAUUCAAAACUAAAAUCAUUUUGUGUCACAUCAAGGCUUAACUUUAAAUAAACUAUCUUAGCAUUUAAUUUAACAUACUUUAGAUUAAUCAACAUCUUAAUCUAAAUCAUAAUUAAAUUAACUAAAUUAACCACCUAAGCUUAAUCAACUUAAGCUAAGCACACCUAAAGCAUAAUUAACCCUCUAAGCGAGGUUUAGUGAGCUAAACUCACCGGAUUAGCGAGCGGAGCGGACCAAAACGACGGGGACGACGCGAGGAUCGACUUUCCUUAAAGCGGGCCGAGCAUCCGGGCUCGGGAAGGCAGCCGAAACAGGCCAAGAAGGGGCUGAGAAACCCAUUUUCUGCAGCUGCUGUUCAUGGGCGAAGGAGGGCUGUCCGGCGGCGAUUCGGGCGGAGGAACGGCGGAGGAGACCGGCGAGGGCUUGGACGGGCUGAAGGGGAGGUCGACGGCGGCAGAGGGAGCUCCGGCGAAGGCCCGAGCUACUCGGACAAGCGGCUGGAACGCGGCCUAGCACGGACGAGGGCGACGAGCAGGUGAGCUGACCGGCGGAGCGGCGUGCGGGCGGCGCGAAGCGACGGCGGCGACGGCGUGCGAGCAGGAGCGGGCGGCCAUGGCUGCGGCUUCUUCUUCUCUGCAUUUUUCUGGUCUUCGCACCAGGAGAGACGGAGGGGGAAACCGACGGGAGAGGAAGGGGAAAGGAGAGGGGGUCGGCCAACGGCGGUCCGGCGCGACGGCGAGGCGGCGAACUCCGGCAAUGGGCGGCGGCGUCGAGCGACCAAGCGAGCGGUGAAGGGGCGUGCGGCUGCUGGUUCCGUUCGGAGCUUUCUCUCUCCUCCAAAAUCCAAGAAGAAAAUCCAAAAUGAAGAAGAUGAUGGAGAUGGGUUGGAGGUGACAUCCUACCUUUUGAAGAACAAAUCCUCACCCUCCAUGUGUCAAGAUCCUAGCCACACAAGCCCCACCAUGACAUCACUUGAUGAUGUCACAUUCCACUAUCUCCAAUCUUCCCACAACAAUCUUCGAUGGGUGCAAUUUAUUUUUCCGCCGGGGCAUAAAACUUUGUACAUCAAUUCCUUCAAUUCCAAUCAAUUAUCUCAUAAUUGAAUCAAAUUGAAGUUCAUAAAAUUAAUCCAAUGUCACCACACUUCAAUUCACAUCUUCACUUGUCCGUAGAAUCAACUUAAGUCCCAAAAGCGCGACCAAAAGCGGCAUACUAAUUUCUCGAGCCAAAUUAGCCAUUUCUUGAUUAUUUUGCUAAAAAGCUCGGCUUGCAUGAAAAAUCUUCCAAAGAUGAUUCAAUGAUCUUGAAAUGAUUUGUGACACACCCAGACUUCCAAUUUCUGAAUUCGAUCUCAAUUCCACGGUUAAUUUCACUUUGGCACGAUACUAGCGCGGCCCAACCUACCGGGUAGCCUUUAGAAAUUUUCAUGCAUUUGACAUGUGGUUGAUCAUCUCAAGCCACAAUGUACAUCUUUGAAACAUUGGCGACUUUCGGUUGUCGGGGUAAUCUCAAGGUUUCAAAUACGAACACAGGGUACCCAAUCGACAGAAAAGUUGGCCCAGUGCCGAUCGACAAGAAUUGUGCGAUCUUGUGGAAUCACCCACACCUGAUCACAUGUCUCUGUCGAGUCGACCUAUCUCCGAUCUCUAAUCGAUUUUAAUUGUGCCGUAAUGACCCUUGUAGAUUAACUCGGUCGAAAGAUCGCUUCUUGGUCAAAUUCUCGAGUCUGAUGCAUUAGAAACUCUUAACAGCUUCACCCGAUAGACUAGUUUCCACAUGAGUGGCCGACUCAAGGAAAAGAACUAUAUGCGUGCCAACGAAAUGCCCGUCUCAAUUUAUUGAAAAUAGAAUUGGAAAAAUCGGGAUGUCACAUCAGUUCUUCGAAGCUAGUUAUUGCCUAGGAAGCAUUGAUACUAUCUAAAAAUAUUUGUGUCAUGUUGGCCACUCCAACAUAUGUUUGAUACUCUCUGACACUUUUCGACACUCUCCAAUACUCAAUUAACAGGUCUAAGAAAGUUUGAUACUUAGUCAACUCUCUUGACACUAUCCAACACUCGAGUUCGAAAUUCCAACACGCAACUUUAGAAUUCUGAUAGGUGAUUCUGACACGCACUGAGUCAAUUUUAAUUUUUUUUAAUAAAUAAGGAAUCUAAAUGUAAAUAUGAAAAAAAAUAAUAAAAAAAUAAAAAUAGGUGGAAGAAGAAAAACCUCAUCUUUCUUCUCUUCUGACUUUCACUUAUUAUGAUACAUAAUUCACCUCUCAAAAUUAUUUUUUUCUCUUUUCUUCUGACAUGCAAGACCAGAAUGUGGACUCCUUUUUUUUUUUUUCCUUCCAAGUUAUAUGGAUUAUUGGAAUGGAGUUAAAUUUGUCAAAUUAAAACAAUAAAUAAUAUUAACAAAUGUUGAAUUAAUAUUUUUAGUGUAAAUUCAUGCUAGCCUCUUUUUUAUAAUUUAUUUAUUUAUUUGUGAAUUGAAUUAAAUUAAUUUGAUUAAAUAAUCAUAAAAAUGAUAAUUUAUUAUGUAUAAAUAAAAAUAUACUUUUAAUAUACAACAUGUCUUAACAUGUUAGAGUUCUCUAUUUUUUGAAAAACAACGUGUCGGCGUAUCAUGUUGUGUCGUGUCGUGUCGCGUGUCAGUGUCAAUGCUACUUAGGCCACCGCAAGUUAGGAGAGUAUAGUAGUUCUCCGUGCCUAGGUGAGACAUGGUGGCUUCAAAACUAGUGCUGGGCAAGUAAAAGCUUACUCAAGUCUUUCAACCGACUACUUAGAAUAGGAGUUUUGUUUAUUUGAGUUUAGAAUCAAAGUGGUCAAAUAUCUUUUCUAUUCAAAUUGGUGACUAUCUCAUCAUAAAGUUAUUUCACAAUUCUGAACUUAGGAACACAAAAUUGGACCCCACAAUUUGGAUUAGGAUAAAGUUCUACAGUUUCAUGUAUACAUUAUUUUCUAUAUACUUCUGUUGAAUGCUAAAACCAAUGUAAGUGACGAGGGUAAUUGGGGUUGGGUUGUUAUAUACAUCUCUCAUAGAUGUCUAAUACGAUGAAACUAUUUCCAAAUUCACAGGCUUCUAAGUUAGAAAUCUAAAAUAAAAAAAAAUGGAAAAAAAAGGCUGCUGCUAAUGCAAACUCUAUUCAUAAAUAUCUUAAACCGCCUUUAUAUCCAUCGAUUUCAUUGAAUUGUAAAAGUGGUAUGCGGGAAAGGGGUAAUUAUGGCUAGAGCUCUGAAGAGUUCUGUAAUCUCUGGUUCUAGGAAAAAUCCUGUCUAUCUUUUCUCUAGGUCUAGGUUGCAUCAAUAAUGAUAUGAAAGAAUUGCAUUAGUUUCUUUUUUUGCUUCAUCUAAAUAAUCUUAGUUCUCGGACUCUCCAUAGAGCUUCACGUUAUUUACUGUUCUCAGGUUAUGGUUGAUGGUAUGAUUUAUAUAAUUAUUGUAUCCCUUGUAGACUGUAGAAGCUAGAGGGACGGCCAUCCAACCCCAUUACUACAUUUAGCUGGUCAGCUGCAGCUUGUUGUCGCUCAGGUUUAGGCCCUUUAUAUCUUUGCUUCAGAUAAUCUUUUGAGCUUGAGAGUCUAUAAUUUUGGCCAACGUUGUCUUCCAACAGAUUGACAAGGCCACACAUGAUCAAACUAGAGAUUCUCUUUACGAGCGUCAGGCUGAUGAAAGUGAUGAUGAGGACGAAGACAUCGAUCACGUCUUUUACAGGGAUGAGGAUGAAUCUGGACAAACUAACGAUGAUACAGAUGAUGAGUAGAAGCUCUAAAUCUUAGGAGGUAGCUAUUCUUGUUGGUGUGAGAUUUGAUUCGUCUUGUUGCAUCUUCAUAAAUUUCGGAUUGUUGGGGUAAUUAGGGGGUAAAGAAUUGGUGAAGUGAAGUUUUAUAUUCCACCGCGAGAAAGUGAGUUCCAUAAAGCAUCUUGUAUACGGACUAUUUUGCUGUUUCAAAUAAGAACCACUUGUUCUAGGUUAUAUACGCAAUUUACUGGAAAUUUUGCUGCUGAUCGUGAUCAAGAGUUUCAUGGACUCAUUACAGGUAGCUUUGUUCCUCUAGACAUCAAUUUGAGUGGGGUGCUUUUGCUGCUUUGUAGCGUGAAAUUUGCUCAAGAUGGAGAUGCUCGCUUGGGGCAAGCCACUGGUCAAGUUGCAGCUGCCCCAGGAGAAAUUCAUACGCAUGCUUGCCAGUCUCGUGCCCUCCAAAAUUUUAUGAUCCCGACCACGUAUGCUGGUCUCAGGCAAUCACCAUGACGACAGAGACCACCCAGCCUCGCCGUUGCACUAGUGGUUGUUGCCCUAUGGUGGAUUAUGGCUCUGUAUAUAUACUUCUCCGGAAAAUUGUUUCUUUAAUUAGACAAUCACAUCCGCCGUCUAUCAAACGUUCGACUGGACAGUAUAUCUGUAUCUGUCCUUGUAUCCAGUGUUUACUCGACCAAAGAAUAUGAUAUAAAAAAUCUGCAGGAGUUCUUGCCUAAUCUUAAUAUAUCCUUAUUGACUUUAUUUCUUAGCGACCAAAUGCAGCAUAAGAGAAGAACAUUACAUAUUACCCUCGAUAAAUUGACAGAGUGCAUGUCACAUUCUUUAGCUAUAAUUCCAGAAAUCUGAGAUCUGGAAACUUUAGAUGACCAUCUUCCCUAAAAGCCAUUUUGGCAUUUCGACAUCAUCUCCUGUAUACUUAAUUAUAAUUAUCAAAGGUUCUAAACCUAGUUAUUAUGUGAAGUGAACUUAGCUAAAGCCAAGAGGUCUCUGUUGAGACAUUUGACAACAUUAAAAUGAUAUGGUUUUACAUAGAAAACAUGAGAUAUGAUGAUCGAAUUCCAAGUUCCCAAAUGGUAACCCGUCUGUUCAGGUAAAACAAACAACGAAAGUUGAUACGUUCAAAAGGGAGACACGAGAAUGGCCGCUGUAUUCAAUUUUCAAUUUUUGCAGUGUUCUCGGUUGAUCGUAUUUUCGAUUUUGCAGAGUUUCUAUACAUCUCGAUCCAAAUUGAGUACAAAUCACUGGAUACUAUAAGUUGUUGGUCUGCAUGUAGUGUCGAUAUGAUCGCAAAUAAUCAAGAGAUGCAGUUGCUCAUUUCUGUUUAUCUCACGUUCCAAUUGUCCAAGCUCAAGAAUUUAAAUCCGAUUUCGAAGAACUUGGUUUUCAUGACUCUGGCGAGCUCUAAAUGCUGCAGAUCAAAAUUUGGUCCGUCGAAAUCACAAGACAAAAGUAAAGAAGAUAUGGUAGCUCUUCUUGAGAGCAAGAGCUUUUGUAUGACUCUCAACAAAUUCUUAUGUGUAAACCUAAAUCAUGGCAAAGAAUUACAAACAAUAUUCUUAACGAGGAGGGCGUCGGAACAUGUCCUAGGCGUAGGCCUGUGGGUUCUCUAGGAGGUAAGACUCCACGACCUUGAAUAUGGCCAUGGCCUUCUCCUUCCCAGCCUUGAUCUCCUCUUCUUCAACUUGAAAUGCCUCCUUGGUGUUGUACUUGCUGGUCAUCUUGCACACUGACCCUCCGUCACUGGCGGCAUCAAACUUGACCUCAUAAUCAAUCGACUCGAGCUUGUCGCCCAGUGCAUCACCCUCAAUCAUCGUGUACCUACAAACGAAGUUCUCCUUGUCGAGCUCAUCGAUCCGGUGCCUCACAUACUUGAAAUGACUAGCUGCGUUUGUUACCGAAUGAGAAAUAAAUUCACUGAACUCAUCACUAGAGAGAGGAUCCAAAAGAAUGGUGUAUGCUGAGUCUACGUACCUUCGGUGAAGUUAACUUGCUCGAUGCUCCCGGCUGCUCCAUCGCCUUGCACGAGCUCCACGCUCUUUAUGAACUGAGGAAGGAGCUUCGGGAUCAGGGCAUUCGCCUCGAUGAUCAAGGCCUUGAACAUGCGAGCCGCAGCGAUCGGGCAUGUGAGCUCUUGUGUGAUGCUGGUUGCCCCCAUGGCUAUUAGCAAAGCGAUGAGAAAGAAAUAACCUCAAAGAAGUGAUAUGCUUCUGAGUCCUGUCGAUGCCUCCUAUUUAUGGUUAGAAUUAUGUGAAUAGGUAGGCUUAGUUUGGCAAGAGUCAAGUUUGAGGAAAAUAGAAUGGUCAAGGAUUUGCAGCCUAAAGGAAUGUAAAAGAGUAAAUAAGUUGGUCUCUUUUGUUCUUUUGGUCAUGAAAAUGGUUUCGGUCCAUUUCAGAUUCAAGUUGAAAUGGCAAAGAUGAUGUUCCCAAAGAUGAACACAAGAGAGAGCACGUUCUCAUGUUCACAUGGGCGGCCAUCCCUUUGAAUUGAUUGUUGUGGAGUUUGAUCUAAUAACAAUUUGGUCGGACUACUACGUGACUUGCCGAAUAGAUAUUACAAGGAAAUACCUUGUUUGGAGAAAAGUGAAUUAAUUGAAUGUCAUUUGAUAUGGAGUAAAUGAGAAUCCUUGAUUGAUUAGCGAUAUCACGUCAGCAUGUCAUACUAUAUCAACAUCAUAUAAUUUUUUUGAGGGCUUGAGGGAUGGGGACGCUACGGGUUCCUGUUGUUACGGCUUGUUUGUUCGUUUCAUAGCUUUUGUGUUCUUGCUGGCGCCCUCGGGCUUUUAUCGGAUCCCCGUCACUCUUGCUCCUUUGUUAAGAGUGCUUGUUUGGAUCCGAUCUUUUGUACAUUUGUCCUCCUCAUUAAUAUUAUUACCUUUACCAAAAAAAAAAAAAAAAUGUCACGGCAGAUCUGUUCAAAUGCAUCAAGCAAGGCCAUUCAAUUGGGUUAAGGUUGAUUCAAACUUCUCUAACACCGGCGGUUUGACUGGGUCAAAAUCGGGUCUGCCAAGGGGCGUCUAAGGAUCAGCUUAUCGUCUACGUUGCGGGGAGGUGGGGCCGGCUGCUUUUCCGUUAUACUUUGCUUCUCUUCUUCUUCUUCUUCUUCUUUUUGGUUUUUGAUUUUAUUAUCGUUGAAUCAUUUGAUCUCCAAUCCAAUGUCCCCAUCAAGAGAUAUGAUAGGAUUAUCUUAAAUAGAAUUUCAAAUAGCCGAAGUGUUGUAAUAAGAUAAGUCCAAACCCUAGUCACAUUCAACUAUGUUUUUCAAUAGCUUUUUUAAUAUAUUAUAAGAAUGUACUUUUCCUUAAUAUUCUUACAUAUUGUGGUUUAUGAAAGUUUGUGCCACAUUGAUAGCUUUAGAUGUUAGUUCAAAUUCGAAAUAUCGGGCCAAAGUGUGGUCUUUUAUUGGCCAUUUGGCAUUUCAUUUGUAACUCAUGAAUUCUCUCCUUGUAAAAAAAAUUACUAAAAUUAGAGAAUUUCAUUCUACAAGCUUUGUAUAAACACGUAGCAUAGUUUACCAAAUUCCACAAAACCACUGAACCAGAGUCCUGUCACACCUUUUAUUCUCUUAUUCUCAGCAAAGACAAGAACAACAACACUCACCAGCCCAACAUGCUUAGCUCCAAACAGAGUGACUCAAACUCUUCUUGUCUCCUUUUCAGUUCAGCACAACCAGACAUAUUUAACACAUUACAUAAACAAUAAAAGAUAGCGAUGAGAUCGGCUCAAUAGGCAUCAGGGUUUGCCACGAGAUAAGCCUCGAUGGCCUUGACCAUCGCGGACGCCUUCUCUUUCCCGGCGUUGAUCUACUCCUCGGUGAUGUCCACCUCGCCAACGGUGAAAUAGUUGCUCGUGCUCUUCAACAACGAGCUCCCUGGGGCAACGCCGUGAUCAUCACCUCAUAGCUGAUCUUCUCAAAGGUGGUGCCCAGCACUUCACCCUCGAUGAUUGAGUAGCAAUAGGUGAAGUUCUCCUUGUCCAGGGCCUCAACCUUGUGCUUCGCUGUUUUGUACUGACUGCCUAUCAGUGUAACAAAAAGUCACAUUCACAUUUAGAACUCGCAGGUUUCAAUAUCACGAGCACCGAUCUUCUUGGUGUCGAUCAGGCCAUUUAGGAAUUAACCUAAUUGUUCCGACCGCAAUCCAAUAUGAUUGACUUAGACAUAGCCUGACUUUGCCAGAUCAAAAUCGAGUCACAUAAUCACUUGUGUAAAGUUAAAUGGUUAGAAACAUCUUAAGUAAUGGAGUCAUAUUUCUAUCAUUUUCAAUGUUCAUUAUAGUGUUCCAUAAGGUUGAAUCCGCCUUGAUUCAGAGCAAUCAUAAGUUCCUAAUAUGGAUGGACUAACCUUCACCAAAAGUCAUCAACUUGAUGGUCCUGGGACCUCCAUCGCCCUUGAGGACUUCAAUGCUCUUGACAGCUUUAGGGAGGACCUUGGGGAGGAGGUUAUCGGCUUCGAGGAUAGCGGCCUUGAACAUCUUGGCCAGGGGAAUGGGGGACGUGAGCUCUAAGUCGAAAGUGAUGACACCCAUGACUGGAUCCUAACAGAGUUGUUGAAACUGAGAAGGCAGUGAUGAUCUGGAAAGACUUGAGUAGUAGUGAUGAAGUUGGUCUCUGGGACUUGGGAGUAAAGAGAAGAGGCUGAAUUGAAGUUGACAUAUAUAGAGAGAGGGAGACUGAGUGUGAAGGGUUCUGAUCACUGCAUAUUUUCUUCUUACUAAGAUGCAUUAUAUUUUGCAGGAAAUAAAUAAUUUAGAAAAUAUUUUCCUAAAAAUAAUAACUAAAUUUAGAUAGUGUUUCCAAGCAUAAGUUAUUUGGUGAGUGUGCUGCAUGUUCUAAAUUGAUCUAAAUUGCUAAAUUUAAUGGGCUCACUAGAAUUAAAAGUCUAGAUUCCCUUUAAUAUAAGUAUGACAUUACCUCAUUUUCAAGUUUUCGUCAAAAUUGUGUUGUAUGUACUAAGUUAAUCUAAAUCACUAAAUUUGAUGGGUUCACGUGGGAUCCAUACAAAAUUCACUAGAAUUAAAAGUUCAGAUUUUGCUUACUAUAAAUACAGUGCUCUUUCCUCAAAUUGUGUGGCGUGUACUAAAUUGAUCUAAAUUGCUAAAUUCAAUGGGUUCAAGUGGGACUCAUAUGGAACUCACUUGUCACGCCCCGAUCCUCGAGCGCAUGCCCAUCCCUCUCUGGUCGAUAAAUAUUUUGCGACUUCCCAGAACGAGUCACCGACCCUUUUAUUUUAUUGCACAUGCGGAAGCUAAUAAUAAAUCCCAUGACAGUAACUCUCUCGGGAUAGAAAAGCAGGACAUCGCAUUCACAAACAAACCACACUUUUAUAAACAUACUGAGUCUUUUACACAAGUCUAUAACCAAAAGACUAGUUCUCAAAAAGAGGCUGUCCUAUCUGACCUACUCUUCAGGUCACCUCAGCUUAGCUCCAGGUCCUCCCUCUACGCUCCUGAAAAUUUUAAGCCCACGACGGGGUGAGAUAUAAAUCUCAGCGAGUUCACGGUCUAAGCCCCGAUUAUGAGGGAAAUACACCCAGAAGUGUCCUAACCACACAACCACUCAAUUGGCAUAGAUGACUUACCUCGACUCAGUUUCCUUUCCUGCAUGUCAAUAUAGUUCAUAUCGUAAUGCAUAUAAUCAAUGCACAUAACAACUGGAAAACCUCAUCAUCUCAAUUAAUUACCGGGGUCCUGAUUAUAAGGCCAAACCGUUAUAACACAUCCCAUUCCAUGUCACACAGUUUUAGUCUCAUAAUCGGGUGCAUCAAACUCAACAAUCAUGCGUUCCAAUUGUUAAUUACACCCCUCAAGGGUACGGCCAACUCUAUCGGCGGUCUUCUGGCAUUGCCAGGCGUCGUCUCACCCCCUUUGAGCAUGGCAAUGUCUCUCAAUUAGACGGCUUCCCCGAAGGGGCGUAGGUCCAGCAUCUACUACGACUCGAGUCCCAAUGAAUGGGUAACAUCCGGCUUAACAGCCCAGGACAGUUUCUCUUAACCAACAUACAACCAAUCAAUCUCAGCCCAGGACACUAUGCAUUGCACUCAAAUGUCUCAAUUAAAAUAGUGAACCUGGCAUAUUUUCUUCGUAUUAGAAAUACACGAUAAAAUAGUUGUGCGUGGGUACACGGUCAAUUCACAUUAGAAAAACUGAUAUCCUCCAAUUUAAAAUCACAUUGGUUUAUAUAGUACAUAAAAUCAUUUUCGGUGUUAAAACUUGACACCCGGGAUUUUAAGGAAUUUCACAAAUUUUGGAAUUAAAAAUACUCAAAAUUCCAAUCAGCACUCAAUUUGCACAAAUUAACAUCCAAUUGCAUAAAUUGAACACACCAUUGCAACCAGCACGAAAUUCUGGUCACCGACUAUCCUGGCCUAAUUUUCGGAAAAUAAUUAAUAAUUAAAUAAUUUAUCAAAAAUUAAAUAAAUUACAAAAUAAAUAAAUUUAAAGCAUUUAAUUGAAUUAACCUAAAUUAACUAAACUAAAUAAUCUAACUAACAAUUAAAUCUAACCAUCCUAUUUAAUUUAAUCUAAGUACACUAACUAAAUAAACUAACUAAUUCCUAACUAAUCCACCUAACUAAACUAAUUACACUAACUAAAUACUAACUAUAUACUUAAUCUAACUAAGCCAUCCUAAACCUAAUCAACAUAAUUAAUCCACAAAUUAGCUAACUAACACACCUCUAAGUGUCAAUAGCCCACUAAUAAAGGAUUAGAAUGCAACUCACCGGUUAAGCUCGAAAAUCAGCUCACGGCGACGGUGGCGCAACGGCGGCCGAGACUCGAACUCACGGCAAGGCCAAGGGAACGCUUAGAUUGGCUGAAAACUCGCAAAAGAAACUCACGAACUCAGCUGAGUUCGCUGGAAUCCGCGGCUAGCUUCGGUCUUCAGUGGACUGAGCGAAGCUGGCGUUGGCAAAUCGGCAGAGGAGAAUUCGAUGGAGAGAGGGACGGCUUGGACGCGAAGAGCGUGGGCUUCGGUGAGGGAACAAUGGGCUGCUCGACGAAGACGCGUGGCUCAAGAUGCUGAAGGUUUCACGGUCAACUUUGCUGGAGAAAAACUCCUUUGGUGGACUGAAUUUGAGGUGGCUUCGGACGUGUGGUGCAGAGAAGAAACGGUGGGUGAAUGAUGGUGCAGGUGGCGGUGGGAUGAGGGAAAAACGUGGGGAUGCUUCGGUGAUGGGUUUCUUCGAAGGGAGAAGUGAACAGAAGGAGCUGAAGCCGUGAAAAGCGAGAGAGAGACCAAGAAGAAAGAGAGAAUCGGAUGAGGGAGAGAGGCGGUGGACUGGCGUGCGAAGGAAGCUGCAGCUAAGGAAGAAAAAGUCAAAGAAAAUAUCUUGAUCCUUUAAUGCUUGGUCCCCCUUUGGUCUUCAUGCAUAUCACCAUGUUCCCUUAUUCUUUCUAACAAAUAUAAUCCAAAAAUUAACCCAAUUGAUGCUAAAAUCAGUCCCCAAACCAUAGCUCCGAAUUCCACUGAUUUUAUAAUUCAAUUUCAUCAUCAAAUUCUCAAUUUCAAAAUCCAGUUUUAUCGAAGAAAAAUCUCACACAUGUCCAUAAAUUCCCAUCACCUAGUAGCUCGGUUUGCACAUCAAAAUUUCCUUCAAAUGAGCCCGUCUGAAUAUCUGUUCAAUUUCCGAAUCGAUUUUCCGUAAAAAUCUCGGAAUCUCCGAAAAAUUUUCAGAAAGUGAGUUGACGUUCCUAAAAUGAAUCGUGAUACGGCAGAACUUUCAAUUUUCUGAAAUCGAGCUCAAUUUCGCUGUUAAUUUCAAUUCGACGUGAUUUUAGCGCGUCCCAAUCUACCAGGUAGCUUUUAGGAAUUUUUAAUGCAAUUGACUCAUGGUCGAUUAUUUUCGAGCCACAAUGUACAUCUUCGACACAUUGACGACUCUCGAUUGUCGUAAAAAUCUCGAGGUUUCAAAUACGGACACAAUGUACAAAAAUGACAGAAAAAUCGGUUUAGUACCGUUUGAUAUAAAUUUUGCAAUUAGGUGGAAUCAUCCACGCACAAAUCACAUAUCUCUAUCGAAUCGACCUAUCUCUGGUCUCUGAUUCAUUUUGACGGUGCCGUAAUGACCCUUGCAGAUUAGCACGGUCGAGCAGUCGAUUCCUGGUUGAAUUCUCAUGUCUAUUGUAUUUAGAUUCUUUAACGGCUUUACAUAAUAGGCUAGUUAACUCGUGAGUGGCUAACUUAGAGAAAAAAGCUAUAGACACGUCGAUGAAAAGCCCAUUUCAUCUCAUCGAAAUCAGACUUGAAAAUCAGGAUGUCACAUCACUAGAAUUAAAAGUCCAGAUUUUGCUUAAUAUAAAUAAGUCCCUAGCUCAUUUCCGAGUCUUCAUCAAAAGUGUGUUGUAUGUCCUAAAUUGAUCUAAAUCGCUAAAUCUAACAAGUUCACGUGGGAUCCAUGUGGAACUCACUUGAAUUAAAAGUCCAAAUUCUCCUUGAUGUAAAUACGAUGCUAUGUCAUUUCUAAGUUUUCGUCAAAAUUGUAUUGUAUAUACUAAGUUAAUCUAAAUUGCUAAAUUUGAUGGGUUCAUGUGGGAUCUAUAGGAAACUCACUAAAAUUAAAAGUUCAGAUCAUCUUGAUUAAAAUACAGUGCUCUUUCAUCAAAAUUACGCCGUAUGUACUAAAUUAACCCAAAUCGCUAAAUCUAAUGGGUUCAUGUGGGACCUAUAUGGAACUUGCUGGAAUUAAAAGUCUAGAUUUUGCUUAGUAAAAAUAAGACCCUAACUCAUGUAUGAGUCUUUGUCAAAAGUGUGUUGUAUCUCCUAAAUUGAUCUAAAUCACCAAAUUUGAUGGGUUCACAUAGGAUCCAUAUUGAAUUCACUGGAAUUAAAAGUCCAAAUUCCACUUAAUAUAAAUAUGACGCUAGCUCAUUUCCGUUUAUUCAUCAAAAUUGUGCUAUAUGUACUAAGUUAAUUUAAAUCGCUAAAUUUGGUAGGUUUAUGUGGAACCCAUAUGAACCUCCCUUAGAUAAAACAUCCAAAAUCGAUUAAAUAUAUACCACAUCAACUCAUUUCUGAGUCUCCAUCAAGUGCCUUUUUCUCAUCUCUUUGAAGCUUCCGAUCGCGUGCCAUUCCAUCACAUGUGAGUCGCGAAUGAUUUUCCACGCCAAAGUCUUUGUUAAAUCUCGAGACUUAAAAAUACGAAUGUGAAGUACAAUUGCGUGUCAAAUGCAGAAAAUUCUUAUGUGAAAGAGUUGACCGUCCCUUCUUGAGUCAACUGUUCUCUUCCUUGAUAUGCUUUUCUCAUCUGGCCUCAGACACAGAUGUCAGAUGGUCAAAGGGACGCAUUCAUGUUGACACCUAAAUUUUGAUUAGGUUAUUAAUUAGGCCUUAAUUUAUUUUAUAUUUCCUUUUUUCGGAUAAUAAACAAAACAAAUAACAAAAACAACAAAUAAAUAAAUAAAAACAAAGAAAAAGAACCAAAGCAGCAGCCAUUGGAGUUGGGCCUCCAAGCACAGCCCUAUCCUUUUUCUUCGCGUGGGCUCACACGACCCAACCCACCCCCCUCUCUCCUUCUUCUUCCUUCUUCUUCUUCCUCGCUCCUUCCUUCUCCGCCUCUGUAGUUCACGCGUAGUGACGACGACACACUCGAAGACAACCUAUGGCCGAGGAGGGUAGGCCGACGACGGCCGAGGAGGGUAGGCCGACGUCGGCCGGAAGAGACAGAUCUCAAGCGCCAUUAUUGGUUUCCUUCAAUGCCGAGCAUGCCUUGUUGAAGGAGCUCGGAUGGGACGCCGGGUCAGCCACGGGGGUCUGGUUGGCGUACGAGGGCCGACGGUCGAACCUCCAUCGACCGGCCUCCUCGCCUAUAAAUAGAAGGGCACAACCUCCGUCGAAGAGGACACAAGCCGGUAAGCUUAGAGGGGUCCCUGAGAGACUUCAGGGAGCUCAAAGAGCAAGCAAGGUAGAAAUCGAGUCGCGAGCUCAAACCGACCUCCCUCCAAGAGACUUUGGGGGAGGCCGGCGGCAAGCGAGCCCGAGGGGGAGAAAGGGGCUGAGCGAGAGAAGAAUCGGAGGAGAGAGGGUCGGAUAUGGGUAUGAAGGCUCGUUGCCGUCCCCUAGACGACGUCACCUUGACCAAGUUCCCGACGUUGUGCACCGAUGCCGUCCAAAUCUGAGUGAGUAGGCCGGAGAGAAGAGGAGAUCGGAGGAGAUCCUGUGCCCCGACGCCGCCGCUGCGUCAGAUCUCACCAUGCCGCCGUCCUCACGCCUCGUCUCUGCCGCUUUCCCCAACGUCGUCCAGAUCUAAGUGGGCUUCGAGGAGCAGGGGUCCGUCACCAUCAUUGCCACUGUGUCUGGGUCCUCGCUGUGCUGCCCCCUACCGACGAGCCUCGGUUGAAGUCCUCGAAGCCAGUGAGCAUCUCUGACCCCCCCUCAUCUAUCACCUUUUUUUCUAAGUCAGCCAUGCCGGGGCACGCGAUUAUCGAGCUUGCAUAAGCUCCAACCGCCGGUCGCCCCUUUCUUCGCCGUUCCGCCUUCUCCGCCGUAGCCUCACCACAGUAGCCUAGACGUCGCCCAAACGCUUUCGCUCUUGCCAUCUCCGCCAUAGCCUAUUGAAGCCGCUCUGCCGCCGCUCGGAUGCCUUCCCCUCCUGUCGCCCGUUGCAGCCGUUGGACCGCGAAGGUAGCCGCGGCUGCGAAAAUCGGGUUAGCUAGGUCGGAUCGCGUGACGGUGCCCUAGGGUUUCCAUCAAGCAGGUCGGGUCGUCAGGCUGGGUUUGGAGCUCGGGCUAGGCAUCCCCUUUUUAAUUCAAAUAGGCCCAAUUCCGAUGUGUGGGCUAAGGUUUUUUUAAGAAAAACAAAAACAAAAAUAUGGUCCGCGUUCUAAGCGGACGACUCGGGUCGGACCCAACCCUGGAUCCAACCCGGUUCUUUUUUAAAUUAUUUUAAUAAAUAAAAAAUAAAAAAUAAUUUAUUUUCAAGAAAAUAAAAAAAAUCAAAAAUAUCUAUACUUUCCCCAAAAAUGUCAAAAAUGUCAAAAAAAAAAAUCCAAAAAUGAUUUAUAUUUUCAGAAAAAAGAUCAAAAAUCCAAAAAAUGCUUUUUAUGUCCAAAAAAAUAGAAAAAGACCAAAAAAAAAUGUUUUUUCUCCACGAAUGCAUGGAAAAUCCCUCAAACAUCCAAAAAGCCUCCAGAUUUAAACAAGAUUAGGUACCGAAAGGGCGUUAGUGAUUAACUAGUGUAAUCAAGUCUCCGAUUCUAAUUUCUCUGGUUGCGCAAGAGCGAAUAUUGCUCCUGAUACUUCGCUUGGGUUUCUAAUCGACCCACCCUAAACCGAUUAGUAGCGACUCCAUUUUUAAAAUUAGCCCAGUGGCUCGGACAAUCAAGCUUGAGUGCAUGUAGAUAAUUCUUGCACGACAAACGCAUGGUGGGUCGUGAAUUGAGACUCAUCCGCGUGCACACUAGUGCCACCAUCACCAUGAAUACCACUUCCUUGACCAGUUGGACGGUCGAAAAAGGAAGACAUGGGUCGAGCACAUCCUUCAUUAACACAUUUGAGUCUUCCAAUAAUGUCGACGUUUGUGUCGUUCGUGGGGAAGAGGGAAGAUUUCCUGGAUGCUUCUCCGUCAUAAUCUAGCUUCAUUACUUUUACUGCUGACUCUGUUUCAUGAAAGAAGAAUGAGUCAAUGUUUUGAUCACACGGUUCCUUUCAGAUUCAUGUUGAAAUGUCAAAGUUUAUGUUCCAAAAGAUGAACAUUCUCAAGCUCACAUGGGUGGCCAUCACUUUGAAAUGAUUGUUGUGGAGUUCGAUCUAACAACGAUUUGGUAGGACUACGUGACGAUGAUGUGCCGAUUAGAUAUUAUAACGAAAGGUCCUUAUUCGGAGAAAAGUGUAUUAAUCAAAUUUUGUCUCAUUUAAUAUGUAGCAAAUGAAAAUGCUUAAUUAGUUGGUGAUAUCAUAUUAGCUUCUUGCGCGAUAUAAACAUCAUAUAAUAUAUUUCUUCGUUCAUAAUGCCCUAAUGUCACGGUAGAUCUAAUUCAAAUGUAUGAAGUAAGGCCUUUUGAAAUCAUUUUUAUAACUUAAGGUUGAUUCAAACUUCACUAGCACCGACAGUUUGACUCGGUCAAAAUUGGGUCGGCAGUCGGGGUGUCCCAAGAUCAGCUCAAAUUCUAAAUUUGGGGGAAGUGGAGGCUGUUGCUUUUCCGUUAUAUUUUGCUUCUCUUUUUCUUUUUUAUCAUUAUUAGUGUUGAAGCAUUUGUCUCUAAUCCCAAUGUCCCCAUCAAGAGAUAAGAUAGGAUUAGGUAAAUAGAAUUUCAAAUAGCCCGAGUGUUACAAUAAGAUAAGUCCAAACCCUAAAAAAAUGAACUUUAUUUUGUCGGUAGCUUUCUUGACAUAUAAUAAGAAUGUACUUUUUGUUAAUGAUCAUAUGCAUAACGAUUUCUGAAAGAUUCUACCACAUCGAUAAUUUUAAAUAUUAAUCCAAAUUCGAGAUAUCAUGCCGAAGUUCGGAUUUAUUCAUUUGUUACUCAUGAAUUCUCUUCUUGUAUGAAAUUUGCUGAAAAUUAGAGAAUCUCAUGAUACCAACAAAAUAUCAAGUUUAUUCAACUUUUUUUCAACUUUUUUUUUUUGGGUCCAAAAAAGAAGAUGUAUUAUAAUUCCAGUAACUUACAACCGGAUGCUAGGGCGUCAGGAUAUACAAGGUCUAGCAAAAUAGAAGGUGGGAAGAUGUUCCAAUUUUGGGCCGAAUUUGUAGAAAGGUGGGCCUUAGCAACCUAGUCAGCCACAGUGUUGGCCUCUCGCUUGCAGAAACGAACCGAUAGGUUAGGGAAAAACAAAAGUAAAGCAGUUGCCUCCGCAAGAAGAGGUCGAGUCUCCCAUGGUGACGUCUCCACUCCUGUGACAACCUCAACAACGAUACUACAGUCCGAUUCUAGGACAAUCGGAGCUUGAUGAAGCUCUUGUCUCUGCAGAUGGUGAAGCGCAAAGGUGAUAGCUUGAAACUCCGCGAUUAGUGCAGAUGCAGCAGGAAAUCUCAUAGUAUAAACAUUAGUAAGUCUUCCAUACUGAUCUCUACUUAUAGUAGCCAUCGAAUCAUGUGUGCUUCUUGGUUGAAAAGAUGCAUCAACAUUGCAUUUCAAAAUACCUGGAUCCAGUGGUUUCCAAAUCCGAUGUGGGUGUUGUGGUGCUGUAGGUCUUGUCAAAAGGGCCGGGAUGCUAGCCUGAUACAGUCGAGUUUGUGUUAAGGUGUUCUCUGCUGCUAAGGUUGAGUUUAGACGAUGGCCAGGGAAGAUGAAUCCGUUCCUCAUUCUCUAAAUUUGCCAUAGAAUGUUUGCAACGAGCUCUAGACCAGGUAAGUGAUUCAAUGAAAUAACCUAUUUUGCUAACCAAACUUCUUGUCUAGUGACCGUAUGGGGCUGCACAGCAAUGUUAAUUUGUGGGUGAGCCCAAAUAGCUAUAGUCCACUGACAGAGGAGGAAUAAGUGCUCUAAAGUCUCUGGAAUGCCAUGUUGACAAAUCUAACAGAUUGGAUCAGUAAUAAUAUGUUUCUGAAAUAAGUUAUCUCGAGAUGCAAUGGUGUUUUGACAGACCGAGCACAUAAAUAUAUGAAGUUUUGGAGCUAUUCACAUAGCCCAGAUACGUUUCCACAUAAUUUUAGGAUGCUAGUAUGAUAUUGAUGCUGUAUAGUUGUUGUUGUUGUUGCUGUUGAGAUUAGACAGCACAUGAUAGUUGCUCUUUACCGAAUGUCAGCCAUCCUUAGUGGCUGUCCAGACUAGCUUAUCUUCAGCAUAAGCAGGUCUAACUGGAAUGGUUUGAAUAUCUACUAUAAACUGGUCAUCAAAAAAUCUUUGUAGCAGAGAUGUGUUCCAGCUAUUGUGGAUAAGAUCGAUGAGAUCAGCCACCAGUUUUGGUUCCUCUCUAGUGGUAGGGCCACCAAGAAUUCCUCUUGGUAACCAUCAAUCCUCGCGGAUUCUGAUUUGCCUGCCGUUACCCACUGACCAACUAACAUUAGGUAAUAUAGCAUCCCGGCCCACUAAAUACUCAGCCAUCCCCAUGACGGUCUAGCUCCUCUUAUCGCCCAUUGGAAAUCGGUGGAAUGAAAAUACAAACCCUUGAAAAUCUGACUCCAUAAAGCUUGAGGCUGUUGAAGUAGUCGACACGCUUGCUUACCAAGCAUGGCUCUAUUAAAUUCAAGAAGAUCUCGAAAUCCUAGACCUCCAUUGUCCUUACUCCUCUUUAGAAUAUCCCAUUUCUUCCAAUGUAUCCCUACUCUGUUCUAAUCGUUUUUCCACCAGAAACGAGCUAUAAUUUUUUCUAUAGAUCUGCAAAGAGACACAAGAAGUUUGAAAAUCGACAUAGCAUAGUGAGGAAUUAACUAGAUGACAUAUUUAAUGAGAACUUCCUUUCCUCCUUUUGAAUGAACUUUUCUUUCCAUCCUUCCAACUUUGAUUGUAUUCUUCCCAAGAGCCAAGAAAACAUUUCCUUUUUAGAGCGGCCCCAGUCAGACGGAUUUUUCAACUUGAUACACUACAUAUGUAGCACAAUUUACAAAAUUCCACAAAACCACUACACCAGAUUCCUGCCACACCUUUCAUUCUCUUAUCCUGAGCAAAGACAAGAACGAACAGCACUCAUCAGCCCAACAUGCUUAACUCCAAGCAUAAAGCAACUCAAAACUCAUCUUCUCUCCUUUUGAAUUUAGCACAACCAGACAUAUUUAACAUAGUACGAUGAACAAUCAAGAUAGCGAUGGGAUCUACUCAAUAAGCAUCAGGGUUUGCCAAGAGAUAAGCCUCGAUGGCCUUGAACAUCGCGGGCGCCUUCUCUUUCCAGGCCUUGAUCUUCUCCUCGGUGGUGUCCACCUCACCAAUGGUGAAGUACUUGCUCGUGUUCUUGCAUACCGAGCCUCCCUUGGGCGAUGUGGUGAUCUUCGCCUCGUAGCUAAUCUUCUCGAAGGUGGUGCCCAGCACGUCACCCUCAAUGAUCGAGUAGCUGUAGGUGAAGUUCUCCUUGUCCAGGGCCUCAACCUUGUGCUUCAUUGUCUUGUACUAACUGCCUAUCCAAGUAAGAAAAAAGUAAUAUUCACGUUUAGAACUCGCUAGUUUCAACAUCGCAAGCAACGAUUUUGAUGGCAUCAAUUGAGCCAUUUAGGUUGUUCCGACCGCAAUCCAAUACGAUUGACUUAGACAUGGCCUGAUUUCGCUCAAUCGGAAUCAAGCACAUGAUCACUUGUGAAAAAUAUUAUUAGAAACAUCUUAAUUAACCAAGUUACAUAUCUAUCUUUUUAAACAUUCAUCAUGAUGUUCCAUAAGGUUGGAACCACCUUGAUCCUGGGCAAUCCUAACAUAGACAACCUAACCUUCGCUGAAAGUGAUCAACUUGAUGGUCCCGGAACCUCCAUCGCCCUCAAGGACUUUGACACUCUUGAUGGCUUGCGGGAGCGCCUUGGGAAUGAGGUUAUCACUGUCGAGGAUAGCGGCCUUGAACAUCUUGGCCGAAGAGACUGGGGUCGUGAUCUCAGAGUCGUAACUAACGACACCCAUGAUUGGAUCCGAAUUGAGUUGCUGAAACUGAGAAAGGGGUGAUCGGGAAAGGCUGAGCAGCAGUGAUGAAGUUAGUCUCUAGGAGUCAGGACUUGCGAGUGAAGAGAAGAGGCUGAAUCGAAGCUCACAUAUAUAGAGAGAGAUUAAGGCUCCAUUCGUUUUAUGGAAAAUAAUUUCUGGAAAAAUAUUUUUCGGAUUUUCCGGCGUUUGUUUAACGGAAAAUGAAUUCCUUGGGGAAAAUGUUUUUCAUGAAAGGAAAAAAAGUGUUCUAAAUUAAGGGAAAAUUUUUUCUACUUUUGAAAAGUGGAAAACAUUUUCUUCACUUGAUCUCUCUUAUCUCACACCUCUACAAAUCCUCACUUCCUCCUCCCAUUUCUUUUUCUUCUUUUCUUUUUUUGUUCAAAUUAUUUUUUAAUUAUUUUUUUCUUUUUUAAUUCAAAUUAUUUUUAAUUUCCUUUUUCUUUUCUAUUUCUUUUCUUUUUUUUCUAUUUCUUUUUUUUUCUUUGUUUCCCAUCUUUUUCUUUCUUGACUAGUUGUUGGCCAUUGCUAGGCGAAUCUCGAGCUCAUCGAUCUCAAGCUCGGGCUCUGCACUCUUGCUUAUCAUUUUCUUUACUUAUUCUAUCCUACAGUUGUACAUUGCUCAAGUAAAGUGCUUUAUAUGCUUUGCUUCUUUUUUCUUUUGUUUAUUAGAACACAAAAGACGUAAGGGGAGAACAGGCCACUCAACUGGAAGAUUCUCAUGAGGGUUGUACGUGCUUUGCUUCUUCUCUUUUGCUUCUUUUUAAAAUUCAUACGAACAUUUUUUAGAGUAGAUGAGCAUUUGGUGAUAAUGAUGGAACAAAGAUAUGGAGUAAGUUUGUCCGAAUUUAAAGACAAGUUCAUAUUUGAUGGAUUUAUAAGUCGGUAAGUGAUGCAUGCCUAAGUGGUGAUGUCUUAGAAAAUAUUUUCCUUACCGAACACCGGAAAAUAUUUUCCAAAACAUUUUCAGGUUUUAACCGAACACCAGAAAAUAUUGUCAUUUUCCUAAAAAAAUAACUUCUGCGAAAAUAUUUUCUGGAAAUGACCCAUUUUCCGCGAAAUGAACGGACCCUAAAUAUAAAAAGGUUUUCUUAACUAGAUAUUCUCUUCUCACUUGACUGUGCGAUUAUUUCACGGAAAGUAAAUGAUUUUAAAAUAUAUAUUUUUUAAAUAAUCAUUUAUACCAUUUAAAAUAAUUAGUUAAUGGAAAAUAUUUUCACUUUUUUUUUCAUUCUUUUUUAAAACUAUACAAGCAAUCAAUUUGAGGAAACAUUUUUCAAAUUAUCCAAUUUCUGUGGAACAAAUCAAGUUAAAAAAAAAAAAACUUUAAUUGGUCUGUGAUCAAGUUCAAUCAUGUUAUGGACUUUGUUUAUAAAAUAAAAAAUGUCCAUAUGAUAACAGAAUAUUAGUCAAAGAAGGCUUCUUCCUAGAAAAAUACCAAUCAUGAUUCCAUUUCCUUUUCAUGUAUUGACUUUCUAUCCAGGGGCAUUUGCUCGGCCAAUUCUUGGAUCUUUUUUUUGGCUAGAAUUCUUAGUUCAGCUUCGCUGAUUUUUUACAGUCUUAUCAUAGUGGAAAAUCUCAAGCCCUUUUGACUACAAAUGUCGUCUGGAUUUUUAAUCGAGAUAAGACUAAAUAGGAUGGGACAUAAAAUCAAAAAAAAAAAUUGGUAUUGUUUAGUGAUUAUAGUAAUAUGGUCGGAUAAAUCCACAUCAUAUUAUAUAUAUUAUUUGGUAUAAAUGACACAUUAGUAAAAAUGAACCAUUUAUAAAUGGAAAUGGUAAAAAUCUCUCGCGAUACUCUAGCUUACUUUAUUUUAUUUGGUUUUUUUGUGGCAUUCUAAAACUUCAUGACAACCCCUAGAUAUGCUAUGAACCAUGAAUAGGUGAUGGAAGCACCAUCAAAUUAUAUUGUAGCCAUUAGACCCAUGAUUUGCAAUAAGAUUAAGGCCGAGCUUUUCAAUAGACCAUUUUUUGAUAGGAAAAUUUUAUUCUUGGUCAUACGUUUUAUAGGUUGGAUUUUAUUGAUUUAUGUUACAUAAUAUUAUGGCCAUAUGAAUUGGUAAUUAGGUGUAUACUUAGGUGAAGAUUAAAUGGGAAAAAUUAGAGAAGAGUGGGUUGAUUUUCUUAAGCCCAAGACCAGCCCCACCGUUCGGCCACUAAGGCUUGGCCUGCAAAGCCCAAAGGGCUGCUGUCGACCAAAUGGAGGAGUCGGCCCAAAGGAUGGCCCAUCAACCUACAUGAAAAUUAACAAGUGGCUAAGGGGAUUAGCCAAGUGGCAUUUGCAUGCAAUCAAAUGAUUGCUAAUCAUUGCUGAAGGAAAUAAAAGAGAGGGAGAUCGGGCGGAGUGAGCGAGGAGUACCGAGAGAGAGAGAGAGAGAGAGAGAGAGAGAGAGAGAGAGAGAGAGAGAGAGAGUUGUCAUGCGAGAGAAAGAGAGAAAGCGGGCGUGCCAGAGAGAAAGAGGAGGAAGAAAACCGUUGCUACUGAGCAUCCGCCUGGUCCCGCCGUCAAGCCCACCUUGUCCCGCCGUCGUGUUUGCUGCGAUUUUCUUUGGAUUAGAGACAAGUAGAGUCUGUUAGCCUACACUUUGCUUGCUAUGAUUGUGCUGUUGAAUGCUGGAAAUGGUUGAGUUGUGCUGUUGAAUGCUGGAAAUGGUUGAGUUGUGCUGUUGAAUGCUGGAAAUGGUUGAGUUGUGAUGUUGAAUGCUGGAAAUUCGAGUGAAUGGUGGUGGUUUUUCCAAGUGAGCUGUUGCAUGUAGGAACAAUUCAACUUUUGGUGAUUUCGUGAGCUGCAUGCAAUUUUCUAGUUGGAAUUUCACUUUGACUUCUUGAUGAAAUUUGUAGAGGACUUCUUGGAGAUUAACAUAUCAAAAUUUGAGAGAAAACAAACAAGUAUUCGUUGGUGAAACCAUUUUUCUUCAAAGAUACUAGAUCUGGAAACGUUUAUGUUGAUCUGUUGUGAUUAUGUGAAUUUUGUGCAAGUAUCCAUUCCGAAUUUGAUCUCGUGUCCUUGAUAAGAGUUGUAGAAGCCAUAUUGAGGAAUAAAAUACUAAAAUUUGAGAAGAAACGGACAAGUAUUGGUCGGUGAAAUGAUUUUUCUUCAAAAUGGUUAGAUCUGGAAAGCGUCAUUGAGGGUUAGGAAGAGUAUGGUGACUGUAGCUUUUGAUCUAUCACAAAUCUGACUUCAAUUUCUUCACGAAAAUUUUACCUCUAUGUCUCAAUUAUAACAUGUUGAAAUUUCAGAAUUUUUGGAGUUCAUUUAAGGGCUUAAUCGAAAUUAUUUCCAAAAGUGUGCAAAAAGGGGUGCUGGAAUUUCUUUUGCUGUGAUGUAUGGACCUAUGUGAUUGAUGUGAAACUUUCUUGACAUGGUGUUCUGCAUGAAAUAUUUUUCUCUAGGUCUUUUUUACAUCAUGUUAAUUUUUUAGAAUUUAUUGAGAUCGUUUACUAAUUUUUCCAGAAUUUUUAUUAAAGAAGUGCAUUCUGCUUUAUCCGAAAAUUGUCCUAUUUUGAAAAACAAAUGAAUUGCUCUAUGAAAUAUGAUGUCUUUUGUGGUUAUUCAUGCUGCAUAUGUGGUGACAUUUGGCAUAUCAUAUGACAUCAAAAGGCAAGUUUGGACCUCGAAUAUUAUUGCAUCAAAUGCUUAUUUGAAAAUGAGAUAUAUAUAUAUAUAUGUGUGUGUGUGUGUGUGUGUGUGUGUGUGUGUGUGUGUGUGUGUGUGUGUGAAUAUACAUUGUGGUGGUAAUGAUACUGUCGGAGGUGUGAGCCGACGAUGCCCCGGGAAUGUUAGGAUGCCCAAAGGUUCGAAUGAGUCGAUGCCCUUUGGAUGCCUGGUUGUAUUAUGAAUACAUGCCCAGAGGGUCCUCGGGAGUUUCGAGAUGCCUGGUGGUAUACGGUACGUAAUUCUAGGGGGAUACCUGGUGGUAUGUUGGUACGUAAUUUCAGAAACCCUGGAGGUGUGUGCCGGGGGGAUUCCUCGUGAUACUUGUUGGAGUGCGAGAUGCCCGAAGGUUUGUGCCAGAGAUUCCUCGCGAUGCCAGGUUGGAUGCGAGCGAUAAAUGAGGGAUGCAAGCAGUGGUCCCUGGGAGAAUGAUGAGAUCCUUUUGAAUAUCAAAAUAAGAAUUGAAUCAUGCAUGUGUGUGUGUGCAUAUGGCAUGUGCUAUAAUUGCCUGUGAAAUUGAGUUGAUACUAUUUGGCAUCGAAUGGAUCUCAUGAGGAUAUAUACAUGAUUAUGUGGAUGACAUGAAUUAUGCGUAUGGGUAUGUGCAUAUGGCAUGAGAUAUAAUUGUCCAUGAACUUGAAUUGGUAUUGCUUGGCAUGGGAAAUAUGACUAGUAAGGUUGUGAAUGAAUCUCAUGGACAUAUAUGCAUGAUGGCAUGGAUGAUAUAUGCAUGUCGCAUGAAAUUGUGUUGUCUUGCCUAAUGCAUUGUGUAGUUUGAUGGAUCUUUACUGCUGAGUGGUUGUACUCACCCCUUUGGGGACCAACAUUUCAGAUUGAGUGAUGCCUCUAGCACCUGUCACGCGUGGUACAUUCUAUGGUAUAUCAUCUUAUGUUGAGGUCGAGUGCACAGAACACCCCUGCGUCGGUGUUCAUGGUCUGAUGUUUAUCCGCGUCUAUGUCUUGGUCAUAUAUGAUGUGAGCCUACCUGAUGGCCUUGUAGUACAGGAGUUUCUAUCCAUCCAUGUUCGUCGAGAUAGGAGGAUGAUAGCGAUGCUGCCGCCGCCACCGGCCGAUGCAUCAGGAUGGGUGUAAUAGGAGUGUAUGACUGGUGGAGGUUGAUACUUUUUGGGAUGGCUGCACUAACUUAUGGAUAGAUGUACAUGUAUGAUGUAUAGUCGGGUUCUUUUGGGUUUAGCUGAGCUUAGUUAAAGUCUUGGCGUUUUGUUGUACCGACUUGUGAAAUCCAUCUUAGUUAUGUAAAUAAAAGUGAUUCGGCCCUAAAGUAUAUAUAUAUAUGAAAGGUUGUAGUUGGUGUGUAUUGCAUUGUAUUAUUUAGUUUGUGUAUGGGUUAGGGAGAUGAUGAGUAUGCUACCGUUAUAUGAACUGCGCUGGGACUGAUUAAGGUGAUACGAACCCCCAAGGAUUUAUGGACUCACUACAAUUGAAAUGGUAUUAGAGUAGCAUGUUAUUAGGACAAGUGAAAAGUAAGCACACUAUGGCAACCCUAGCAGAUCGGGGGUCAUGUCGAGGGGUGCCACAUUUUUAUUUUAUUUUCCCCUCUUUUAUUAAUUAAUUUCUUUUUUAUUUUUUCCCCUCCCAUCAUCCUCUAAUAAAAUUUUAUUAAAUAGUAGAUUGUACUAAUAUAAUCAAAAUACUAAUAUAUUGAAGUUAUUUUAUAAAAAAGUAAUUAAAUUCGAAUAUAUGAAAAUAAAAAUAAGAUUAAAUUAUAAUAAUUAAUUCAUUAUUUUUUUUUGUUUUUUGAAUUUCUUAUAUUAGAAUUCAAAUAUUAUUUAUAUUGAGAUAUAAUUUUAAGUUUGUUAAUUUAAAAAAAUUUCCUUCGGUUCAAUGUGCAAUGUAAUCCAUGAACUUUUAAUUUGUUCAAUAUGAUCCAUAUAUUUUUUAUACAUGUUUAAUGUUGUCUUUAAGUGGUAUGUAAAUGUUCAAUAUAGUCUUUUAUUAAUUCAAAAUCAGGGUGAACAUUUUCAUAUAAUCUAGUGACUAAAUUGAAUAUAUACAAAAAAAUCAAAUAUUACAUUAAACAAAUUAAAAGUUUAAGAACCGCAUUGCACAUUGAGUUAAAAUUGAUAGAUCAUAUUAAAUAAAUUAAAAUUUUAGAGAUCACAUUAUACAUUAAGUUAAAAUUCAUGAAUUAUUUGUAUCAUUUUUCCAUAUGAAAAAGCUUACACAAAAAGUCCCGACACAUGGACAUCAACCCUCCAUAAAUUUCGCCCAUAAAGUAACUCCCGCUUAAUUGCAUGUGAUAGAAAAGCAAAUCGUUCCAUUUGCCUCAGGAGCAUCUCUCCUCCCAUGGAGAGCUAAACCCCUCAAAACCCAAUAAAUUGCCUGUACAACAAAUGAUUCACUUUAGGAUUAAAUUUUAUUUCAAUCACCCCCUUCUUUUGCUAAAGCAACAUAAAGCUUCUGCAAACCCUUUUUAUUUUUUUAUUUUUUAUUUUUUUUGAAUUUUAACUUUGUCUUCAUGAACUACGGGGAGAGGGAGGGAAGCUUUGGCCAUUUUCCUUAGAUGCAUCUCUCCUUUGUUCAGCCUCCAACCUUUUGCGACCCUCUCCAUGCAUUGAAUGCUCUUUCAUGUUAUUGUUGUGAUAUUAUCUUGUUCCUAGUUUUGUCUGGUUAUCAAAAGCAAAUUGAAAACUAUGAUGGGUCUCUUGUUUCUAAUUGGGAAUUAUCCCCAAACAAAUCCAUUUUUCCUCGGCCAAAAGGUUAAUUAAUCGUUUGCAUGAAAUGAUUCCAGAAGGAUAUUGCAAUAUAAGCAUAUAUAUGUUACCUUUUCCCCAUUGUAAGCAAGAACUUAAUACAUGUUUUUCUUGAUCAAAUCUAGCCUAUCUCUAGUUUCUUUUUCAAAUGCUUUUCUUAGAAUAGGCCUUUUGUGUAAUACUGGCCUUUAGUGGGACCAAAAAACACAAGGAAAAAAGGGGUUGAAAAGUGAAAAGAAAAAAAUUAAGUGGAUGCUUAAGCUUAUAAAGAAAAUCAAAGAGGAAAAGAAAAGAAAGAAAAAGAAAGAAAGGGGAAAAGAGAAAGAGCUUUGUGUGUACAUGCUAUGGGAGCCUCACUAGGCUGGAGUUACUUUGAUUUGCAAUGUAUGGUAAGUGCUUGCACCUCUUAUUCUUCUAAUCAUAGUAGUUUUUGGAGUUAUGUCGUAGUUUUGGGAAUUAUGUCAUAUAUUCAAAGUUUUGUGAAAAUCAAGUUGCGAAAUCUGAUUAUUGAGUUGUUGAGUUAUGAGAUUUCAUGAAAAUGGUGGGUUAUGGUUUCGUGAAGCCAUAGGGUUUGUCGAGAGUUGUUUUUGAGUGAUAGUUUAUUUGGAGUGAGAAUCUUAGGAUUUCACAUUCACAUUCCACAUUGUGAACGGCUUAAAUAAUCACUUCAAUGAGCGAUUUAUUAGUGCGUAGAAGUUGUUUUGUUCGUGUUUAGAUGUAGUUUAGCCAUUUUGUAGUUGAGGUAGAGUAUUACUUAGUUUUAAUGUUGAUUCUCGUUUAAUUGAUAGAAUUAUAAAAUCAUCAACCCGUUUAGCUACACGUUGGUUGAUUUGGGCAUUCAUAUGUGAGUUGUGCUAUCUCUUCUUUGAAUUAGUAAACUCAUUUCUUAAAAAUUAUAGAAAUUUGAUAUAUUAUAAGUUAUUACAAUUUGAUAUUUGUAAAUGGUUUGCCAAAUUUUUUUGGAAAGUUGUUGAGAAAGGUUAUAUGUAUAUGUAUGGGUUGAUUUGAAAAUAUGGCUUAUGAAGUGGAUUCUGAAAUGAUUUGUGAAACGUAUUAUGAUUUAUAAAAUGGAUUCCGAAAUGGUUUGAGAAAUGCCUCAUAAAAUGUAUUAUGUUUGAUGAAUGGAGUUGAGAGAAAGAUUAUAUGUUUGGUUUGUGAAACCGUUUUGUGAUAUUGAUUCCAAAUUAGCUUGUGAAUUGUGAAGGAUACUGUUGUGAAUUUGUGUUGGUACUUAAUAUCGCUAUGAGCCCAAUAAGGGGUUUGUAGGUAUGCAUACUAGUUAGGAUAUUCUUGUGAGCUAGCUACCGUCAAUAUAAGUGGAAACCUUGCCAACGGUGAGCUUGGUUACCUUGUCAUGGAGCAUUAUGCAUGUCGUGGUAGAUAUUUAAGUAGGGGUCUGGCCAAUGGAUGGACUAUUGACAUGUGACUUGAUAUUAGUUGAUAUAAUGGACCAUUGACAUGGUUUUUUUUUUUUAGAUUGAUUAAUGGACUUAAACAUGGACUUAACCAUUGAUGUUUGUCAUAAUGAUAUUGAUUUAAGGAGUAUUUUUUUUUAUAUGUAUAUAGUUAUGUUAAAAUGAUAGAACUCAUCUUUAUCUUAUAUGUGUAUUAUGUUAUGAAAUUGAGAUAAAUGAGUUUUAAUAUUAUUUUGUAAAGUACAUAGUGGAUACUCGAUCUACUUAGAAGAUAUGAGUACUACUCAUUAUGCUGUGAUUACUCAUUCCAUUCAUCUUUCAUGCUUUUCAAGUCUCCAAUUAGUGGCUAUUAGAGCGAGAGUGUUAUUCAGGAGAUUUUUGAAGUUGACUUUUGACACACCUCGAACCUCCGAGCAUGUGCACAUCCCACUUUGGUCGAUAGAAAUGUGACUUCCUAGGACACAUUGCCAACCCAUUUAUUUUAUUACGCAUGCGGAAGCGAAACAAAUCCCUUGACAACAUUUAACUUGGGAUAGAAAAUCAAGCAAUCAAUCACAACCAAUCAAGCUUUCUUAUAAACACAUAGGUUUAUAUACAACACUGGAUUGUCUACAAAAUAGACCGGCUCAACAAAAAGGGGACUGUCUUAACAUCCACUAGUCAAACCCAUUUGCCGAUUCUUUAGCCUCCACUUUCCGAACUCCAGGACUUCCGGUCCUCCACGAUCAUCAUGUAGGGACCUAAAAUAUUGUCCCACAACCGGAAUGAAAUGAUAUCUCAACGAGUCCUACCCUCUAAGACCCAAUUAGGAAGAAAAUACGCCUCAGGGCGCUCUAGCCACACAAAUAGGAUGGAGUACUUACCUCGCCUCAGUCCUUUCCUGCGUGUCAGUACAAUUCAAUUCUCAAUCACACAAUUGAGCCAACGAUUCAAUUCAAUCAUACUAUCUAUCUUUCCAUUUCAAGCCGUACUAUCUAUCUUUCCAUUUCAAUCCGUACUAUCUAUCAACCAUUAUUAUCUAUCAUUCAAUACCGUCUAUCAAACUAGUUGUUAAUACGACACAUGCUCUCCAAAGCUGUAAUAUAUAGACGGUAACUCACUCAAGUUGUAUAGAUAAAUAAUAGCUCGUCCAAGCUGUAUAGAUAGAUAAUAGCUUGCCCAAGCUGUAGAUAGAUAAUAGCUUGCCCAAGCUGUAGAUAGAUAAAUUGUGCUCGCACAAGCUGAUAAAACGAUCUUAGCUCACACAAGCUGAUACAUAUAUAUAAACUAAUGCUUGCCAAAGCUAUUCAUUCAAUAAUAAGCCAAUCCAUACUUCAAUUAAAUCAAUCAUCAAUCCAAUCAAUUCAAACUGGUCACACAAACCAAUUACGGUGCUAAAAGCCAACACCGGGUAUUUUCAAGUUAAAUACCAAAACUUCUCUAAUAUUCACACAAUCCCACACUUUUGGAAUUAUUAACCAUAAUCAUCAAUCACUCAAUUUUUCAAUUUAAACAUACAAUUAGCACAAACUGACCACACCAAUGCGAUCAGCGCGAAAUUCUAACGACCGACCAUUCUGGCAAAUUUUUUGAAAUUAUUAAAUAAUUAAAUAUUAAAUUAUAAUAAUAUAAUUUAAUAAAAUAAUAUUUAUAAAUUCGAAAUAAAUAAAUAAUUAAAAAUAAUUAAUUAGGGCUUAAACAAGAUUAUACUAAUUUAAUCAUACAAUUAGCCAUAAUUAAACAUCCAUUAAACUAAUCAUAUAACUAAUCUAAUUUACAUUAAAAUAAUAUAAUCUAACCACCUAAACCUAAUUAGACUAAUCUAAACACCUCUUAAGCAUAAUUAACUUACUAAGCAGGGAUUAGAGGAUAAACUCACCGGUUUUGCGCGCCAGUGAGUUCACGACGACCACAACGCCAAGGCGGUCGAUAAACCCCGAAGCGGCAACACCAACGGAGGUCGGGAAGGGCUUGAAAACGGGCCACGAAGUCUCCAAAACCUUUAUGUCUUCUACUUCUGAUCUGGGUUGAACUACAGAGAAGAAAACAACAACUUCAAUGGCGAAAACGGACUAAUCUGAGCUCCGACGAGCAGGUGGUUGGAAACCGGUGGCUCCCGGAGGUCAAGGGAAUCUUAUUGGAGGUUGGGAUGGGCGAAGGAAGGAUCGGAAUGAGAGAAAAAUGGCCGAAAACGUGAAACAGUGCAGGCUGCAGGCAGACCGAUGGAUUGGCGACCGGUUCCUUCCUGGCGGCGCCCAUACCGUCCAGCGGCUCCGUUUGGAACGAAAUUGGGCUCGUUGGAACGGUCUGUCUCUCCUGGUCACAGUGAUAGGUGACUCGUAGGCUGAUUCAUCCGGGAAGACCACUUUUGACUCGAUUCUUCACUGAAGGGUUAGCUAGAGCAGAAAUUGAAGGAGAGGGAAAACGAGGAGAGAGAGAGCUCCGUUCGAGGGAGGCCGAAUGGGGGAGAGAGAGAGUGAAGAAGUGAGGGCUGUCAAGACCCCCAUCAAUUCUUGCUUCAAGUCCCCAUGCCAAGCCAUCAUCAUUUUCUCUCUCUUCUCUAGCCUUUUCUCCCUACAACUAGGGGUAUUUUGCUCAUUUCACCUUGCAAAAAUUACAAAUCUGACCUUGGGCUGAAAUUGGUGGAUGGGCCUAAGGAUUGGGCUUGGCCAUGAAUAGGAAUGGGCUUGGGAAUUUGUUGGGCUUGAAAUGGAUAAGAAUUGGCCCAUGGGCUUAGAAGAUAAAUAGUAGGUUUUGCCCAAUGGGCUUAUUUGCUUGACUUAAGCCCAUUAAGGUGGCUGUCCAACUUUGGGCCUAGGGCCCACACUGGCUUGGCCCGACCCACGACCUCACGAGCUCACUUCCUCAGUCCAAAAAUCCAUUUUCCAAUUGCUCGACUUAAUUGGCUCCAUUGACGGUUUAAUGUAGCUUCAUCCAAAGUCCGUCCCAGACAUUCCCGAUAAUUCAAAGUCCAAUCCUAAGUUCUCUUGCCAUGUCAAUUUCGCAAAAUGUCAUUUCGGUUACAACUCAAACUAACGAGUGGCUGUGAGGAUUCACGCGUGACCGACUCGUGCCAAACCACGUUCAAGACAUCUCGACGCAUGGACGUCUUUGACUGUAUGAAAUUAUGGAGGAUAGAUUCUUAUUUCAAAAUACACGAUUACUGAGGAUUAACAUAAGGUCGUUCGUGGAUUCAAUAACAGUAAAUGGAAUCACCCGUCGUUCCAUUAUGUUCUAUCCGCGAAUCAACUUUUAGUUGUCCUUAGAAUCGGCCUGCCUAUCUACAGGAUCGUCCUCACGUAAAUCUCACGGUCAAGUCGUUUUCCCAGGUCGAGUCCUUUAGUCGUACGAGUUAUGUCCUCAUUAGUCUUUCCCCUCAAGGUUAGUAUCUCAAGAGUGAUCAAUUCCGAGUGAGAUCAACUAACAAUGCAUUGACGAAAUUCACCUUCACUCAUCUCUCAGAGGGCUCGAAUUUCAGGAUGUCACAACUUUUGGGUAGAUAGAGGCUACAUCGUUCAGGUGGAAAGAUAGCCGUCCUAUUCCCUUUUUUGCUAGAAUUCGAGGUGUGAUAUUUUGUUUUUUCAAGUUUAGAAUCAGUUUGAUCGAGUGUCCUUUCCAUUUGAAUUGGUGGCCAUCUUAUCAAAAAGUUAUUCUACAAGUGUGAACUCAACCACAAAUUUGGGCCCCAAAAUCUGGGUUAGGAUAAAUUUCUAUGGUUUCAUGUAUACAAUGUUUUCCAUGUACUUCUCUUGAAUGCUAAAACUAACGUAAGCAACGAGUGUAAUUGGGGUAGGAUCGUUACAUACAUUGUUUGUGAUGUCUAAUAUGAUGAAAUCAUUUCUGAAUUCACACACUUUUAAGUUUGAUAUCUUUUAUAAAAAAAAAAAAAGGACCGCUGCUAAUGCAAAGUCGGUCUAUAAAUAUCUUAAGUUGCCUUUAUAUAUGUCGAUUUCAAUGAAUUGUAAAAGAGGUACAAGGGAAAGGGGUAACUAUGUGUGGCACCCCCGACAUGGCCCCUGAAUCGUUAGGAUCGCCACAAUUCAAUUACCAUUCUCUUGCUUGGUCUUCAAUCCUGGGGGUUUACAUCAUUUAGAUCGGUCCCUGCGCAAUUUAUAUGGUGGAAGCGUAUCCAACAACUCCCUUCCCUAUAUUCAGAAAACGAUGCACACCCACUAAACAUUUAUAGGUAAAAGCCGAAUACUUUUAUUUACUUAAACCAAAUGGACAUUAGUCAAUGAUACAUCAAAAUGCCAUAGUCUUUUAUACUCGACUAUACUUCAAAAGAUGACCGACAUCUCAUCCAACAGUCGUAUACUUAAAGUCCAUCGAUUAGUGUCGGCGUCCAAAAGUUCCUUCAUUUGCUAUCCUCCUCCCCACGGUCAUAUCAAACCACUCGAUCCAUCUACCUGUGGCAAUGGCAGCAGAGGUAUCUUAUCUAGUCUGAAAUGUUAGUCCCAAAACGGGGUGAGUACAACCACUCAGCAGUAAAGAUUCAUCAAACUACACAAUGCAACAAGCAAGACAACCACAAUUCAUGCGAAAUGCACAUAUCAUUCAUGCCAUUAUACAUAUAUGUCCAUGAGAUUCAUUUACGACCUUACUAAUCAUAUUUCCCAUGCCAAGCAAUACCAAUUCAAGUUCAUGGACAAUUAUAUCUCAUGCCAUAUGCACAUACCCAUACGCAUGAUUCAUAUCAUCCACACAAUCAUGUAUAUAUCCUCAUGAGAUCCAUUAAAUGCCAUCAUGAUCGCAUUCUCAAUGCCAAAUAGUAUCAACUCAAUUUUAUAGGCAAUUAUAUCACAUGCCAUAUGCACACACACACGUGCAUGAUUCAAUUCCCAUUUUGAUAUUCAAAAGGAUCUCAUCAUUCUCCCAAGGACCAGUGUUUGCAUCCCUCAUAUAUCGCUCGCAUCCAACCUGACAUUGCAAGGAACCUCCGGCACAAACCUUCGGGCAUCCGGCACAAACCUCCGAACAUCUUGCAUCCCACUUGGCAUCACGAGGAAUCCCCCCGGCACACACCUCCAGGGCUUCCAGAAUUACGUACCGACAUACCACCAGGCACCCCUUAGAAUUACGUACCAUAUACCACCGGGCAUCUCAAAACUCCCAAGGAUCCUCUGGGCAUGUAUUCAUAAUACAACCAGGCAUCCACAGGGCAUCGACUAAUUUGAACCUUUGGGCAUCCUGACACUCUCGGGGCAUCGUCGGCUCACACCUCCAACGGUAUCAUCAUUACCACAAUGUAUAUUCACACACACACACACACACACACACACACACACACACACACACACACAUAUAUAUAUAUAUAUAUCAUUUUCAAAUCAGCAUUUGAUGCAAUAAUAUUCGAGGUCCAAACCAGCCUUUUGAUGUUAUAUGAUAUACCAAAUGUCACCACAUAUGCAGCAUAAAUAACCACUCAAGACAUCAUAUUUCAUAGAGUAAUUCAUUUGUUUUUCAAAAUAGGACAAUUUUCGGAUAAAGCAGAAUGCACUUCUUUAAUAAAAAUUCUGGAAAAAUUAGUAAACGAUCUCAAUAAAUUAUGAAAAUUUAACAUGAUAUAAAAAAGACUAGAGAAAGAGAUUUCAUGAAGAACACCCUGUCAAGAAAGUUUCACAUCAAUCACAUAGGUCCAUACAUCACAGCAAAAAAAAAUUCCAGCACUCCUUUUUGCACAGUUUCGGAAAUAAUUUCGAUUAAGCCCUUAAUGAACUCCAAAAAUUCUGAGAUUUUAAAAUGUUAUAAUUGAGACAUAGAGGUAAAAAAAUUUUGAAGAAAUCAAAGUCAGAUUCGUGAUAGAUCAAAAGCUACAGUCACUCUUCCUAACCCUUAGUGACGCUUUCCAAAUCUAACAAUUUCAAAGAAAAAUCAUUUCACCAACCAAUAUUUGUCCAUUCCUUCUCAAAUUUUAGUAUGUUAUUCCUCAAGAUGUCGUCUACAACUAUUAUCAAGGACACAAGAUCAAAUUCGGACUGGAUACUUACACAAAAUUCACAUAAUCACAACGGAUCAACAUAACAGUUUCCAAAUCGAGUAUCUUUGAAGAAAAAUGGUUUCACCAACGAAUACUUGUCCGUUUUCUCUCAAUUUUGAUAUGUUAAUCUCCAAGAAGUCCUCUACAACUUUCAUCGAGAAUUUGAAGUGAGAUUCCAAUUAUAAAAUCGCAUGCAGCUCACGAAAUCACCAAAAGUCGGACUGUUCCUACAUGCAACAGCUCACUUGGAAAAACCACCACCAUUCACUCGAAUUUUCAGCAUUCAACAUCACAACUCAAGCAUUUCCAGCAUUCAACAUCACAAUCACAGCAAGCAAAGUGUAGGCUAACAGACUCUACUUGCCUUAAAUCCAACGCAACCACAACAAGCAAAACGGAGGACUCAGUAGGGGUGUGCAUGGUCCGGGGCGGGCGGGUCCCGGACUAGAAACCGGGAACCGCCCGCUAAGGACCGGUUCCGAAAAAUUGGAACCGGGAUCCACCCGUUUGUUGCAUGGAUCCACCCGGGAACCGGACCGCCGGUCCGGUCCGGUUCCCGGGUGGAUCCAUGGAUCCGGUCUCACUAACAACGAGAUGAAAAUUUUAAGCUAAGGAAAUCUCAACAUCAAAAGAGAUGACAUAAUUGAUCUCAAUUCUCAAUUGCAUAGCAAGCAUCAUCAAAGCAAGCCAAAAAUUUUCAGCUCCCUAGUUAAACAUCUUCGAUGAACGAUUUAGCAACAAGUUUUCCAUAGCAUAAAUGAGAAUAUCAUACUUACAUUACCUGAUGGACAUUAUAACUAGACUGAUCCAAAGUCAGGAGGAUAAUAUACAACUAACAGCAAGAGAUGCAAAAGAAUGGCAAAAGUGAAUCUUACAAGUGAGGUGAUCAUCUUUCCUCUCACUCCAGCACUUCAAGUAUCAUGUUGGCAAGACUAGGACUCUCAUAAGAAGAGAUCUUUAAGUAGGGAAACAGAAGUGCAUCGACAGCUUAUCCGAUGUCAUGGAAGCCGGACAAGCUUGUUGACAGCAGAAUCUAAAGCAUCAACAUUCCUCCUCAGAAUUUUUCUGAAGCAAUGUCAAGGAAAACACAAAUGAUAGCACAAACCUUUAAUUCAACUGGGGAAAAAAAAAACGAAACUGUGUGGCUUUUACUUUCGAAAGAAUGGGCGUCGCUCGUUUGUAAGAAGUAAAAUGAUGCUUUUCGAUAAAUUUCUAAGUUCACAGGACAAAAAUGUGUUCAGGACAAACACUGCAGCAACGAUAAAGACUUUUUCCAUCUAGUCAAGGAUACAAUUGUGUCGAUGAACAAAUCAAUGAAAGCGGAGUUGGUCCUGCCCCAUCACAUACAGAGUUUGGCUCGCCUCUUGAAGUAACCCCACUUUUCGGAUCAUUAGCAGCAGGAAUUCCCAGCCCAAAGUUUUCAGAGAGUGUAAGUAAUCUGAUCAACCUAAUUAUGUUAAAGGCACGAACUUAGCAGUCCCAUCUUUUUUUUUACUUUCUAAAAGAACAAUGAGCAUCAUACAUCUACAUACAUGUCAUACUAAUGUACAAAUCCUGAUCCAGAAAGAGUAAGUGAUGGUUUCCAGUUUUCCAACCUAGCCAAGAAAACGAUGAAUCUCUUAAAGUUGUACCAAUUGGCCAGACUAUCUCAUUAAUCAUUGAACGAUCAAGCCAAAACUAUUUAGCGCCAAAGAGAAGAAAAAAAAAGCCAGAAAAUUCAGCGCAAUCAUAGAAGCGCCUAACGAAAUGCAAAAACAACGAGGGGAAAAGGAAGGCCGAGUGCAAGAGGGAAGGCCGCAGGCGAGGCGAGGCGACCGACGGACCAAGAGCGAGAUUAGGGGAGAGUUUUUUGAGAGGGCUAGGGUUUUGUCCAUCAAUAUGCGUGAGGAAAGGGGAGGAUUGCGAAAACGCGAGACGCAAGUUCAACUAAAGAAGCGCAAAGCAACAGAGGAAGCAGAGGUAGCAAGCAAGCAAGCAAGCAAGAAGAGAGAAACGCUGCGGGAAUUAGCGAGCAAUUGAGAGGAAGAAGCGAACCUGCAUCAGAGCCUCGACGCGGGAGCGAAGAACGAGAGAAAACGAGGGGACGGACAGCAGAGGCAGAGGAGCAGCGGCUGUGGCGACCGGCUCGAGGGGGUGGACAGCGGCGGAGGAGGAGCGGCGGUGGCGGCGUCGACGCAAGGGGAGGAAUCGAAGAUGAAGAGAAGAGAUUGAGGAAGAGAGAGAGAGAGAGAGAAUCGAAGAUGAUGAAACCGCAGAGGAAGAGACGAGACGCGGACUUAGGGUUUCUUUCUUUUAGUUUUUUUUUUUAAUAUUAAAAAGUGCCGGUCCGGUCCGGGUGGGCGGGCGGGUGGAUCCGCCCAUGGAACCGGGAACCGGACCGGUUCCCCCCGGUUCCCAAAAAUUGGAACCGGGAACCGGACCGGUUCCCUCGAGAACCCCCGGUUCCGAGUGGUUCCGGUCCGGUUCCGGGCGGUUCGGGCGGUUCCCGGGUAUUUUGCACACCCCUAGGACUCAGGGUUUCGGAUGUGGCUCGGCGACGGCGGACUCGAGCAGCAUCGACGGUGGCAGCUCGGACCCGGCACGGGCGGAGGGUGGCCUUCCUUUUCUGCCCUCACACCCACGGACCCCUCGCUGCUCCCCCUUUCUUUUUAACUUUCCCUCGAAUUUUUUUUUUCCCUCACACUUGCUCCCCCCCCCCCCCCCUCCCCCCUCACUCUCUCGGCCUCACUCUCCUUUUAUCGAAAGUUUUUGCUUUUCUUUGAUUAACUAAUUCACUAAUUUUACAUGCAGGUGACAAGUGUUCUCAUGGAAAGGACAAGUAGAAGAUGCAUGGACAAGUGGCUUCAAAUAAUGAACAAGUGGAGGCAAUUCAAGGACAAGUGUUGAAUGGCAUCCCCUUCUCGCGAGCCCUCUCUCUCUGUCCGAAUUCUUUUCUCUCUGGUUAGUACAAGUGAGCUGAUUAGUCGCUGGUUUUUCACCAAAACCAGUCAACUAAGAGAACAUUUUUCCAUGGUUUGGCUGCAUGAAGGGCAGCUGGAUCCGUACGUGUCCAGCAUGCUUCUCUUCCUUCGACACUUGCUCCUCUCUUGCAACGUGUCUUCAGCCAUUUAACUAAUUCUUUUCUUAAUCCCAAUUUGCUGGCCGACCGCGAGAAAGCAACGUGGCAUCAAUGGUCAGAAAUUUUCCUCUCAUAGUUGGCUAGGGUGUCGACCAAAUGGAGAGAGGUUGGGGCAGCCUUGGGCGCGGACGAUUCCUCCUUUUCCGCAUGGGUGUGCAUGUCCCUCAUGCACGGCUGAAUUCUAUUUCUUCGGCUCAGAAUUUUAAUUAAUAGAAGUCCAAAAUUUCCCUCUCAUUUUGUAUACAUUUUGGUGGUACAAUUGUGUAGCGUCAUCAAAGCAAUUUGCACAACUCAAUAAGGUUGAAUGUAGUACUAACGAUGAUGAAUUCCAAUAGUAGCUUCGUCAAUCCAUGACGUUUCAAAAUAUGGGUGAGAUUGAUCUCACUAAUAACCUUAUGUAAAGAGCCUUUUGACAAUACUCUAGUCUAUCCCACAAUCGGACUAUUUUCUAAACAUGAGGUAUCGGUCCAUUAAAUUGCUCGGCCUUAAUUAAAUUAAAAUCUAUUAGCCAAAGACCAUAACAUAGUCCGAUGACGCUUCCAUCACCUAUUCAUGGUUCAUGGUAUGUCUAGGGGUUGCUAUGAAAUUCUAGGAUGCCACACUAUGGCUAGAGUUCUGUAGUCUCUGGUUCUAAGAAAAAUCCUGUCAAAUCUUUUCUCUAGGUGUAGGUGUCGUCGACAAUGAAAUGGAAGAAUUGCAUUGGUUUCUUUUUUGCUUCUUCUAAAAUAUUUUACUUCUCAAACUCUCCAUAGAGCUUCAUGCUUUUUACUAUUCUUAGGUUAUGGUUGCCUGAUGGUAUGAUUUAUAUAAUUAUGCUUCCCUUGUAGACUGCAAAAGUUAUAGGGGCGGCCAUCCAACCAUUACUACAGUCAGUUGGUCGGCUGCAGCUUGUUGUCGCUCGGGUUCAGGCCCUUUAUAUCUCUGCUUCAGAUAUUUUUGAGCUUGACAGUCUCUAAAAUUGGUAAACGUUGUCUUCCAACAGAUUGACAAGGCCACGCAUGAUCAAACUAGAGAUUCUCUUCACGAGCGUCAAGCUGAUGAAAGUGAUGAUGAGGACGAAGACAUCGAUCAUGUCUUUUACAGGGAUGAGGAUGAAUCUGGACAAACUAGCGAUGAUACAAAUGAUGACGAGAAGCUCUAAAUUUUAAGAGUUAGUCAACCUUGCUGGUGUGAAAUUUGAUUUGUCGUGUUGCAUCUUCAUAAACUAUGGAUUGUUGGGGUAAUUAGUGGGUAAAAAAGUAGGUGAAGGCUAUAAGACUAUUUUCUCUGAUUCCAUUUUCAGGUUAAGUCUUAUAUUCCACUGCGAGAAGUGAGUUCCAUACAGCUUCUUGUAGAUAGACUAUUUUGAUAUUUCGACUAAGAACCAGUUAAACAUGAUCCCCUCGGAGAAAUUCAUACAUAUGCUGCCAAUUUCGCGCCCUCCACAAAUUUUAUGAUUCCGAUUGCAUGUGCUGGUCUCAAGCAAUCACCCCGACGACAGAGACCACCAUAGACUAGCCGUUAUGGUAGCGGUGGUUGCCCUGCAGCGGAUUAUGGCAUCUCUAUGUAUACUUUUCCUGAAAAUUGUUUAUUCAAUUAUACAAUCAUAUCCUCCGUUUAUCAAACACUCUGUAUCUGGCCUUGUAUCCGGUGUGUUCGCAUACAAGGAAUUUGAUACCAAAAAUCCGCAGGACUUCUUGUUCGAUCUUAAUGUAUCCCUUUCGACUUUAUUUCUUAGCGACCAGAUGCGGCGGAAGAGUAGAACAUGACAUUUUACCCUCGACGAGUUGACAGAGCACAUGUCGCAUUCUUUAGAUAUAAUUCCAAAAUCUGAAACCCAGAAACUUUAGAUGACCAUCUCACUGACCCGGGAUGCUUUAGAUGUCCUCACUUGGAUUGCACCGCACGGCAACCUAAAAAUCGUUCUGGCAUUUUAACAUCAUAUGCUGUAUGCUGGAUAUAAUUAUCAAAGGUACUAAAUCCAAUAAUUAUGUAAAGCGAAGUCAGCUAAAAGCCAAGAGAUCGCUAUUGAGACAUCUGACAACAUUAAAAUGAUAGGAUAGUUUCACACAGAAAACAUGGAAUAUGACACAUAGAAUUCCAAGUUCGUUCGGGUAAGAAACAACGAAAAGCAAAGCGAGUUCAAAAGGAGAAGCGAAAAUGGUUGCUGUAUUUGGUUUUAAAUGAUUCGUUCGAUUUUGCAGGGUUUCAAUACGUCCCGAUCCAAAUUAAGCUGUAUAUGUAUCAUGAAACUCAAAGGGGGACACACGCAACUAUUGAGACCGAAAGAAAAGAAAGAAAACGGGGGGCCGCACGCUACAAUAAUCACUCAAUUGAGGACCACAUCGGACCAAAGUUUAUUCGGACAACACUUCAUAUGGGCAUGCGAACGAAGCAAGUACAGCCAAUUUACGAUACAUUUCCCAGAACCAUCAUCACAUUCGCCUAAGACACGAGCAGUCCUCUGUCACAGGGUGACAUCUCCUUGGCGGAGCGCUUCCUGGAACAGGACUGGGUUUCAGGGACUUCGCCUCCGCAUGAGCCUGGAUGGCCCUGAACAUCACGGACGCCUUCU
rnacentral:lncRNA from 1 species